CAACCGGGAUCUCUCUCUAUUACUUAUUUCCAUUCUUCCAAUAGUCGAUUUAUACUUCAACAUCAUCUAAUAUAUAUAAUAGGCUGAAAUAUAAGAAUGUAAAUGAAAUUAAUGUAUUAUUUACGUACAAACUUACCUCGGUGCAAAAUAUGGGAAUUUUGCAAUUUAGUCCAAAACUUUCUCCUUCCCCCGUUCGAGGUCGAUUCCACGCUUUUCUUGAUCUAUAACAACAUAUUUAGUUCAUUUAACAAUCGAACUAUUUAUUUUAAUUCAAAAAUCACAUUAUACAAAAAUUACAUUUUUGCCCCCUAACUUUUACAAAAUUAUGAUUUUUCCCCAAGGCUCAGAAAUUUAAUUUCAGCCCUUAUUCUUAUGUUUAAUGACCUACUGAUCAUUUUUCUCUUCUAUGGAAACAUCAAAUUCUCACUCUAACACAUAGUUAUGAAUAAUAGGUAUUUUUAUCGAUUAUGCUGUUUUGCUCGUUUUCGUUAAAAAUCGCUUAGAAAAGAUCGUUCUCCUAACUUCAAACAUUCAUAUUCUACCAUCAAACAACACAAUACAUGCCUAUCAUUCAUGGGUAAAUUUUUAAGCAUACACCCUAACUCGAAAUAAUGGUAGAAAUAAGUAAAUCGAGCUACGAAGAUUUCAAAAAUGUGAAGAACAUUAAAAACGGGGCUUGAAAUCACUUACUAUGAAGCUUGAAAAUUGAAGAAACCCUAGCUAUGGAGGAGAGAAAAUUUCGGCAGCAACUAGUGAAGAUGAUGACCAAUUUUGUGUUAUUUUUCCCAUUUUAUUUCAUUUAAUAUACAAAUUACCAAAAUGCCCUUACUACUAAACUUUCCACAAAUUCCCUCCAUGUCCAACUUUUGUCCAUAACUUAGGAAUGGGUCAAAUUGCUAUUUAAGACCUCCUAGUUAAUAUCCCAAAACAAUUUCAUACUAAAAACUUCUAAAACACAAGUUUUACAAUUUAUUCGAUUUAGUCCCUAAUCUCAACUUAAGCGCUCAAUGCAUAGAAUUUCAUCACGAAAUUUUCACGAAAUCAUGAAAUCAUAUCAUAAACCCCAAAAUAAUUAUAAAACAAUUAUUUCUAUCUCAGAUUUGUGGUCACGAAACCACUAUUCUGAUUAGGCCCUAAUUCGGGUUGUCACAAUUCUCCCCCCUUUAGAGAUUUUCGUCCCCAAAAAUCUUACCGGUAAAGAGGUUUGGGUACUGUUUCCUCAUAGCUUCCUCAGGUUCCCACGUAGCCUCUUCUAUCCCAUGUCUGUGCCACAAUACUUUCACUAAGGCUAUACUUUUAUUUCUUAACUGUUUAAUUUCUCGAGCCAAAAUCUUUAUUGGUUCCUCCUCAUAGGUCAUAUCCGGUCGAAUCUCAAUUUCUGUUGGAGAAAUCACAUGUGAAGGAUCAUAACGAUAACGUCGCAACAUUGAUACAUGAAACACGUUAUGAAUUCUUUCUAACUCUGUCGGUAAGGCCAACCGAUAUGCCACUGGCCCAAUCUUCUCACUACUUUAGCCAUUUACUUUUACUGCAAUUUAAAUUUUAUUCUAAUUUUUAUUACUAAUUCUUCUUUUUCCCUUUUUCUGACAGGUUCUUAUAGUUUAUGACUAGAAGAAACCCUUCAGGACCAUUACUUUUUGACAGUGAGAUCGAUCGCACAAUUCGCAGAAACCAAAGAGAAAUAAGGCAAAGCUUAAGAUACACAGAGAACGAGAAAGAGGACGAUAUUCAAACCACAACUAACGAGAUGGCUGAAAAUCAAGAAAACCUGAUACCUCCUGCGAUUGCUGUUAAUCUAAUAAAUCAGAAUCCUGCUUCGCGCACUAUGUAUGAUUAUGCUUAACCGUCUUUAACAGGAACUGAAUCGAGCAUAGUUAGGCCUGCUGUAGCUGCAAAUACUUUUGAACUGAAACUUAACACAAUUCAAAUGAUAUAGCAAUUUGUUUAGUUUGAUGGUUUACAGGACGAGGAUCCCAACGCUCACUUAGCAAACUUUUUAGAACUAUGUGAUACAUUUAAAAUUAAUGGCAUUUCUGAUGAUGCCAUUCGCCUUCGGUUAUUCCCUUUUUCAUUAAAAACAAAGCUAAACAGUGGUUGAAUUCUUUACUGCGGGGGUCAAUCACUACUUGGGAACAAAUGACUGAAAAGUUCUUAUUAAAAUAUUUUUCGCUGGCUAAAAUGGCUAAAUUACGUAAUUAUAUCUCUUCUUUUGUACAAAUGGAUUUAGAAACACUCUACGAUGCAUGGGAGAGAUAUAAGGACCUUUUGCUAAGAUGCCCUCACCAUGGGUUACCACUCUGGCUAUAGGUUCAAACUUUUCAUAAUGGCCUAAAUCCUUCGACUCGACAAAUGGUUGACGCAGCUGCUGGUGGAACCAUCAAUAAUAAAACAGCUGAUGAUGCCUAUGAAUUUAAUCCAAGGUAGCCUGCCAAGCAACACUGAAUCUAAUCCAAGGAAGCAACUCAACGCAAUUUCCAUUCAAGAUGAGGAAGGGCUAGUGGCAAAACCAAGGCCAGAACUAGUGGUAAGCGAAGGUAAGAAUGAGGUAGGCCAAAACGAACAAAAAUCGGUAAGUCCAGAAUAUAAACUCGUGUGCUAUACCCCAAUGCGACAAGGAAAGACCGCUCAGGUGAAAAUUUUGGUAAAUUCCUUAAACUUUUAAAGAAACUACAUAAUAACUUACCGUUUAUUGAAGCACUUUCACAGAUGCCAAACACAAUCAAAUUGUUAAAGGAGCUUCUGGCAAAUAAACGAAAGUUAGAUGAAAGGUCGCAUGUGGAGCUGAACGCUGUUUGCUCAUCCAUUCUUCAGAAUAAGCUACCCAACAAACUAAAAGAUCCAAGGAGUUUUACGAUUCCUUAUUUAGUUGGUAGUUUAGAUGUUAAUAAUGCGUUGGCUGAUCUAAGGGCUAGUAUCAAUGUUAUGCCUUACAAAUUGUUUAAGCAACUAGGUCUAGGGAAACCCAAACAAACUAGGAUGAGCAUUCAAUUAGCAGAUAAAACUGUCAGAUUUCCUAGGGGUAUUAUUGAAGACGUACUCGUUAAAAUUGACAAAUUUAUAUUCCCAUUUGAUUUUUUUUGUUUUAGACAUAGAAGAGGAUAGUAACGUUCCUUUAAUUUUGGGAAAGCCCUUUUUAGCAACUGUUAGAACAAUUAUUGACGUUGGCAUAGGUGAACUCACACUUCGUGUAGGAGACGAAACAAUCACCCUUCAAGCUCGCAACCCGAACAACACAUCAAAAAUUGAAGGUAAUUGUACAAAUUGUUCCAGUAAGACUGAUCAUAAGUUCGAAGGACACACAUGAGCCAUGUUCAAUCCACAACAAAGAAUCUACCCAUGAAGAACGAAGGUUACGAAUCAAGGAGUUAGAUGAAUGGCUAACAUUUAAACUGAGAAAACACGAUAAACUAAAACUACGUCAGAAUGAGUGCCUCACCAAAUUAACUUAAGGUUGGAGAUAAAGUUUCAUUAGAUGCCGCAGAUCCUCAUUGACACUGCCAAACCGAAUGAAGAAAUUCCUCUUACGGUACUUAGCAUUUUCCCAUUUGGUACAGUCGAGGUAAGUCAUCCCAAAUUCGGCACCUUCGGCACCUUUAAGGUAAACAAUACCCGCCUAAAACCUUAUUUUGAUGGGAUUCAUAGCAGGAAUGAGGAAUAUAAACUCCUCGAACCACCAUGACCAUUCACCAGAAAGGUAAGUCGAGCUUAGACUAUAAAUAAAUGCUUCUCGGGAGGUAACCUGAGCACUAAAAAUAUUAAUUUCUUUAAAUUUUAGUUUUAACAUCUAACAUACUAACCGACUCAUGGAACGUAGGCUUUCUAAAGCACACACGGCCAGGCACACGGGCGUGCCUUAGGCCGUGUGAAAAUAGGGUGAAAUUUUCCCCAACACGGGAUGUGAUAAGUCACCACGACGUGCAUUAGGACCGUGGGCGAAUCUGCCAAAACAAUGCGGGUGUGUGACACGCCAGUGUCAUAGAAACGUGGUUAAACCUGAGAAAAUAGCACGGGCAUUCGCCAUGCCCGUGUCUAAAACCCGUGGCCGAACUUUUCAAAUUAACAUCGGCGUGGGCCUACAUACACAGGCUUGGGAGAAGCGAUCGAAGACAGACACGGCCGUGUGCACCCACAUGCCCAAGGAACACGGGCAUGGGCCAAAUGUCAGACGCGCCCAAACUCAAAAUUCACGAAUCACACGGGCAAAAAUUGGGGAACACGGGCGUGUCCUCUGGCUGUGUGUCUCAAAAUCUAUAAAUACCCUUCACUAUUCAUCAUCUUCUUCACCCAAAAUCCCUAACCCUAGCCGCUGCAAGUCCACAUGGCCUCUCUGCCAUGGCCAUGCGCCGCAUCCAACUCCAUUUUCGACACCCAUUCUCAUCCUUUUAGCAUUAGUUUACUCUUUUCUCUCUAUUUCCUUCAUCCCUUUUAAUAAUUCUAUGAUUCUUAUGGUUUUAUUUGGCAUAUUUUUUAUUUUUUUUCAUAGUUCUCACUAUAGUCAUGCUUAUCGUUUAUUCUUUGCCAUUUUAGUCAAUGCUUUCUGAUACAUUCAUUCUUUUCGUGUGUUCCCAUAAGAGUCUAGUUCAGUCAUUUUAUUUUGAAAAUAAUCAUGCUUUUAUUAUGUCAAUUGCUAUAUAAACUUCUAUCAUUUAGAUUAAACUACUGAGUAUUAUUGGUUGGACUGGUUAGUUUAACUAUAUUCAUGAUUACUUCUUAAGUUAAUUAUUUAUGUUAUAUUCUUUGUUCUUCUUGCAGGUAUACCAUCACAAGCUCACGUGGUAAGAAAACUGUCAUUCCCGCUUCGAAAAAGUAGAAAGAGGCGUCUUCCUCAGGCCCUACCGCGGAAAUUCACCACCCAUACCUCCAAUUUCCACCCGACAAUUAGGAGGAACUAUUCCAAAUUCUACGGGCCCAACCUUUAGGUGUGGGCCACUGCAUUGACUGGACAGUGCUUGAACAAGUCCAGUUGGCUGACAAUGUACGAGCACUCCUGACAACCGACCCAUGAGACCUCUUCUUUGCGAUCAUCGAGCCGACGUACCUUAAGCUCACACUUGAACUUUGCUCGACAUUCCAUGUUCAAGACGUCAUGACCAACUUUGAUGAUCCUGGAAUAGUCUAGUUCCGUCUCUGCGGUUUAGUCCGCUAGUUGAAUGUGCCCGAGUUGGGUAUAGCUUUGGGCUUGUACACAGAAGAGUUUAUGGAUUAGAACGACCUUGACACUCUCUGUCGCCAUAUUCACUACUUUUCCUCGAAGUGCUGGUAUGCUUUGGUCCCCAGUUCAGCCACUUACUACCCAAGCCACUCCAAGGCAUCGGCUCUCUCUCCCUCCUUGCGGUACCUACAUGCCAUCUUGGCACACACUUUAACAGGACGUCAAGAGAGCACCGGUAUCGUCAACACUCACAAUGCUUACUUUCUAUGGAGCAUGGCGAAUGGGCAUGUACUCGACCUCGCCUAUUUUAUUACCCUCGCCAUUCGCCACCAGACGGAGCGACAUCGAAGGGGGGUCAUCUCGACUGGCCCCUACGUGACUCGACUGGCACGGCACUUCGGGCUCCUCAACACAGCAGGCCAAUCAUCCUCCCUUACUCUUAUUGGCCAGAUGUCCCCACAAGGCAUCUCGAGCAUGUUCAGUAUGAGGAUGAUCAAGAAGCCCCGAAUAACCCACCCUCCUUAGUAUCGCCUCUCCCAAUCAGUCGAGGAGGGAGACCUUGAGAAUAUUACUGAUGAUGUCCCUCCACGUCAUGAGGACCUACCGUCUCAGCCACCACCACCCUCUCAUCCAGUUCAUACGGCGACUUCGUACGCUGACAUCUCUGAGCGCCUUACCCGAUUGAAGCAACAGUGUUUUCAGUGGUUCGAUAAUAUUGACGCUACUUUACAGCAAAUUUUUCAACACUUCCAGAUCUCAUCGCCACCCCCACCUCGAUAAAUAUUUAUAAUGAAGAUCAAACCUAGACUAACUAUUAUCACGAUGAAAAAGCAAGUACACCUAUCGAACAAUAGUAUAGUAAUGGCAAGACCGGAUAUCGUACCUAAGGGAACCAAAAGUACUAGUAAUAACUAUCUUUUUAUUAUCUAACCUAGAAAUAAAGAGGGGUUGUUUAUUAAACUAAUUAACUAAACUAAUUAACUAAUUAAACUAAAGUAAAGAGAAGAGUUGGAAAAAGACUUGAAGAAAAUUAAUUUGAUAAAAACGACACCCAAGGAGGAAUCCACCUAGAUUUCACUUGUUAUCUGACUCUAAACCAGAAGAUUUAUUCACUUGACUUGAUCCGUGAGACUCCCUAACCUAUGUUAUUAUCUCUUUCGAGACUAAUAAUAUCUAACCCUCGGUUUAAUUAAUCAAAAUUUCAUUCUUAAUUAAAACCCUUAGGGAAGCAGUAAAUCGAUCUAUGGACUCCCAUAUUAGGUUUCACCCUAAUCUGGCAAAAUCUCGUAACCCUAUUUCUAGGCGUUCGAUCAACUCCGCUUAAUUAUGCCAAAUCUACUCUUAGACAGGGACUUUUGCUCCUCUGCAUAAGCACAUCAAAUCAUGAAUUAAUACCUGGAAUAUUAACUCAAGCAUUAAGACACAUAAUUAAGAACAAGUCAAGUAUUUAUCAUAUAGUUCAGAUAAUAAUAACAAGAUCCAUCAUAGGUUUCAACCCCCUUAGGUAUCUAAGGGGUUUAGUUCAUAAUAAGAUAAGAGUACAUCUCAAAAGUAUGAAAAUAACAAAACAUAAAGAAAGCUCUAAAACCCCUGAAGGAAUUUUGAGAGAGAUCUUCAGUCUUGAAGUAGCUCCGGCUUUUGGGGUGGAUCGUCUGGCUUCCUUCAAGUAAUUCCUAGCGUGUGGUUCUGUAUUCCAGAGAAGUUCUGGAAGAGGGCCCCUUUCUAAGUCAUACUUAGGGUGUUUAUAUAGGCUUUGGAUUGGCUUUCUUCCUCCCUAAGUAUCAUUUUUCGUGUAAAAUACAACUCUUUGAGAAAAGGGACACGCCCGUGUGCCACGGCCGUGUGACGUGAUUACCACGUCGUGUUUGAUCCAUUAAUUUUCACAUGACCGUGUGGGUCAAUGGCCAGGCCAUGCGAAUCGUGAAAGCCCUUGGCCGACACCCUCGAAAGACACGAGUAUGUGAGCAGUUCGUGUGGAAAGGCUUAGGCCGUGUCAUCUUCUCGAUUUGGUCUGUUUUGUCCCUUUUUUAGCUCAUUUUUGGCUCCUUUUGACUCUUGGUGCUCUCGUAAGUACAAAACAUGAAAUAACCGAACUAAGAGUUCCAAAAUCCAAAAAUCUAGUGAUAAACAUCCAUAAAUAUGCUAAGUAUUUGGGGUAAAAAUAUGUAUAAUUUGGCAUUUAUCAAAUACACCCACACUUAAGCAUUUGCUUGUCCUCAAGCAAAACUUUCAUUUAUUGCUAUAAUUCCUUCCUUUCAAUCACACAAUCAUUACUGAUAAUGUUACAAACUAUUCCAUGGAAAAUCAUACAGUGAGAAUUCAACCAUAGGGGCAUUAAAAGCCUCAAACAAUCUAAAUCGAAUAUUUUGAUAAUAAAAUUAUAGGUAAUCUCCUUCCUCUAAGUAAUUGGCUUUAGUCCUAAAUAUACAAAAGAUGACAUCCUCACUAGCGAUCCACUCAAAUCACUCAAAGUGUUUAAAGUUUAAGAUUAAGCACUCGGUUGUCUAACAUGAGAAGUUAUUACCAUAGGCUUGCAUGAAAAUCAAAUCUCCACCACUUGUAAAUGAUAUGAUACACAAAUCAAAAGGUCUUUGUAUAGUUGUAACAGGGUUUAAGGGACGGGUAUAGAUACAAACUGAAGAGACAAAGGUUAAAAUCGAGAUAAUUUCAAUAUAUUACCCCACUAUCAAAAACUUAAUUAUUGAAUCACAAACAAAUAUCUAGAACUAUAUUACAUGAGCUCAUGACAACUUUAGCUUGCUGAGGAUUACAAUAACAAUACUGAGAGUUUUUUUUUGGUUUCAAGAACAAAACAAGUCAAUACAAUAUAAAAAUCAUACUUCAUGAUUCAGUAACAAAAAAUGGUGAACAUAGUGAGGUAACAAUAUUAAAUUUAAUCUCGAUAAAAAAAGUAAAUUAAUUAAGAGGAUUUCAACAAUAAUGGGUUAAUGGGUUAAUGAUAAGGGUUAAUCAAUAAAAAAGUUUAGUAGGCUCAAAAGAGGUUCACUAAGGGUUUAAUUAUGUGGGAAGGCUUUUUAUGGAAUAAGUGGGUUAAAUCCUAAGUGCCUUUAUCAUCUCAGUAUAUCAAAUCAUACGUGUGAUCUCGACAUGUAUAAUUGAAGAAAGUUCUAGAAUAACAGUUCAAUGUUGACACACUCAAACCACAAAAUAAGUGAGCAAGAAAGAAAGCUUAUAUGCUCAAAAAGCUCAAAAAUCUCACGAAAAAUUUGGGUUUGUGAUGUCAUUCCUGUAUACUUAAGAUUUCAAGAUAAUACCUCAAUUUAGGAAAGUAGUCUAAAAAUUUUAGUUAUCAAAAUAUCAACUUAUCAUGCUCAAUUCUCUAAUGUCCUAUAAUCAAAUGAUCAUGCAUAAUUCCCAUGAUCUAAUUCAUGACAUAUCAACAAUAAUUAUAGAUCAAUCAGAAUUCAUUCGAUUAAGAUUAUGAGAAAAUCACUUAAGCACAAAACCAAAUUCAGGGAUUUGAGAAUAAUGCAAAAAGUUAGGUUUCAUGUUCAUGUUCACCCCCCACACUUAAGAUGUACAUUGCCCUCAAUGUACAAAGAUAGAUUAAUCAAAAUAAAGAAAGUCAUAAGAGGGAAAGAGGUGAAACUCCCUGUUAUAUGGAUGCAGAGGUUGAUUCUGAGGCUGGAGUGUUUGGGGAAAGUGGUAGCUGCCACUGUUCUUGGCUAGAUGAAGAAAUUGGGUCAUUGAACAUGGCACUCGUUGGGUAUUGUCCCUAUUUGUUUCCUCAGUUCGUAAAAUAUUCCUAGCAACUUUGCUUGGAAUUCUGUAGAAUCAUGAAGAGCUUAUUAAGAGUUGGUGUGGAAGAGAGCGUAGUAGGAUUACUUGUUAGAAAUACCAGAAAAAAAUGAAGAAAGUAAAAUUUACUAAUAUAGAUAUGUCUUUCAAAAGAAAAUAAUAAGAUUGAAAUGAAAAUAAAAAAAGAAAAAGAAAAAUAGAGAUAAAAAUAAAAAGAUAGAAGGAUUCAAUGAUCCUCAUCAGUGGGGCCCUCAGUUGGUGGCGCUGGAGUGGCAAUGUGAAAGUGCUGGCACAGCUACUGCAUCAUGGCUUGCAUGUCGUCCAUCUGUCUAUCACAUCGCCGAUCUCGCUCGUGAAUCAUCUCGAACUGUUACUGCUCAAAGUGAGCGAGUCGGUCAGAAAGGUGUGCCAAUGAAAAAGCCGCAUGAACUGGUCGUUCCCCAGAUAGCGUGAUAGGAGGCUCCUCGUGCUGUGGUGGGACAUCAUCAGGAAUGUCCUCAAGAUCCUCCUCAUCAAUGGCAUGAGUGAGACGGUACUGAAGAGGAUCGGUCCCACGUCGGCGCUCAAUCAUCCUUAUGUGUAACAUAGUAGUGAUGCCCUGUGGGGACAUCUGACCUAUCAGUGUAAACGCUGAUGACUGGACCACAGUGUUGAGGAGGCCGAAGUGUCUGGCAAGGUGCGUCACGUAGGGGCCGAUAGAGAUUACUCCCUUCCAAUGCCGCUCGGUCAGAUGGCGAAUGGCGAAAGUAAUGAAAUAUGCCAAGUCAGUCACAUGUGCAUUCGCCAUGCACAAUAAAUAGUAGGCGUCGUGGGUGGUGACAACGCCGAUGCUCUCUCUCCUUCUGGUCAAAGUGUGUACCAAUAUGGCAUGGAGAUAUCGUAGGGAAGGGGGAGAGCUGAGGCCUUCGAGCGGCUGCGGUCAUAAGUGGAAGAGAGUGGUGCCAAAACCUUCCAGCACAAGAAGGGAGAAAUAUGGAUAUUGCGUGGUAGUGCAUUCAUGUCCUCCUCCUCCAUAAACUCAUCAACGUAAAUUCCCAAAGCAACUCCAAACUCUGGGACACUCAUCGCGUGAACUAGACCGCCUAAUCGGAAGUGAAUGGUGCCGGGGUUAUCAUUGUUCGUCAUCACCACCUGUAAAUGAAAAGUAGAGCAUAAUUCUAAAGUUAGCUCUAAAUAAGUGGGCUUGAUAAUAGCGAAGAACCGUUCCUAUAGGUCUAUGGACAGGAGGGCGUGGAUGGCAACAGCUAGCUGGACUUACUCUACGGCAGCCCAGUGAUGCAGAGACCUGUAGAGAAGGGUCGUGCGCGUAGUAUCUGAAAUAGCUCCUCCUGCGAAGCUUGUGGAAAUUUAAGGAAUGGGUGCCGAAAUUCAACUGUAGCACGUACCGAGGAAUAACCCGAUCCCCUAUGUCUCUUUGAGGAUGGGACCGCGACCUUCUUACCUCUCGAUGAUGACAUAAGGUACCAGAAAAUGUAGGAGCAUUGAUAUAGUAGUUUCAAGAUGUGGUAACAUUUAUCGAUAUCAAGCGAGAGGUGAAAAUUUUAUAUGAUUAUUCAAAAACAUAUACUGAGAUAAAAAAUGCAUGAUCGGUUAAGCAAGAAUCCUAGAACUAGUAUAUGCUAUUUAGUAGCUUAAAAAAUUUAAAUAUAGAAAAUACUAAAGCAAAUUCUUAACUUAUUCAGAACAAAUUGGUAACAGAAACAAUAUCUUUGUAAGGCAUAUAGAACACUAAUGUAGUAACACAAAUUGGAAAAACAAGGUUGACAAAGUGAACCAAAAUUGCUGUAAGGCGGCGCACGAGUGUGUUGAUGGCGAGCACGGGCGUGGGGCGUGAGUGUACAGUCGUGUGGAGGAAAAAUAGAGGGAAAAGUGAGGAUUGAUGCAGGGGGAGUGGAUUUGAGGGUGGUUUGGGGGUUGGGGAAGUGAGAAUCUAGGGAAUGGUGGUCGGAAUAAGGAUUAGGGAGUGGAGAAGGAUAGAUUUCAACUGGGGUUUUGAAAGAAGGAAGAAGAUGAACAGUGGUUUGCUUAUAUAAGGGAGAGUCACAAGGCCUAGGGCCACACCCGUGUACUCUGAGGGUGAGCCCGUGUUUUUCAAAUUUUACGAUUUAGGUCGUGCCCAGCUACUAUCCCACGCAUGUGUGUCUUGGGCGUGUGUGGCACAUGGCCAUGUCGCACGCCCGUGCCUAGCUUUGUUACCAUACCCGUGUAUUGUUGUCCACAGCUUAAAGGCAUAGGCGUGCCUCACACCCGUGUCAAAGAAACAGAAUCGAGCCUUGCCCUUGGCACGUCCGUGUUGUUUCAUUCCCACGCCCGAGUUCACCUAUGAAGUUCAUCCACGGCCAUUUCGCACAGCUGUGGGGAGUUUUUGCAUCCCGUGUUUGGGGAAAUCAUGUCCUGCUUUCACACGGCCGUAUAGCACGGCCGUGUCUCUUCCCCUGUUUUCCACGGCUUUAGACACUCCCGUGUUCCUGGCCGUGUGUGCUGAAAAACUUUGCUAUUCAAAGAUAAAGUUAAUGAUUUAACUUGUUAGAAUUUAAAAAUAAAGAAAUCAAAAUAUGUUAGUGCUCGGGUUGCCUCCUAAGAAGUGCUUAUUUAUAGUCUAAGCUCGACUUACCUCUCUAGUGAAUGGUCAGGGUGGUUCGAGGAGUUUAUACUCCUCAUUCCUGCUAUCAACCUCAUCAAAAUAGGGUUUUAAUCGGGUGUUGUUUACCUGAAAAGUGCCAAACUUUCGGUGAUUCACCUCCACCGUAUGGAAUGGAAAUAUACUGAGUACCGUAAGAGGGAUUUCCUCAUGCGGUGUGGUAGUGACAAUGUGGGGAUCUGCGGCAUCUAGUAAGACUUUAUCGCCAACCUUAAGUUGAUUAGGAGAGGUAUUGGGCUUGUUUUGGCGUAGUUUCGAUUUAUCAUGUGUUCUCGAUUUGUGUGCUCACCAUUCAUCUAUCUCCUCUAUCCGUAGGCUUCGUUCUUCAUGAACGUAUCCUUUAUCAUUUCCAGAACAUGGCUCAUGAAUGUCUUUGAAGCUCAAUUUCUACAAAGUCAUAUUGUCAAUUUUAGUAUAUUGGUGUGGACUAUUACCUUCAAUGUUCGAUGUAAUGUCAGAAUUAUGAGCUUUAAAGGUGAUCGUUUCAUCUCCCACACAAAGUGUAAGUUCACCUGUGCCAACAUCAAUAAUUGUUUUAGCAAUUGCUAAAAAGGGCCUCCCUAAAAUCAAAGGGGUGUUAUUAUCCUCCUCUAUGUCUAGAACAAUGAAAUCAAUGAGGAAUAUGAACUUAUAUCCUUUCACGAGUACAUCUUUAAUAAUACCCCUAGGAAAUCUUAUAGUUUUAUUUGCCAAUUGAAUGCUCAUCCUAGUUUGUUUAGGUUUCCCAAGAGCAAGUUGUUUAAACAUUUUGUAAGGCGUGACGUUAAUACUAGUCCCUAAAUCAGCUAAUGCAUGACUUAUAUCUAAACUACCAAUUAAACAAGGAAUUGUAAAACUCCCUGGAUCUUUCAAUUUGUGGGGUAGCUUAUUCUGUAGAAUAGCUGAGCAGACUGCGUUUAGCUCCACAUGUGAUGCUUCGUCCAACUUUCGCUUAUUUACUAAAAGCUCUUUCAAAAAUUUCAUUGCAUUUGGCAUUUGCGAAAAAGCUUCAAUAAACGGUAAGUUAAUAUGUAAUUUUUUCAAAAGUUUGAGGAAUUUACCGAAUUGUUCGUCCUUGUCACGUUAGUGUAUGGCACACGAGGUUCAUAUUUGACAGUCACUGGUUUGUUUGUAUUUUGAUCUACCUCAUCUCUCCUUUUUCUUACCACUGUUUCUUGCCUUGGUUCUAUUUUAGGCUCCACGACUCCUUCGUUAUUCUGGAUAUUAAUUGCGUUGAGCUAUUCCUGUGGGUUGGGUUCAGUGUUACUUGGUAAGCUACCUUGUGGUCGUUCGGAGAUUAGUUUGGAUAGUUAGCCUAUCUAAGUUUUGAGCCCUUGGAUCGAUGCUUGUUGAUUCUUAAGUGUUGUCUCGGUAUUUUGGAAACGGGCGUCUGACACUGAUAUGAAUUUUGAGAGCAUCUCUUCAAGGUUCAGUUUCUUCUCUUGUUGAUAAGGUGGCUGUUGAAAACCCUGAGGAUUUUGUGGCUUUUGAUUUCCUUGACCACCCUAGGAGAAAUUUGGGUGGUUCCUCCAACCUACAUUAUAAGUAUUACAGUAUGGGUUAUUUUGCGAUCUGAAGUUAUUGUUACCCAUAUAGUUGACUUGUUCCUCUUCGGUUAUGAGAUUGAAGGAUUGAUAUUCUGUAUGCACACCUCCUCCACUUGAGUCACACCUCAUUACUGGAUGUACCUACGUAGAACUAAGAAAACCAUCAAUCUUUUUAUUGAGAAGUUCUACCUGAUUUGACAGCAUAACAAUUGAGUCGACGUUAAAAACACCGACUAUUUUCGUUGGCUUAGUCCUCAUGACUUGCCACUGAUAAUUAUUCAGUGACAUCUCCUCUAUAAACUCAUAGGCAUCUUCCAGUGUUUUAUUGUUGAUGGUUCCGCCAGCAGCUGCGUCAACCAUUUGCCAAGUCGAAGGAUUCAGACCAUUGUGAAAUGUUUGUACUUGCAGCCAAAGUGGUAACCUAUGAUGAGGGCACCUUCUCAGUAAGUCCUUGUAUCUCUCCCAUGCAUCGUAAAGUGUUUCUAAAUCCAUCUGCACAAAAGAAGAGAUAUCAUUACUAAUUUAGCCAUUUUAGCCGGCGGAAAAUAUUUUAGUAAAAAUUUCUCGGUCAUUUGUUCCCAAGUAGUAAUUGACCCUCGUGGUAACGAGUUCAACCACUGUUUAGCUUUGUUCCUCAAUGAAAAAGGUAAUAACCAAAGACGAAUGGCAUCAUCAGAGACGCCAUUGAUUUUGAAUGUAUCGCAAAAUUCCAGGAAAUUUGCUAAGUGAGCGUUGGGAUCUUCAUCCUACAGACCAUCAAACUGAAAAAACUGCUGUAUCAUCUGAAUAGUGUUAGAUUUUAAUUCAAAAUUAUUUGCAGCUACAGCAGGUCUAACUAUGCUAGAUUCAGUUCCUGUUAGAAAAGGUUUAGCAUAAUCAUACAUAGUACGUGGAGCAGGAUUUUGAUUAGCUGUAAUUGCAGGAGGUAGCUGAUUGUCUUGGCUUUCAGCCAUCUCUUCAGUUGGGGGUUGAGUAUUGUCUUUUUGCUCGUUCUCCGUGUAUCUUAAGCUGCGCCUUAUUUCUCUUUGAUUUCUACGAACUGUACGAUCGAUUUCUUCGUCAAAAAGUAAUGGUCCCGACAGGUUUCUUCUAGUCAUAAACUAUAAAAACCUGCCAAGAGAAAGAAAAACUAACUUAAUAAAUAAUAAUAAUAAAAUUAAAUUGCAAGAAAAAUAAAUGGCUAAAGUAAUAAAAAUUUAGCAUUCCUAAUAUUUUAGUUCCCUAGCAACGGCGCCAAAAACUUGACCGCGUGAUUCGUAACAAUUAAUAAAUAUUUAUAAUGAAGAUCAAACCUAGACUAAAUAUUAUCACGACGAAAAGGCAAGCGCACCCAUCGAACAAUAGUAUAGUAAUUGCAAGAUCGGGAUAUUGUACCCAAGGGAACCAAAAGUACUAGUAAUAACUAUCUUUUUAUUAUCUAACCUAGAAAUAAAGAGGGGUUGUUUAUUAAACUAAUUAACUAAACUAAUUAACUAAUUAAACUAAAGUAAAGAGAAGAGUUGGAAAAAGACUUGAAGAAAAUUAAUUUUAUAAAGACGACACCUAAGGAGGAAUCCACCUAGAUUUCACUUGUUAUCUGACUCUGAACCAGAUGAUUUAUUCACUUGACUAGAUCCGUGAGACUCCCUAACCUAUGUUAUUAUCCCUUUCGAGACUAAUAGCGUCUAACCCUCAGUUGAAUUAAUCGAAAUUUCUUUCUUAAUUAAAACCCUUAGGGAAGCAGUAAAUCGAUCUAUGAACUCUCAUAUUAGGUUUCAACCUAAUCCGGCAAAAUCUCGUACCCCUAUUUCUAGGCGUUCGAUCAACUCUGCUUAAUUAUGCCAAAUCUACUCUUAGACAGGGACUUUUGCUCCUCUACAUAAGCACAUCAAAUCAUGAAUUAAUACCCGAAAUAUUAACUCAAGCAUUAAGACACAUAAUUAAGAACAAAUCAAGUAUUUAUCAUACAGUUUAGAUAAUAAUACAAGAUCCAUCAUAGGUUUCGACACCCUUAGGUAUCUAAGGGGUUUAGUUCAUAAUAAGAUAAGAGUACAUCUUAAAAGUAUGAAAAUAACAAAACAUAAAGAAAACUCUAAAACCCUUGAAGGAAUUUUGACAGAGAUCUUCAGUCUUGGAGUAGCUCCGGCUUUUAGGAUGGAUCGUCUGGCUUCCUUCAAGUAAUUCCUGGCAUGUGGUUCUAUAUUCCAGAGAAGUUCUGGAAGAGGGCCCCUUUCUAAGUCAUCUUAGGGUGUUUAUAUAGGCUUUGGAUUGGCUUUCUUCCUCCCUAAGUAUCCUUUUCCGUGUAAAAUACAACUCUUUGAGAAAAGGGACACGCCCAUGUGCCACGGCCGUGUGACGUGAUUACCAAGCCGUGUGAAUCGUGAAAGCCCUUGGUCAACACCCUCGAAAGACACGGGCGUGUGAGCAACCCGUGUGGAAAGGCUUAGGCCUUGUCAUCUUCUCGAUUUGGUCCGUUUUGUCUGUAAUAUCCCGAAUUAGGGCCUAAUCAGAAUAGUGGUUUCGUGACCAUAAGUCCGAGAUAGAAAUAAUUAUUUUAUAAUUAUUUUGAGGUUUAUGAUAUGAUUGCAUGAUUGUGUGAAAGUUUCGUGAUGAAAUUCUAUGCCUAAAGUGCUUAAAUUAAAAGUAGGGACUAAAUCGAAUAAGUUGCAAAACUUGCAUUCUAGAAGUUUUUAGUAUGAAAUUGUUUUGGAAUAUUAAUGAGGAGGUCUUAAAUAGCAAUUUGACCAAUUUUAAGUUCAUGGACAAAAUUAGGACAUGGAAGGAAUUUUUGAAAAGUUUAGUAGUAAGGGUAUUUUGGUCAUUUAGUUAUUAAAAUGAAUUAAAAAAAAAUUAAAAGCCAAUUUUUGUCCAUCUUCUUCAUUAGGCCGAAAUUUCAAGGGUUCUCCAUAGCUAGGGUUUGUUUCAAGCUUCCAAGCUCCAUAGUAAGUGAUUCCAAGCCCCAUCUUUAAUGAUUUUUACGUUUUUGAGAUCCCGGUAACUCGAUAAAGCUUAUGUUAGCAAUAAUUUAACCUAGGGUUUAUAUUUGGAAAAAUAUCCAUAGGUGAAAUUUGUGUAUUUUGAUGUUUUAUGAUAGAAUAUGAAGUUUUAAAUUAUGUUAGACAACUUGUACUACUCGAUUUUAAGCAAAAACGAGUAAAAGGGCUUAAUCGGUAAAAAUACCUAAUAGUCACAAGUACAUGUUAGAGUGAGAAUUUGAUGUUUCCAUAGAAGAGAAAAGUGAUCAGCAUGUUGUAAAACAUAAGAAUAAGGAAUAAAGUUUAAUCCCGAGCCUAGGGGCAAAAAUGUAAAUAUGCAAAAGUUUUUGUAAUUUUGCCAAAAUUUGAGUUAAGGAUUAAUUUGAUAAUGUGAGUAUUAAAUAAGCUAAAUGUGUUAUUUUAGAUCAAGAAAGACGUGGAAUCGACCUCAAUCGAGGAAAAGAAAAGAUUGUGGACUAAAUUGCAAAAUCUUUGUAUUUUGGUACCAAGGUAAGUUCAUGUGUAAAUAAUGUAGCAUAAUGGUUAUUUUUAAGUUAUUGAUGUUAAUUAUAUGUUAUGCUGAAUUUUAUUAUGAAAUGUAUGCUUUGUGGUUAAUUUCAAAUAAUAUGUAAAUUAUGUGAACUACUUGUUAAAUAUAAUUGUUACCGAGUAUUGAUUUCGGCAUUCUACGGAAGACGGAAAGGAUAAGUGUUCGAGGAAAAAAGCCAGUUUGAACCUUAGGAAUAGAUUAGGACACAAGUGACAUGUCACUAGGAUGGUUGAGCAUCCGAACUCGUUGAGUUGAGUCCGAGUUCACUUAUGGAUGCGAAUGUCCGAACUCGUUGAGUUGAGUCCGAGUUCGUGAGAUGUAACUAGGCAUCCGAACUCGUUGAGUUGAGUCCGAGUUCACUUAUGGAUGUGAACGCCCGAGCUCGUUGAGUUGAGUCCGUGUUCGCUUAUGGGCGGGUUACAUGAUUGCUUGAUUGCAUAUAUGGCACUUAUGUGCAAGUUAUCCAUGUAUCCGAAUUAUAUUCCGAUGUGUUCAACGGGUAAAGUUCUACUGAAAUGGAGGAAUAUUCGAGAUGUAAGGAGACGUAUUGGUAAGUGAUGUGAAAUGGAUAUUUUGGACAGGUAUGUAUUUAACCCUCGGGUUGAGUAUUGAUACAACCACGAUAAGGUAAUAAGAUGAUGAAAAAUGAUUAAAAAUGUGAUAUGUGUUUUAGUGAUACAUGCUAAUGUUGAUUGGUAUGACUGUUUGUUAUGUUACUUAUUAUUUGCAUAUGAACUUACUAAGCAUUUAUGCUUACUCUCUCCUUCUUACUCAUUGUAGUUUUGGACAAGCCAGCUCAAGAGUCGGGAUAGGUCGAAGGCUCAGUCACACUAUCCGGAAGACUUUUGGUAAUGGCUUGUAAAUUUAAGUAUGGCAUGUAUAGCAAUAUACCUUUUUUGUGUAAAUGAUCUUAUGGUAUGGUGAUGGAAUGGUUGAGGAAAUGCUUGAUAAUGAUAAAUUAUGAAAAUAGUUAGUUUAGAUUAUAUUUGAUGUUAAGGAAAAUUAUUAAGAUACUUAGUGCAUAAAAACUCAUAUAAGGGAUGAAAUUUGCCAUAAACAGAAUACUGCAGCAACACUGAUGCGAGUUUAAAAAUAUACUAAAAAUCAGAGAAAUUGAACUUGGUGAUGUACUACAUAUCAAAUUGAAGCUUAUUAUGUCUAGUUUCACAUGAAACAAAUGAAACAGGUAAAGGAAUUAUAUGUUACAAGAUAUUUGAAUUUUAGUGAAACAGGGUCAUAGCAGUUUCUGAUUCCCCUAUUCCAACUUUAGAAAUUCACCAUAAAUUUUAAAGAUAUAAUUAGGUAGUGUAUUUUAUAUUCUCAGAAUCCUUAUUGAGUCUAGUUUCAGUAGAAACAAACCUCAUAGUCAUAUCGAUUUUUUACAGAGAUAAAUAUGGUUUGUAGUAAACAGAGGUCAGACCAGUCAAGUCCUGAAACAGGGGUAAUUUUAACUAAUAAAAUGUACUAAUUUACCCAACCAAAAAUUCUAUAAAAAAACUAGUAGAUAGGUAUAUGAGUCUAGAUUUAGGGAAAAUUUACGGAUCUUAAUUUCGAGUUUCAUAACUCGAGAUAUGAUUUUUCUUGUGACUGUGAUGCAAGUAGCUUAAAAGCUGUGAAUGUAGAAAUAAAUAAUCCAAAGUUCUAAAUAUGUUAAAUUAAGCUUAGUAACACCUCAUACUCGACUCCGGCGACAGUCUCGGGCGUGGGGGCGUUACAUUGUCCCUUUAUUUUAUGUUUUUAUUUUUAUUCUAUUUUAAGACUACUUUUUCUUUUUACUUUAAGCUUAUUUCUAUUAGAUUUUAUAAUUUUUAUUUUACAAUUAUCAAUUUCGGCUAUUCCAUUACAAGUAAUUAUGCUUCCUUAUAUUUCCUAAAAUAGUUCUUGAUUCUGUCACAGUUAUAAAGUGCACCUCAGCUCAUCAUCACAUAGGAACUAAAAACUCCACCAGGAAAGGUUCUCCAUGACUGCCAUGUCCUGCUUGACCACGACCAUAGCUACCACCAUAUAAAAUUCUUUUGGUGCAGGACUUAUGGACUAAUAAAACUCUACCACCACCGGAGAUUCCCCUCCACUCUCACGCCGAUUAUUCUCCAAAACUCCAGUUCAAGGAAUUCAUUCAUCAUUCAAGAAGUUUCACUUCCCUCCCUAUCUUAUGAUUAUAAAUCUAUCUUUUUCACUAUAUCUACCUUUGUACAUUGAGGGUAAUGUACAUCUUAAGUGUAGGGGGUCUUUUAUAUCAGAAAAAAUCCCUGAAUUUUGUUUUAUUCUCAUGCGAUCUUCUCAUAUCAUUAUUAGACUGAAUUCCAAUUAGUCUAUAAUUUUUAUUAAUAUAUAUUGAAUUAAAACAUAGGCAUUUAUGCAUUGAUUGUUUAAACUUUAAGACAUUAGGGAAUCAAACAUGAUAAGUUGUUUUGGAAGAAUUAAAAACUUUUAGGUUGUCUCCCCAAGUUUAGGUAUUAUUUUGAGUAGGAAUUUACAAGUUUAAACAUCAAAAAGUCAUAAUUUUUUGUGAGAUCUUGAGCCUUUAGAGCAUUUAUUAUUUCUUUCAUGCUCACUUUCAAUAUGAGUGCGCUAUUAUUGAAUUGUUAUUCUAGAACUUGCUUGAUUAUGCAUGUUAAGACCACACCAUUUGAUUUGAUAUGUCAAAAUGAUAAAGGCACUUAGGUUUAAACCACUCACUCCAUAAAAGCCUACCUUCACAAUUAACCCUUAGUGAACCUCCUUGAGCCUAACAACCCAUUCAUUGAUUUACCCUCAAUAUUAACUCAUAACUCAUUAUUGUUGAAAUCCCCUAAAUUAAUUUGAUCCCUAUUUUUGUCGAGAUUUGAGUUGGAAUAGUUGCUUAGCUAUGUUUUAUUCUAUUUUGUAAUUUGACUUGUUCUUAAAAUAUAUAUAAUACAUGUAUACAUAUUAGUAGUAGUGAUAUUCUAAGCUAAAGAAGUUAGAUUCCAUAUUCUGAGAAAAAGCUCUGUUGUACGUAAUUGAUGACUAGUCAUUUUUCUAGUUAGGAAAUUUUUCAAUUCAAUCUCGAUUCUAACCCUUUCUUUCAGUUUGUGACCACACCUUCUAACCAAAGCCACGUUACAACCCUCUAAAGACCUUUUGAUUGAUGUUUCAUCUCAAUUUAUAGUGGUGGAGAUUUGAUUUUCAUGCAAGCCUAUGGUAAUGACUUUUCAUUAUUGACUAUUGAGUGCUUCAUUUAUUGUCCUUAAACACCUCGAGUGAUUUGAGUGAAUCUUUAGUGAGGAUGUGAAACUCUGUGAUAUUUUGAAUCAAAGGUAAUUACUUAGAUAAGGGAAGACACCUAUGUUUUCAUGAUAAAAUGCUCAACUUGGAAGGUUUGAAACUUUGAUGUUCUGUCAGUUGAAUUUUCAAUGUAUGAUUACCUACAGAUUAGUUUGAGAUAUUAUUGAUGAGAAUUAUAAGUUGAGAAGAAUUUAUUUUGAUUAUAAGUUGAGGAUUUUUCUUGAGGACAAGCAAAUGCUUAAGUGUGGGGGUAUUUGAUAAACCGUAAUUCAUACAUAUUUCUAUCCCAUGCUUAGCACAUUUUAUGGAUGAUUUAUCCUUAAAUUUGGAGAAUUCGAUGCUCCUAAUGCCUUAAUUUCAUGUUUUAUACUUAGGUGAGGAUAAGAGAGUGAAAGGAACGAGAAACGGGCCAAAAACGGAGAAAAUAGGCCAACGUACGAAAUCAACACGGCCUGGACUUCCUAACACGGGCAGACCGCAUGGUCGUGUCAAUUUGGCAGAAUCGAAGCACGACUUACACAGGUAGACCACAUGCUCGUGCCUAUUUAACAGGCUUGACCAUAGCCUGAAGUAAUCGCACACGGGCGUGUCCCUGUCGAGCCCAAGCAGAGUCCUAUUCAGAAAAGGCCACUUUUGAGGGCUCUUAGGCAUUCCAAAGCCUAUAAAUACUCCCUAGAAGAGGAGAAGAGGGGGGACACAGAUUAGGAAGCAAGGAAUUACUCAAGAGAAGCCGAUUGAUCCAUCCCAAAAGCCAGAUUCAUCAUCAAGACUGGAGAUCUCCCUUCAAGUUCCUUCUGGAGUUUUGGGUUUUCUAAUGUUUUGUUAUCUUUAUAUUUUUAAGAUGUUUUCCUUCAUAAGUAUGAACUAAACCCCUAAAUACCUAAGGGGAAUGAAACCUAUGACAUAUCUUGUUAUUAUUAUCUGAGUUGGAUGAUAAAUAUUUGACUUGUUCUUAAUUAUGUGUUCUUAAUUCUUGUUUUGAUAUUCCAGGAUAUUGAUUCAAGUUAAGCUCUUAUUCAGAGGAGGAAUAGACCCUGUCUAAGAGUAAAUUUGUCAUAAUUAAGCGGAGUUGAUUACGCACCUAGAGAUAAGGUGACAAGAUUUUGUCGGAUUAGGGUAAAACCUAAUAAGGGAAUCCAUAGAUCGAGUUAAUGCAAUUCUGGGGUGUUAAUUAGAAAGAGAUUUCAAUUAUUCAACCUAGGGUUAGACGUUAUUAGUCUUAAGAGAGAUAAUGAUAUAACUUAGGGAUUUCUCCAGAUCAAGUCAAAUGAAUAAAUCGUUUGAUUUAGAGUCAAAUAACAAGUGAAGUCUAGGUGGAUUUGUCCUUAGGUAUUGUCUCAAUCAAUCGAAUUUUCCCAAAAAGUAUUUUCCCAAGUUUUUCUUUCUGUGCAUUCUUAGUUAGUAAUUAGUUUAGACAACCAAACCUCUUAAAUUUUAGGCUAGAUAAUAAAAAGAAAGUAAAUACUAGUACUCAUAGUUCCUUUGGGUUCAACAAUCCGGUCUUGCUGAACCAUAUUACUGUUCGAUAGGUACACUUGCCUUAAUCGUGAUACUAAGUUAGUCUCAAGAAAAUUUCAUUUAUAAAUCUUUAAAACCUGUUACAAAUAUCACGCAUCAAUGUUUAUGUGAUUUGGGCAUUGAGGCCCUGGGACAUGUUUGGAGAGAUAAGGAAAUGUGAUCUAAGCUCCAUUCAACGGGACAUGUUUGGUGUGUUGGAGAGUGUUAGUUUAAUUCUUCACUUACGAGACAUGCUUGACUCUAUGAGUCUACGUGGUGUGUUGGAGAUCCGUGUAUCCGAUGAGUGGUGGUAAUGCCCACUUUUACGUUUCAUAACUCAAAUGCCAAAUUAUCUCAAAUUAUCUAUUAAUGUGAUUGUGAAUUGUGACGUUUACAUGAAUAUGCAUGUACUGAUUCUGUAAAUAAACUAUCGAAUAUGCAUGUGAAGUAAAAUAUGUCAACUAAGUUAAGGUUGCUAUAAUUAUGAUAUGUUUCACUAAUGCUUGAUGAAAUGUUUGCAUGGUAGUUGUUUUAGGCAUUCACUGAGCUUGUUAAGCUCACCCACUCCUUUUAAAACCAUUGCAAAUUACUGUGUCCUAGUGUGAGCGGUGUGAUUUUGAGGGGUGAUUCCAAGCAAUUCCUUUUCUAUUAUUUCAUAGGUCUUAUUGUUAUUUGUUUUCAUUUCGAGAAUAAGGCAAUGUGGUAGACUUUUACUGAUAUUUGCCAUGAUGUUUUGGAUGUCUUCAUAGACUAUUUGUUCCUAGGUUUAUGAGAUUCAUUUCGUAUGAUGUUGAUUAUUUGUCAGACUUAUUUUGGAUGUUUGAGACUAUUAUAAUAGUCAUUUUGAUAUUUAUGUAAUGAUGAUAUGAUGGCAUGAAGGAUUGGUGCAUGUUGGAAUGAUUUAUAUGCUCAAGUAUGUUGUAUUUUUCUGGUUUGGAGCAGAGGUAUCGAUAUUCAUGUUGUAAAAAUAAUACCUCUGUGAUUUUGGAACAUGUAGGGAGGCAACAAUGUAAUUUGGUAUCGAUACCCAAUAAAAAGUAUCGAUGCUCAAGGUAGAAAUAUCAUUACUUUGGCCGAGGUACUGAUAAUUUUCGAGGUUUGGGUUUUUAAACGAGAAACAAUAAGCAGUUUUGGUUUUAAUUUUCCCAACAAUAUCAAUACCACUUGAGAGAAUUAUCGAUACCUCACCUUCAGUUUCGAUACCUACGUAGUUAGUUUUUGGAUUUUGCUAAAUGGACUUUAUGCAUAUUUAAUUAUUAUUAUUAUUAUUAUUAUUAUUAUAAGACUAUUUGAUGUAUGUUUAGCAUGUAACAAUGAUGUUAACAGUAUGACUGACUUAAAACCUAUACCAAUACUAAAAUGGAAGUCAUUUCAUUUAGAAUGAGCUUUUACUUAUUGUGUAUAACAUGAGACGGUGGUGUAGCAUCCUGAUAUUCAGGCUUGGAGACCAAGUUGGGUAUAGGGUGUUACACUUAAAAUUUCCAUCCCCCAAAUUUUCUUUGCUGCACCUAAAUCUUUCAUCUCGAACUUAGAGUUAAGCAUAGUUUUAAGACAACAAAUAUCAAAUGGAUUCUUAGCUGCAAUUAACAUAUCAUCAACAUAAAGUAAUAAAUAUAUAAAAGAAUCAUCAUCAAGACGUUGUAGAUAAACACAACUAUCAUACUUACUUCGGGAAAAACCAGUACUCAACAUGAAGGAGUCAAACUCUUUAUACCACUGUCGAGGAGAUUGCUUCAAACCAUACAAAGACUUUUGUAAAAGACAAACAUAAUAUUUUUUACCUUCAAAUUUGAAGCUUUCUGACUAUUGCAUGUAGAUGUCCUCCUCAAGGUCACUGUGAAGGAAAGUAGUCUUUACAUCUAACUGCUCUAACUCAAGAUUAUUUGAUGCAACAAAUUCCAAAAGCGCUCAAAUUGAUGUAUGUUUCACAAAAGGAGAGAAAACAUCAUGAAAAUCAAUUCCUUUCACUUGAUUGUAGCCCUUUUGCAACUAGUCUUACCUUGUACCUAGUGUUAUUAGGACCUGAACCUUCCUUCUUUUUAAACACCCAUUUGCAACCAAUGAUUCCUUUACUGAUGGGUGGUUUAACUAGCCUCUAAUUCUCAUUCUUUUGAAGUGAUUUCAUCUCUUCUUCCUUUGCAACGAACCAUUGGUUGGAGUCGAAGGCUUGAACUGCCUCAUAAUAACACGAAGGUUUGGUUGAAACAAUGCUCUCGGCAACACUUAGAGCAUAAGCCACUAGGUUUCCUUCACAAUAUUUUUGUGGUGGUCGGAUUUCUUGCCUUUUCCUUUCACGAGCCAACUUAUAAUUAGUUAACUGAUAUGGUGAGGGUACCUAAGGGUCGGAUGAAAACCAAAACAAAUCCAAAACAGCUUCAAACAAGCAAAAAUUAGAAUUUUUUUGUGUCGACGUGACAUUGUGAGACACUUUAUCGGGACAAGUGAUAAACUGUAAUUUAUACAUAUUUUUAUCCCAUGCUUAGCACAUUUAUGGAUGAUUUCUCCUUGGAUUUGGUGAAUUCGAUGCUCCUAAUUCUUUAAUUUCAUGUUUUAUACUUAGGUGAGUAUAGGAGAGUAAAAAGAGCGAGAAACGGGCUGAAAACAGAGAAAAUGAACCCACAUGGGAAAUCAACAUGGCUUGGACUUCCUCACACAGGCAUGUCACACGGCCGUGUCCAAUUGGCAAGAUCAAAGCAUGACUUACACGGGUAGACUACACGCCCAUGCCUACUCAACUGCCUUGACCACGGGUAGGAGCAAUCGCACACGAGCAUGUCCCUGCCAAGCCCGAGUAUAGUCCUAUUCGGAACAGGCCACUUUUGAGGGCUCUUAGGCAUUCUAAAGCCUAUUUAAACACCUGAGGAGGCACUUAGAAGAGACAUACGGAGUAGGAGACAAGGAAUUACUUAAGUGAAGCCGAUUGGUCCAUCUCAGAAGCCGAAUUUAUCAUCAAGAGUGAAGAUCUCCCUUUAAUUUCCAUUCAAGGGUUUGGGGUUUUCUUUAUGUUUUGUAUUCAUUAUUCUUCUGAGAUUUUUUCUUUUAUAAUUAUGAACUAAACCCUAAGAGGAAUGAAACCUAAGACAGAUCUUGUUAUUAUUAUCUGAAUUGUAUGAUAAAUAUUUGACUUGUUCUUAAUUAUGUGUUCUUAAUUCUUGUUUUAAUAUUCAAGGAUAUUGAUUCAAGUUAAUGCCCUUAUUCAGAAGAGCAAAAGUCUCUGUCUAAGAGUAAAUUUAUCAUAGUUAAGCGGAGUUGAUUGCAGCCUAGAGAUAGGGUGACAAGAUUUUGUCGGAUUAGGGUGAAACCUAAUAAAGGGGUCCAUAGAUCAAGUUAAUGCAACACUAGGGCGUUAAUUAGAAAGAGAUUUCAAUUAAUCAACGUAGAGUUAGACGUUAUUAGUCUCAAGAGAGAUAAUAAUAAAACUUAGGGAUUUCUACGGAUCAAGUCAAAUGAAUAAAUCGUCUGAUUCAGAGUCAAAUAACAAGUGAAGUCUAGGUGGAUUUUUCCUUGGGUAUUGUCUUAAUCAAUUGAGUUUUUCCAAAAGCUUUUUCCCAAUUUUCUCUCUGUGCACCCUUAGUUUAGUUAAGUAGUUUAGAUAAACAAAUCCUUUAAUUUUUAGGCUAGAAAAUAAAAAGAAAGUAAUUACUAGUACUCUUGGUUCCUUUGGGUUCAACAAUCUGGUCUUGCUAAAGCUAUACUACUGUUCGAUAGGUACACUUGCCUUCAUUGUGAUAAUAGUUAGUUUCAAGAACGAUUAAUUAUAAAUUUCUAAAACCUAUUACGAAUAUCACGUAUCAACAAGACCUCUAUUCGUCACGUCAUUGCGAUGUUAGGCAUUUGCUCGUUAUGUCGUCACCUUUUUAUUUCGGCUUUUGACUCCACCUUGCUCGAGACACUCUGAUUUGUUAUGUCUUUAAAAUUAAAAGUCUUAUUUUGUUAUCAAAGCAUAGUAGAUUUAUCAAACGUAACAUCUCUGCUAACAAUGAUCUUUUCAGAUUCUAAACAUCACAACUUAAAAACUUUUGUACUAGCAGCAUAUCCCAAAAAGAUGCUUUUAACGACCCUUGGUUCAAGCUUUCCCUAGCUACUUUAGCAUAAGUAGGACAACCAAAAAUUCUAAGAUUUGAUUAAUUUGGAGGAUUACCUAACCAUAUCUCCUUUGGAACUUUACCAUUCAAUGCUCAAUAAGGAGAUCGAUUUACCAAAUAACUUGUUAAGUUUACAGCUUCAGCCCAAAAUUCCUUCCCUAAGCAUGCGUUAGAAAGCAUGCAUCAAGCCUUUUCUAGCAAGGUUCUGUUCAUUCUUUUUGCAACUUCAUUCUAUUGUGGAAUUCUAACAAUGAUUCGAUGUCUUUCAAUUCCUUCCCGUUUGCAAAAUCACUAAACUCUGACAAAAAAAACUCAACACCAUUAUCUGUUCUCAACUUCUUCAUGGAUUUUCUGAUUUGUUUUUCUAAUAGUGUCUUCCACUGUUUGAAAAUUUCGAAGACUUGUUCUUUUCUAUUUCAAGAAAUAAACCCAAACUUUUCUGGAGUAAUCAUCAAUAAAAGUUAGGAAAUAUUUAUUAUCUCCUUUUGGGAUGUUAAAAGAUGGACCCCAAAAAUCAGAAUGAAUGUAAUAUAAAGUCCCUUUUGUUCUAUGCACUGCUAAAUCGAAACUAACUCGGGUUUGCGUAACACCCCGCACCUGUAUUCAUUGUCAGAAUAAGGUUGCAGAGCAUUGCCAAACUUCUUUCACAAAUAAACACACAUUUCUCAUACAUUUUUCCAUUAUAAAUAUAAAACAUUUACAAUCAUUUAUAACGCCCCUAAUAUGAGCCUACGAGGCCCAAAACAUGCUUUAGAAAUGGUUUGGGAAUAAACCGAUAACUUAGGAAACUUUUAGAAAACUUAGAAAGUUUUUCAAAAUACAGGGAACAUAGGCCUGUGUGGCCUGACCGUGUGUCUCACAAGGCCAAAUACACGCCCAUGUCACAAGCUCAGUGGACAUUCGAAAUGGGAUCACAUGGCCAUGUCUCAGCACAUGUCCGUCCCCGUGUAACUCCCUGACUUCGGUCACACGACCAACCACAUGCCCGUGUCACCAACCCGUGUGCCCUUCGGAAUGGCCUAACACACCCAUGUGCUAGGCCGUGUGCUAGGCCAUGCCAAACCUGUAGGGUAUUCUAACUAAUACUACACGGCCAAGUCACACGCCCGUGUGUUGGGCCGUGUGGAGCAUACUAACUUGGUUUCUAAUUAAACACCAGGGGACACACAGCCGUGUCACCUGACCAUGUGUCACACACAGCUGAGACACACACCCGUGUCUCUUCCCGUGUGGACAAAAAUAGGCUAUUUACCGAGCCAUUUUUUUCACCCAAUUUGUAAUCACCUACACUAAACCAAAGGCAUAUAAUAUGGUAUAAAUAAGCAUUCCAACCAAUCUCAACCAAGCCUAAUUCAUGCUAAAUCCAUACUAUCAACCAUAUGACUUACAAGUAUAACAAAUAGUCAUUCAAUUUCAUACCAAAUUCACACCAAAUUCACAUUCUCAAAUUGCCUAAAUGGUCACUUUCAUUUAUACAUCACUUUACCUAAAAUCACAAGCAUACUAAUUCUCAAUUAUCAACUAUUUGAUACUCAAAUUACCAAUUCAUAAAGAACCUUUCACCAUAAGCAUUUACAUGAUAAUUACCAAAUGCAUAACAAAGGCCAUUUGCACAUAUAUAUAUACACAACCAAAUCAACUAAAAUAAGCCAAAUCACAUGGCUAUACACAUAACAAACCAUUCAUCAUUUAUAAGCCAACUCAAAUGGCUAAACCUAUUACCAAACUAUAUACCAAAAUGACCAUAACUCCUAUACAUGCCAUAUAACCAAAUUACAUAAGUUCAAAAGUACCAAAGUAAUAGCUUGAUAGUGUGAUGAGAUCUCCGAUGACUCUUGAAUCCGAGCAAGCUUUGAUAAUCACUAUAAAACACGAAAAAGUAAAUAGAGUAAGCUACAAAGCUUAGUGAACUCGUAUGCUAAGUAAGUAAAACUUACCAACCAACAAUUCAAUAACAUAAACAUCAUAUAAUGCAAUUCAACUUUGAAGCAUAACUUAAUACAUAUAUUCAACCCAAGGAUUAAACACAAUUUCCAUCAACUUCUUCGAUUUUAUGAUUGUAUAGUUCACGUACAUACAUGUACAAGCUCUUAUUAAUCUCAUACUCGUCCAUAUCCUUGAUAUACCUAUUGAACCAUUUGGAAUACUAUCAGGUACCCGGGAAUCUCACACACUAAGUGCCAAUACAUAGCCGAAGCUAUCUCAAUCUCAUAUCACAUAUAAUGUUCACUCUCGAGCUAUCAACGGGUCUGCUCACACAAGUUGACGAUCAUGACAUAGCUACACGGUGCUGCUCACACAAGCUGACUAGAAUCCGCAACACAAGCCGAGUAACUCAGCCACCAGUAGGACGUACGGACUAGCACCCAAAUCACAUAACCCUUAAUGACAUGUCAUUUGUAUCCUAAUUUAUUCCUAAGGUUCAACUGGGAAUUCUCAUUACCGAAUCUUAGUCGAACAUUUUUGUACAAUCAUAUUCAUCAACAAUUCAAAUAUAAAAAAUUUAGAAACACAAUUAAAGUAAUGCUUCUUAACAUACAAACUUACCUCGAUUCACAAAAAUGACGGAAUGAAUCGAUUAAUCCAACACUUUGUUUUCCCUCAAAUCUAGAUCUGAACUUUAUUUUUCUUGAUUUAUAUAAUAUCAAAUUCAAUCUAUUCAUUAUUCAUUCUAUUCAAUUUAGCCCAAAAUGCAUAUUAUGGAAAAAUUACACUUUUGUCCCUAACAUUUCAAUAUAUUUACAAUUUAGUCCUUAGCUCAUAAAAAUAAAAAUUCAUGCAAUUAGGUCCCUACCCAUGCUAGCUGAAUUUCAUAUAGACCCAUAACAGCCCAUAUUUUUCAUUUAUUUCACAAUAUAAUCACAAAAUUUACACAUUUCACAAUCUAAUCCCUAAUUGGCAAUUUUACAAAAAAUCACUUUACAAAUGUUAUUUAUCUAACAACAACCAUUUAUUUUCUAUCAUCAAACAUCACAAGUCACACAUAUUCAUCAAUGGUAAAACCUUAAACCUUUCACAAUUUUGUAAAUUAGUCCCUAAGCUACCUAAAUUAAGCUGCAAUGAUCUCAAAACAUAGAAAUCAUUAAAAACGGGACAAAAAUCACUCACCAAUUUAACAAUAAAGUAGUCGAACCCUAGAAAGCUUCCAUGGAGGUCUCUCUCUUUUAUUUUUCGGUAGAAGAAGAUGACUAAAAGAUGGUAUCUUUGGUUUUCUUUAUUUUACUAAUUACUAAAUUACACUUUUAACCUUGGCUAUAAAACAUUAAAAUUACCUAAUACAUGUCCAAGUGUAACAUCUCGAAAUAGGGCCUAGUCGGAACAGUGGUUUCGAGACCAUAAAUCUGACAUUGAAAUAUUUUUUUAUGAUUAUUAUGAGGCCUGGAAUAUGAAAAUAUGCAUGUGUUGAAGUUUCAUGAAGAAAUUCUAUGAGUAAGGUGUCCAAUUGGAAAAUAAGGACCAAAUCGAAUAAUUUGUAAAACUUGGGUUCUAGAAACAAUUUGCAUGAAAUUGCUUUUAAUUAUAAAUUAAAAGGUCUUAAAUAGAAAUUUUCCCAAUUUCUAAGUUUUUGGACAAAAAUGGGCAUACAUGGAAAAUUUUGGAAGUUCAGUAAGGAAGGGCAUUUUGGUCAUUUGGUAAUAAAAUCAAUAAAAAGGGAAAAUGAAGGCAAAAAUCAGCCAUCUUCUCCCUUGUACCAGCCAAAAUUCUCAAGCCUUCCAUAGCUAGGGUUUUCAACAUUUUCAAGCUCAAUAGUAAGUGACUCCUAACCCCGUUUUUAAUGUUCUUUGUAUUGUUGAGAUCCUUGUAACAUGUUCUCUCCAUUUCCACCUAUAUUUUAAGCUAGGGUUCAUGUAUAAAAAGUGACCCAUGUGUGACAUGUUUGUUCUUUAAUGUUUUAUGGAGGAAUAUGAAAGUUAGAUGUGUGUUAAACAUCUUCUCCUAAGUGAUUUUCAUGAAAAGCCCCUAAAAGGAUGUUUUUGCAAAAGGUACAAAAUAUGUGGUAGAAAUGUGAAAUAGAGAAAAAUUUGGGCUAGUAUGAGUUUAUAAUGCAUUCGACUAGGCUUGGGUAACCAAAGAAUUGCAUGUAUAUCAUUUUACGAGCCUAGGGAUUAAAUCAUAAAUAAUGUGAAAGGUUAAGGGCAAAACAGUCAUUUUGUCUAGGGGUGAAAUUUAGGCUCAAAAAGAAUAAUGUGAGAUAUUGAUAAUUCAUUUUUAUUGUUAUAGACCCCAAGAAACAAAUUUUGGAGGUCGAUCAAGGAAAAUGAAAUGUUUCAGAAUAACCAAAAUGCGAAAUCGACACAAAUACCAGGUAAGUUCAAAUAACUUAAAGUAAACUCAUAAUAUGCCUAAAUGCAUGUUUUAUGAAUAUUAGAUAGUUUUAUAUAAUGAUGGCAUGAAAAUCCAUGAAAUGUGUUAAUAAUAAUGACAAGAUGAUAAAUGUCUCAGUUGAAGUUAAAAGGGAAAUUCGAUGGAAAAACCAUGGCUUACGUGACUUGAGAUCCUGCAUGUGUUGCAGAAAAGGGUUUAGCCCAGACGGGUAAUCCGUUGAUCUCAAAUAUAGAAAGGAUCUAGCCCGAACGGGUUUUCCUUGAAUGAUCAAGUCUCUUGAAGAAUAUGUGUGCAUUAAGGAUUUAGCUCAGACGGGUAAUCCGAUUAGGGUCUGAAUUUAGCCUGGACUGGUAAUUCAGACCUGAGCUCAUUAAGGUUGUUUGUCACUAUAAGGGAUUUAGCCUGGACUGGUAAUCCUGAAAACACUCCAUGAGUUUAUAUUACGGGGGAUUUAGCCUGGACUGGUAAUCCCGCUGUAAGAUAUGAGGUUCGUAGGAGUGCGUACUUAAGAAGAUCACUCUUAUGACUUGACGGUAAAUGGAUAAUCCAUCAAGAUUUUCGAGGUACUCAAUGGGAUUAACAUGAGAUAUCGAAAUGAAAAUAUUGGAUGAUGAGCUCAUCUAAGACAAAUUACAUUAUGAAUUAUUAUGGGACUAACUUGAUGCUUGAGUGUAUGUAAUAGGAGGCUAUCCUAUAUUUAUUGGAUUGGUUGCCUAACAUGGUUGUAUGCUAAUUAAUCGGUAAGUUUACUUUCCAAUUAUUCGGGCUUACUAAGCAUGUAAAUGCUUACCCCUCUCUUUUCCCUGUCUUAUAGAGCUCGAGGACUCGUAGAGAUUGGAAGACGGUUGGAGUAUUGUUGACACUAUCCACUUCUCCUGUUUUGGUAUAUAGAUACUUUUAUUUUGUUACAAUGGCAUGUAUAGAUUUUUGGUUAUUUGGUGUUAUAUGUCAUUGGUUGGCCAAUGUAAAGGCUUAAAUGUUAAACUUAUUCUUUUUGUAUAUGGCCAUAAGACAUGGCUCAUUUCAUUGUAGAUUAUGACCUACCAACCAUGCAUGUUUAUGUUAGAAAUGUUUUUGUGAUGAUUAAAUGUUGUAUAUCAUAAAUAAGCAUUCGUAAGGUGGCCAAAACAUUUGGAAAUGGUUAGGCCAUAAUUGGAAAUGAAUUGUAAUAAUGAUCCAAGCCUAAAAUAUGUUUCAAUAGGAUGGAAAUCCUUAUUAUGAAAAGGGGAUAAUUGAGUAUGUAUUUAACUGAUGAGAUGAGGUUGACAUGCAAUGGAUUCAUUGAUGAUAGUCCUUGAGUAUAUUUAAGUCAUGUUAAAUGCAAUUGGGGUUUUUAUAUGUGAGGAAAUGAUGAGGGUGACCAUUGGCUUGAAAUUAUAGCCUAAAAAGGGUCCACACGGGUAGACACACAAGUGUGUGUCUAGGCCGUGCGUGACACACGGUCAGCCCCAUGGGUGUGUGGUACGGUCGUGUGUCCCCUGCACCUAAAGUUUUUUCAGUCAAAAUGCAUGGUAGUAAACACACAGAAAGAGACAUAGUCGUGUGUCUCAGCCGUGUAGAGGGCACGGCCUAGCACACGGGCAUGUGUCUUGGCCGUGUGCCCCUAAAUACAUGCUGACAUCAUAAACAGAAUGUCCAGGUUUUUGGACAUGAGCUAUCACACAGGCGUGGCUAGGCCAUGUGAAAAACACGGGCCAGGGACACGGGCGUGUGCUUGGCCAUGUGAAAACCCUAUAGGUUCAAAAUAAAAAAUAAAUUUAAUUAAUUCCACACGAGUUAGGGACAUAGGUGUGUCCCCAAAGCACACGGGCGUGUGCAUUGUCUCCACACUGGUGUGUGAGGCUUAACCUAGAAAAUUUUCCUAAAAUUUUCUUAGGUUCUCGGUUUAGUCCCGGACCAUUCUCAAUGUAUGUUUUGGAUCUCGUAGGCCCAUAAUAGUGAUACUAAGAUGUUGUUUAAUUGGUUUUAAUUUGGAACAAAAUUUUUUAACCCGUAUUUUUCGAAAAUGUCUAAGUAUGUAUCUCGUAACGCCUUGUACUUGGUCUCGGUCUCAGGUACGGGUAAGGGAUGUUACACCGAGAAUGUCCACUAACUUUAUAAAUGGGCUAAUUACCACAUAAGGACCUCCACUUUCAGGUUCCAUAGCUAUAGAUACCUUUAGCUAAUAGAAUUCAAGUUUUACACUUUAUGCGAUUUAGUCCUUUUUAUCAAAUUGAACAUUCAAACUAUAAAAUUUCUUAAAGAAAUUUUCACACAAUCAUACUAUCGUACUGUAGACAUUAAAAUACUAAUAAAAUAAUUAUUUUGACCUCAGAUUUUUGGUCCCGAAACCACUGUUCCAAUUUGACUAAAAAUGGGUUGUUAUAGUUUGUUUCCCAAAAAUGUAAUGCUCGUAAAAACCUAAUUUGUAACGCCCCUCACCCAUAUCGACGCCAAAAUAGGUUCAAGCCGUUACCUGAGAUUCUCAUUCGUAAACAUAUUAAAUCAAGUCACUAAGUUGCGCUGUAAUUUAGAACUUUUCAAAUAUGUAUAUCCUUUCCCUUAAACAGGCCUUCGAGACCUAAAACAUGCCUAGAGGCGGUGCGGGACAAAACCAAGAACGUUUGAUAAACAUGGAGCACAUUGGAAAUUUUCUUUUAACUUGAAGUGUCACACGCCCGUGUGACUUGGGACAUGCCCGUGCAAUCACCCUGUGUCCAAGACUUGAACAUUCUAUUAAAUUCACACGGCCAAGACACACGCCCGUGUGUCUAGCCCGUGUUCAUUUAACAGACCUACCAUUUUAGAUGAAAUGGACACACGAUCAUGCCAUACACCCACGAGUGUGUCCCGUGUGUCACACAUAGCCUAGGCACAUGCCCGUGUACCCAACCGUGUCAACCCUAUUAGGCUAUUUUCGAAGCCUAUGGUCACCCCCUUUUAACACUUAUACUUAAUGAAUAUUAAAAACGAAGUAAAACAAGAUUAUGUUCUCAUAAAUGAUCUUUGCAAAAAACUUAUUGCAUGGAAACCUCAUAUCAUUGGUUUCGUACAUGCUAGGUUAUUUCCCAUCUUGUAUUUAUGUGUUGUCAUACCACUUUAACACAUUCAAGAUUGGCUCGUUCUUAUGACUCAUUGCUAAUUGGAAUUCAACCCUCGCACAUGAUUCUAAACUUGAAUGGAAAUUUUGUAGGUCAUAGCCUAUUUCAAAAUAAGCCAAUCUCCAUGGCGACAUACAAAAAGAUAGAAUUCUCUUUCAUGCCUUCAUUUGGUAAAUUAAAUGGCACAUAUAACAAAUUACUCAAAAGACCUAUACAUGCCAUUGAACAAAUCAAAAAUGUCUUUAUACCAAAGCUGAGCUAUUUGAUAGUAUGCUAACUCUCUAACCCUCUUCCAAUCUUUACAAGUCCUCGAGCUCUGGGAGAAACAGGGAAAAGAGAGGGGUAAGCAUUUUCAUGCUUAGUAAGCUCGAAUAACCAGACAGUAAACUUACCAAGUAAUUAGCAUGCAAUCAAGUUGGUUAAUAAAUUCAAUGAGCAUAGGAUGGCUUCCCUAUCACAUACACUCAAUCAUUGAGUUAGUCACAUAACAAUGCACUAUGAAAGAUAUCUUAGAUGAGCUCAUCAUUCAACAUCUCAUUUAGUAAAUAUAAGUCAUGUUAAUCUUGUUGAGUUUCUAGGAAGUUUCAAUGAUAUACCCAUUAACUGUCAAUUCGUAUGAAUGAUCAUUUCCAGUAUGCACUCCCGCGAACCUCACAUCUCAUGGCGGGAUUACCAGUCCAAGCUAAAUACCCCAUUUUAUGAACUCAUAAGUUGAUGUCGGGAUUACUAGUCCAAGCUAAAUCCCUUAUAACGAAAAACACUUUUAUUGAGCUCGGAUCUAAAUUACCAGUCCAGGCUAAAUUCAGAUCCUAAUCGGAUUACCCGUCUGGGCUAAAUCAAUAAUGCACACAUAUUCUUCGGGAGGCUCGACUAUUCAAAAGAACACCCGUCUGAGCUAGAUCGUUUUAUAAAUGAGAUCAACGGAUUACCCGUCUGGGCUAAAUCCUUUCUGCAACACAUGCAGGACCUCAUUACACAUGUCAAUCAUGGUUUAUCUUUCGAAUUCCCUUUUUAACCUCAACUGAGACAUUUAUCACAAUUCAUACUUAAACAUGCAUUUCAUAAAAUUUCAUGUUAUUAAUAAAUGCAAUCACCAUGUAUUCAUAAAUCAUAUAAUUAGGCACAUUGAGUGUUUACUUUAAGUUAUCCGAACUUACCUGGUAUUUGUUUCGGUGUCAUGUUUCGUUUAUUCUGAAACCUUUUGUUUUUCUCGAUUGACCUCCGAAAUUUGUUCCUCGAGGUCUAUAACAAUAAAAAUAGAUCAUUAACACUCCACAUUAUACAUUUCAAGUCUAAAUUCCACCCUCGGUCCAAAUGACCAUUUUGCCCCUAACCUUUCACAUUUUUACGAUUUAGUCCCUAGGCUCGUAUGAUGAAACACACGCAAUUUAUACUUUACUCAAGCCUAGCCAAACACUUUUCCCUCUUAUGGUAGCCUACAUUUUCCAUUAUUUUCACAUUCCUACCACACAUUUUACAACUUUUGCAAAAAGGUCCCUUUAGGGGUUUUUCAUGAAAAUCACCUAGGAAAAGUUGUUUAACACACAUCAAACUUUCAUAUUCCUCCAUAAAACAUCAAAAUACAAUUAACUCAUGCAUGGGUAAAUUUUUAAACAUGAACCCUAGCAUGAAAUAUUGGUAGAAAUGGAGAUAGUAAGCUACCGGGAUCUCAAAAUUACGAAGAACAUUAAAAACGGGGCUUGGGAGCACUUACUAAUGAGCUUGAAAAUCUUGGAAACCUUAGCUAUGGUGGCUUAUGAAUUUCAGCUGGACAAGGGAGAAGAAUGGCUGAUUUUUGCCUUCUUUUUCCCAUUUUAUUUCAUUAAUAUGCCACAUGACCAAAAUGCCCUUACGCCAUUUCUUUGAAAUUUCAUCCAUCCAAGCCCAUUUUUUUCCAAAAACAUAGAAAUUGGGAAAGUUGCUCCCCAAGACCUUCUAUUUUAUAAUCUAAAUCAAUUUCAUACAAAUUGCUUCUAGAAUCCAAGUUUUGUAAUUUAUUCAAUUUAGUCCCUAAUUUUCCAAUUGGGCACUUACUCAAAGAAUUCCUUCAUGAAACUUUAACACAUGCGUAUUCUCAUAUUGUAAGCCUUGUAAUAAUCAUAAAAUAAAUAUUUUGAUGUCUGAUUUGUGGUCCCGAAACCACUAUUCCAACUAGGCCCUAUUUUGGGAUGUUACAUUUCUCCCCCCAAGGACUUUCGUCCUCGAAAGUCUUACCAGUGAACUGAUUCGGAUAUUGGCUUCUCAUGGAUUCUUCUGGUUCCCAUGUAGCCUCUUCUACACCAUGUCGAUGCCAUAAAACUUUUACUAAGGCCACAUAUUUAUUCCUCGGCUGUUUAACCUCACGAGCCAAUAUCUUAACUGGUUCCUCUUCAUAGGUCAUGUCUAGUCGAAUUUCAAUCUCAGUCAGUGAAAUCACGUGAGAGGGGUCUGAUCAGUAUCGCCUUAACAUAAAUACAUAGAACACAUCGUGAAUCUUUUCCAAUUCAGGUGGAAAUGCCAAGUGAUAGGCUACCGGUCCAACUCUUUCAAUGAUCUCAUACGGUCCGACAAAUCGCGGAUCCAGUUUGCCUUUUGGGGCAAAUCUCAACACCUUUUUUCCAUGGAGAUACUUCCAAGAAUACUCUAUCUCCAACUUGAAACUCAAUUUCCUUUCUUUUCAAAUCAACAUAUGAUUUUGCCUAUCCGAUGCCGCUUUCAAACAGUCUCGUAUCACUUUAAAUUUCUCUUCAGUUUCUUUAAUCAAAUCAACUCUGUGAAUCUGAUUUUCCUUAAGUUAUGUCCAGUACAAUGGAGUUCAGCACUUCCUGCCAUACAAGGCCUCAUAAGGUGCCAUCUUCAAACUCGUCUGAAAACUAUUGUUGUAGGCGAAUUAUACUAGUGGCAAAUAUUUUUCCCAACUACCCUGAAAUUCAAGGACGCAACAUCGCAACAUAUCCUCAAGAAUCUGAAUCAUCUGCUCAGACUAACCAUCUGUCUAAAGGUGAAAAGCUGCACUAAAGCUUAACUUCAUACCCAAGGCUUCUUGUAAUUUCUUCAAGAAUCUCGAAGUGAACCUCGGGUCUCAGUCGGAAAUAAUUAAUAGUUGUACCCCAUGAAAUCUUACAAUCUCAGAAAUGUAUAAGUCGGCAAAUCUAUCGAGGGAAUAAUAUGUCCUCAACAGAAUAAAAUAAGCCAACUUCGUCAACUUAUCUACUAUGACCCAUACGGCAUUUUUCUUCUUCGAAGUCAAUGGUAAUCCUGUCAUGAAAUCCAUAGUAACUCUAUCCCACUUCCAUUCGGGGACAAUCACAGGCUGUAGAAAACCUGAAGGCACUUGAUGUUCAACUUUAACUUGCUGACAUACCAGGCAUUUCGACACAAAUUUAGAAAUCUCUCUUUUCAUGCCGUUCCACUAGUAUGUUUUCUUCAAAUCAUUGUACAUCUUGGUACUUUUCGGGUGAAUUGACAAACGGCUGUUAUGUGCUUCUUGCAAAAUUUUCCGAAUAAGUUAAUUGUUUUUGGGUACACAAAUCGUAUCUCUGAACAUCAAACAUCCAUCAGAAACAAUCCAAAAAUUUGAUUCAAUACCUCACUCACAUUGAGUUUGUUUAGCUUGAAAGCUAUCAUCAUUAGUUUGAGCAUCAUAGAUUUCAUGAAGGAAUGUCGGCCUAGCCUUUAGCUCAGCCAAGACUGAACCAUCAUCAAGCAAUGCCAAACGAGCAUCCAUAGCCCUUAAUGCAAACAAGGAUUUUCUGUUCGACACGUCAGCGAUCACAUUCGCCUUUCCCAGGUGAUAAUCAAUAAUUAGUUCGUAAUCCUUGAUUAACUCUAGCCACCUCUGCUGCCUCAAAUUUAAUUCUUUUUGAGUUAUCAAAUACUUCAAACUCUUGUGGUUAGUGAAUAUGUGGCAAGUCUCACAAUAUAAAUAAUGUCUACAAAUUUUCAAAGCAAAAACGAUGGCGGCAAGUUUUAGGUCGUGUGUAAGAUAGUUCUUCUCAUGCGGCUUCAACUAUCGUGAAGCAUAGGCUAUUACUUUGCCAUCUUGCAUAAGUACACAACCCAGUCUAUUUGAGGAUGCGUCACUGUAGACUACAAAUUAUUUUCCCGACUCAGGUAAUACUAAAACAGGAGCUUCAGUUGACAGUGUUUUUAACUUCUAAAAACUUUGUUGACACUUUUCCGUCCAUUCAAACUUAAUGUUUUUCUGUAACAAUCUCAUCAUUGGAGUUGCUAUCAUGGAGAAUCCUUUCACAAAUCUUCGAUAGCAACCAGCUAAGCCCAAAAAGCUUCUAACCUCAGUUACAUUUUUAGGUGGUUUCCAUUCAAUAAUAGCAGAGAUCUUACUUGGAUCGACUAGGAUGCCUUCACCAAAAACAAUAUGACCUAAAAAUCCAACUUCCUAAAGCCAAAACUCACUCUUGCUAAACUUAGCAUACAGCUGCUUUUCCCGCAAAGUCUGCAACACAAUUCUCAAGUGCUUCGCGUGCUCUGUCUUAUCUUUGGAAUAAAUCAAUAUGUCGUCAAUGAACACAACGACAAACUUGAUCAAAUAUGGCUGUAAGAUCCUAUUCAUUAGGUCUAUAAAUACAGCUGGUGCAUUCAUCAGCCCAAAUGGCAUGACAAGAAAUUCAUAAUCGCCAUACCUUAUCCUAAAGGCUGUCUUAGGUACAUCCAAUUCUUUAACUCGCAACUGGUAAUAGCCAGACCCUAAGUCUAUCUUAGAGAACACGGUGGCUCCUUUCAACUGGUCAAACAAAUCAUCAAUCCUUGGUAAAGGAUACUUAUUCUUGAUAGUUACCUUGUUCAGUUGGCUGUAAUUUAUACAUAACCUCAUCGAACUAUCCUUCUUCCUUACAAAUAGAACGGGAGCACCCUAAGGUGAAAAGCUCGGCCUUACAAAACCUUUAUCCGUCAGCUCUUGCAACUGUGCUUUCAACUCUCUCAGCUAGGUUGGUGCCAUCCUAUACGGAGCAAUUAAAAUAGGAUCUGUCCUUGGCACCAGCUCAAUACCAAAUUCUAUUUCCCUUUCAGGAGGUAAUCCGGGUAAUUCUUCUAGAAAUACAUCUGGGUACUCACAUACUAUAGGCACAGAUUCAAUCUUCAACUCUGUUUCCUUAGUGUUCAAUACAAUUGCAAGGUAGGCUUCAUACCCUUUUCUCAUAUAUCUCUGAGCAACCAUUGCCGUGAUCACAACCGAAAGCGUACCCAACUCUCUUGAAUCAACCCAUAGAAAUUCACCAUCCGGACAUUUCAAUUUAAUAUACUUACCACCAUAAUUUACAAUUACAUCAUGCAGUGCUAACCAAUCCAUACCAAAUAUUAUAUCAAAUUCAUCAAAUGGUAACAACAUAAGAUUAGCCAGAAAACAAUGACCCUGAAUUGUCAAAGGACAAUUCUUACAGACUUUAUCAACUAUGACUGAUCUGCCUAGUGAGUUCGACACUUUAAUAAUAAAUUCCGUAGGCUCAAUGAGUAUGUUCAUUCUAGAUACCAAGCUCAUACAAAUGUAUGAAUGCGUCGACCCCGGGUCAAUUAAGGCAAUAACACAUGUAUCGAAAAGAGAAAAAGUAUCCGUGAUAACAUUAGGAGCAGAGGCUUCCUCUCGGGCGCGUACCGCAUACGUUCUUGCCGGAGGUUGAGCCUCUAAUUUUGCAGCAUCUUUAACCACAACUCAACUGUCACUGGCACUUCCAAGAUAUCUCGGAGGUCUACCUCAUGAAAUGGGAGUACUCGACUUCAGGGCUACUUUCACUUCUUUCUCGACUCACUCUAGGCAGUCCCUGAGAAAGUGGUCAAGAGAUCCACAUCUGAAACAUGCACGUCUCUUCACUCGGCACUCUCCGAAGUGAAAUUUGUUGCAACUCCUACACUUCAGCUUUUGAUCAUCUACACUCCCCACACUAGUUACCAUCAGGGAGGAAGACUUUUGGCUUCUUCGUUUAGAGCUUCUCGCUCUACCCAAAUAUCCUACUGAUGAAAUGGAGCGUUCAUGCUGGCUCUUUGAUUUCUUGUGGGAAACAAGAGUGUUCUACCACUAGACCUCUUGCUCGCGGCUUAGGCCUCUCUCUUUGUUUGCUUUCUUUCGUUGUUAAGCUCCCCGACCUUCUUGGCCCGAUCAGCCAAUGCAACAACCUCUCAUAUUUCAAGGAUCCCAAUCAACAACUUAAUUUGCUCCUUCAGACCUUCCUCGAAGCGUUUACACAUUUUUGACUCGGUUUGGAGCCAUUCAGUUGCGUGCUGACUUAGCCUCACGAACUCUCGUUCAUAUUCUGCUUCAGUCUUGUUCCCUUGUUUGAGUUUUAGGAACUCAUUUCGUUUCAAGUCUAGAAACCGUUGGCUAAUGUAUUUCUUCCUAAACUCUAUUUAGAAGAAAUCUCAAGUGAUAUUUUCCUUUGGCACUACCGAGGAUACAGUCUUCCACCAAUGAUACGCAAUAUCUUUUAGGAGGGACACGGCACACUUCAAACGCUCCUCAGGUGUGCACGACAAAUCAUCUAACACUGGUGUAGUAUUCUCAAGCCAAAACUCGGCUCUUUCAGCAUCAUCAUCAACUUUAGCUCUGAAUUCCUCAGCCCCAUACUUUCUAAGCUUAUCAACAGGGGCUUUACCAAUUCUUACCGGUGCCCUACCUCGUGGCACAUCCUCAUUAGGUUGGUUAGGGGGCGGGGGAGGUCUUGGUAUGUUGGGGCGAUUCCUCAGGUAAUCCCCAAACCAUUCGUCCUUCAUAAGCCUUCUACUACUACUAGUAGAUACAGCUCGUUGUAUGAAAGCUGGAGCAUGGCUCUCAGCUCCCUCGGACUCAUCUUGUGUUUGAUUGGAAGACAUUUACUAUAUUCAAAACAAUUUAAACAGUUAGGAGACGUCAUACUAUCAAUAUUCGAAUGAUGGUAUGUAUAGCAAACCUCAAUACUCUCUACGAUAGUCCUAGAACUGACUAAAUCGUAGCUCUGAUACCAUUAAAUAUAACACCCUUUACCCGUUACUUGAGAUUCUCGUUCAUAAACAUAUUAAAUCUAAUCACUAAGUUGCACUCUAAUUUAAAACUAUUCAAAUAUGUAUAUCAUUUCCCUUAAACAAGCCUUCGAGACCUGAAACAUGCCUAGAUGCAGUACGGGACAAAACCGAAAACGUUUGAUAAACUUGGGGCACCUUGGAAAAUUUCUUUUAACUUGAAGUGUCACACGCCCGUAUGACUUGGGACACUCCCGUUCAAUCACCCCGUGUCCAAGACUUGAGCAUUCUAUUAAAUUCACACGGCCAAGACACACGCCCGUGUGUCUAGCCCGUGUUCAUUUAACAGACUUACCAUUUUAGAUGCAGGGGACACACAACCAUGCCACACACCUACGGGUGUGGCCCGUGUGUCAUACACGGCCUAGGCACACGCCCGUGUACCCAACUGUGUAAACCCUAUUAGGCUAUUUUCCAAGCCUAUGGUCACCCCCUUUUUAACACUUAUACUUAAUGAAUAUUAAAAACGAAGUAAAACAUGAUUAUGCUCUUAUAAAUGAUCUUUGCAAAAACUUAUUACGUGGAAACCUCAUAUCAUUAGUUUCGUACAUGCUAGGUUAUUUCCCAUCUUGUAUUUAUGUGUUGCCAUACCACUUUAACACAUUCAAGAUUGGCUCGUUCUUAUGACUCAUUGCCAAUUGGAAUUCAACCAUCGCACAUGAUUAUAAACUUGCAUGGAAAUUUUGUAGGUCAUAGCCUACUUCAAAAUAAGCCAAUCUCCAUGGCAAUAUACAAAAAGAUAGAAUUAUCUUUACAUGCUUUCAUUUGGAAAAUUAAAUGACACAUAUAACAAAAUACUCAAAAGACCUAUACAUGCCAUUGAACAAAUCAAAAAUGUCUUUAUACCAAAGCUGAGCUAUUUGAUAAUAUGCUGACUCUCUAACCGUCUUCAAUCUUUACGAGUCCUCGAGCUCUAGGAGAGACAGGGAAAAGAGAGGGGUAAGCAUUUUCAUGCUUAGUAAGCUCGAAUAACUGGAAAGUAAACUUACCAAGUAAUUAGCAUGCAAUCAAAUUGGGUAAUAAAUUCAAUGAGCAUAGGAUGGCUUCCCUGUAGCACCCCAAACCCGGCCUAGACGUUAUGGUCGGAUCCGACAUGCCACAUCGAAGCAUUCAAAACAUUUUAUAUUAUUGGUCCAGAAAAUCUUAUUUAGUGUUUUAAAAGAUAAUUUUAUUAUAGGUUAAAGUGAAUGGAAGCUAUGCACCAGGUAGGAAACCGAAAAAGAGGUGGUGAGUCCAUCGGACUGCGUAAGUACCAAGAUCCCUUCGGAUCCAAUCCUAGACAUGCAUACUGCCAUUGUCACACCUUAACGUCAUGGAUAUUUCUAGGAAACCGAUUUGAUUAAGUCAUUUUUAGGAAAAGUGAUUAAUUUUGGAAAACACUUUCAUUGCGGAAGCUUUAUUUGUUGUCGUGUUAUUUUGAAAUCAAUUGUUGUUUUUGAAAACGCACCCUAAAGCUAUCCAAUUUCAACAGUUAAAAUAAGUAAUACCUAUCUUAGUAAUACAUAUUAAAACCAUCAAAAAUAAUUAAGUGGCCUUAUUACAUUUAAAAACCCAAAACUUCAAACGUAAAUAACAGGAUAUCCAUUUCACCGGAAGAAAAUCAAACUUUCAGAAUGGGUGGCCACUCCAAAUUCCCUCACAACUCUAAGCCCACUAUGGUUGGGGAUUUCCUGCGUGGAUGAAAAUAAAAAGGGUGAGUUUGGGGAAACUCAGUGUAUAAGGAAAACCCAUUCAAAGCCCAAGUCAGCUCAAGCCAUUGGGCCUAAGCCCAUUCAGGUAACAGUGGUACUGGGCCAGAGCCCUUUUCAGAUUACAAUAAACUGGGCCUUAGCCCCUUAUUCAGAUAACAGUAUGGCCCAUAGGCCCAUUUCAAAAUACAUGCAACAUCAAUAACAUAUGCAAGCCCAUUUGGGGAGACUACUCAACCCACCAACCACUACACUCCACCCGUACCAGUCAUACACUCCAUGUGGGGAAUAGCUCAACCCACCCAGCCCAACACUCCACAGUUGCAGCCUUGCUGCUCAGUUAACAGUAAAUUGAGGCAAAGCCUCCAGUACGUGGACAAGCCACUUUCAGUACUUCCUCCGUCAAUAUCCCAGUCCCAUGCAUCAGAUAAUAACAACAUGGCAUGCAGUAAAUAACAACAGUCAAACAUGCAUUUAGGUCAAUUUAACCCUAGCGGUAUUUCGAUAAUUUAUCUCCUAGGGAUAAAACUGUAAAUUUUCCACUUUUAAAGGUAUUUCAGUAAUUUAUCUAUUUUAGGGUUUUUCAUGCAUAUUCCUACCUUUCACGUACUAACAGAAUCACGUACCGAGGGUUCUUACCGAAUUGGGCCCGUUGGUCAAUCAUUCCAAUUUUGGCCCAUUAAGCCCAAAAAUAUCGAGGGCACAAAAAUCAUGCACUUUGCAGUCCAAACACUGCAGCUUACCAAAAACAUUAAUCGAUUUACCUCACGAGCAUUCGCACACUCGCAAAUCUACAAAAUAUCGAUUUUUGACAUUUCGGCUUUUUGGCUUUUGCCGAUCUAGACUAAGAAAGAGGGUGUUAGUUACACACCUGUUUGCGACGAUAUGCUGACGAGAUCCACACACGAACUGCCUACAAUUGGAUUACUAACACGUUAAUCUAACUAUUCAAAUACAAACUACGUAUUAACCCCUUACAAUAUUCGGCCAACCACACCUACAAAUCAUAGUAAGCUUAUAAGAAAUCAAUAAGCAACUCAUUAACAAAUUUUUAUCAAUGUUUACCACAUAAUCAUAAUUUCACUGCAAGCUAUCUUCCUGAGCAAUAGUCACUAAAUUAUUUAUAACUGGAGCUACGAAACUCCAAAUCAAGUGCCAUUAAUUUUCCAUGAAAAUAGACUCAUAUAUCUUCUAUCCAUAAAAUUUCAGAAUUUUUUGGUCUAGCCAAUCAAUACCAGAUUUUUCUCAAAGUUUCCCAUGUUUCACUAUUUGACUAAUCUGACCACUCUUCAUUACGAAUCAAAUUUCUCAUUGUACAGAAUUUAAAAUAUGUUCUUGUUUAUUUCAUUAGAACCUAGACUCAAUAAGCUUUAAUUACAUAAUUUAUUCAGCUUCAAAUUCAUCUCCCACAAUUUAUGGUGAGUUUCCAAAGUCACAUUACUGCUGCUGUCCCAAGCAGAUUUAUUACCAAAUCACUCUUUCACACAUACCUUGCAUGCAUGUUAUUUAAACAUGUAUAUCACCAAUCAAUCAUCACAUAUCUAUGAUUUUACUUAAGAAUAAUCUCCAUUUCAUCAUUUUAAAGCACAACAUGUUAGCUGAUUUUUCCCUUUAACAUCUAAGGCACAUGCAUGCUCAUUUGUUUGGCUCAACUUCACCUAUCUUCCAUUUUUUUCAUCAAAAGAACAUGAAAAAACAACCAUUUCCUUAAUUUUAAUUCAUGACUAAAUGCUCACAACACAACUAAAAACCAAAAUAUGCUUCAAGAGUUAAGGUAGAAUCAAGAAGAACUCAUGAACAUCAAGAUAGAAGCCAACUACCAUGAACUUACCUUCAAUUUUCUUCCCCAAGUGACCGAACACUCAAGAGCUUUCUCCUCUCCUUUCUCUUCUCUAACUUUCAGCUAUGAUGAACAAAGAUGGACAAGACUUUGUUCUUUUCACCCCUUUUUCUUUUAAUAAAACUUCAUAUUUCAUCCAUUUAAUUCUUUAAUACAAAAGACAUGAAAUUCUUAUCAUGAAACAUUUACCUAACCCAUUAUCAUGAAACAUUUACCUAACCCAUUAUCAUGGAACAUUUACCUAACCUAUUAUCAAUUUAUAUCAAUUUGUACCAUAAAUUAUGGAUAUCAAGUGUACAUUUUGUCUACAACAACAUGAUGGCUGGCCACUUCAUGUAAAAUGGGAGGUUUGUCAUGCAAAUCCUCCUAUUUUGCACUCCUAUUUAUUUGGUCACUUCAAUUUAGCCUAUAGCAUUUUCAAACAUUUUCACAUAGGUCCUAUUUCAUAAUUUCACUCACAAAUGACAAAAAUUAAGCAUGAAAUUUUGCCAACAUUCACAGAAUUCCCGAAAAUUGGGGCGUUACAUUCCCUAUCACAUACACUCAAUCAAUGAGUUAGUCACAUAACAAUGUAUAAUGAAAGUUAUCUUAGAUGAGCUCAUCAUUCAACAUCUCAUUUUGUACAUAUAAGUCAUGUUAAUCUUGUUGAGUUUCUAGAAAGUCUCGAUAGAAUACUUAUUAACCGUCAAUUCGUAUGAAUUAUCAUUUCCAGUAUGCACUUCCGCGAACAUCACAUCUCAUGGCAGGAUUACCAGUCCAGGCUAAAUCCCCCAUUUUAUGAACUCAUAAGGUGAUGUCAAGAUUACAAGUCCAGGCUAAAUCCCUUAUAACAACAAACACCUUUAUUGAGCUUGGAUCUGAAUUACCAGUUCAGGCUAAAUUCAGAUCCUAAUCGGAUUACCCGUCUGGACUAAAUCCAUAAUGCACACAUAUUCUUCGGGAGGCUUGACCAUUUAAAGGAACACCCGUCCGGGCUAGAUCCUUUUAUAAAUGACAUCAACGGAUUACUCGUCUGGGCUAAAUCCUUACUGCAACACAUGCAGGACUUCAUUACACAUGUCAAUCAUGGUUUAUCCAUCGAAUUCCCUUUUUAACCUCAACCGAGACAUUUAUCACAAUUCAUACUUAAACAUACAUUUCAUAAAAUUUCAUGUUAUUAAUAAAUGCAAUCAUCAUGCAUUCAUAAAUCAUAUAAUUAGGCACAUUGAGUGUUUACUUUAAGUUAUCCGAACUUACCUGGUAUUCAUUUUGGUGUCGUGUUUUGGUUAUUUCGAAACCUUUCGUUUUCCUCGAUCGACCUCCAGAAUUUGUUCCUCUAGGUCUAUAACAAUAAAAAUAGAUCAUAAACACUCUAAAUUAUAUAUUUCAAGUCUAAAUUCCACCCCCGAUCCAAAUGACCGUUUUGCGCCUAACCUUUCACAUUUUUACAAUUUAGUCCCUAGGCUCGUAUAAUGAAAGGCAUGCAAUUUCUACCUUACUCAAGCCUAGCCGAACACUUUUCCCUCUUAUGGUAGCCCACAUUUUUCAUUAUUUCCACAUUCCUGCCACACAUUUUACAACUUUUGCAAAAAGGUCCCUUUAGGGGUUUUUCAUGAAAAUCACCUAGAAAAAGUUGUUUAACACACAUCAAACUUUCAUAUUCCUCCAUAAAACAUCAAAAUACUAGUAACUUAUGCAUGGGUAAAUUUUUAAACAUGAACCCUAGCAUGAAAUAUUGGUAGAAAUGGAGAGAGUAAGCUACCGAAAUCUCAAAAUUAAGAAGAACAUUAAAAACGGGGCUUGAGAACACUUACUAAUGAGCUUGAAAAGCUUGGAAACCCUAGUUAUGGUGGCUUGGAGAUUACGGCUGGACAAGGGAGAAAAAUGGUUAAUUUUUUCCUUCUUUUCCCAUUUUAUUUCAUUAAUAUGCCACAUGACCAAAAUGCCCUUAAGCCCUUUCUUUGAAAUUUCAUCAAUGCAAGCCCAUUUUUGUCCAAAAACUUAGAAAUUAGAAAAAUUUCUCCCCAAGACCUUCUAUUUUAUAAUCUAAAGCAAUUUCAUACAAAUUGCUUCUAGAAUCCAAGUUUUGCAAUUUAUUCAAUUUAGUCCCUAAUUUUCCAAUUGGGCACUUACUCAAAGAAUUCCUUCAUGAAACUUUAACACAUGUAUAUUCUCAUAUUCUAAGCCUCGUAAUAAUUAUAAAAUAAAUAUUUUGAUGUCGUAUUUGUAGUCUCGAAACCACUAUUCCGAUUAGGCCCUAUUUUGGGGUGUUACAUAAUUUACCAACUCCAAUGUCUUUGGGAAAAAUUUUAUUGCACAAGACUAUUAUAUCUUCCUCACUCAUAUGACCUAGUUGCAUGUGCCAAAGUUUUGUUGAGUCGGAAUCGAUGAAGAAAGAGUCACGUCGUGUCGCCGUGACGUGGUGGGAAUUUCGACUUUUCUUCAGUAAUCGCAGCCACACCAGUAAUUGUUGACCCUUGCAAAACGUAUAGGCUGCCCUUUUCCUCUCCCCUCAUCAUAAAAGAGCCUCAGAGAAACUUUUAAGUCAUUUGACUCAAUGACUAUCCUGCAACCAUUAGAAUCCAAAAUUCCCAAUGAGAUAAGAUUUUUCUUUAAAUCAGGAACAUACCUGACAUAUGAAAGUGUUUGAAUAAUCCUGUCAUGCAUCUUAAUUUGUAUCGUUCCAAUUCCGAAUAUUUUACAUGGGAGAGUUAUUCCCGAUCAGCACAACUCCACCUUCAACUUAACUAUAUGUAGAGAACCAGUCCCUGUUGGGAUACAUGUGACAGGAGUACUCUGAAUCUAAGUUCCAUUCAGAAGUAAGAUGAUAGCUUUUGCUCGUUGACACCAACAAGAAAUUAUCACAUUUAUCCUCAACUACACUAGCAUCAACAACGUCGGCUUUUUGCUUAUCUUUCUUAUCGUUUUCAUCAUCAUUUUUUAUAUUAUUUUGAAAUUUCCAACAUUCUGCCUUAACAUGGCCCGCCUUUUUACAAUAACCACAAUAUUUGUGAUGAUUUCUGGAGUUGGACCUUGCUUUAGACCUAUUUUGAUCUGUCUUUCUGGUUUGUCAUUUGCCUCUUGCAACUAGAACUGAGGUUUGCCCGUAUGAUUUUUUGUUUGGGCUUAACUCAUUAUUGAGUUUAUCCUUACUCAGAAGAUUCCCCUUCACAUCCUCGAACGAGUGAUGGUAUCUCCCAUAAAUCAAAGUUUCCCUGAAAGUUUUAUAAGAAAAAGGCAAAGAGCAUAACAAUAACAUAGCUUGAUCCUUAUCACUAAUAUUUGCUUCGAGAUUCUAUAAGUCUUUAAAAAGGGUAACAAACUCGCUAAUAUGAGUUUUGAUGGACUCACCUUUAGCCAUUCUGAACAUGUAGAAAUGUUGUUUUAAUACUAACCUGUUGGCUAGAGAUUUUGUCAUAUAUAAGGUUUCUAGUUUCUUCCAUAACAUAAACGAUGUUUUCUCCUUCAAAACCUUCUAUAACACAUUAUUCGUGAGAUAUAAUUGAAUAAUGGAUAGAGUCUUUUCAUCGAGCUCUUCCCAUUCUGACUGAUCCAUAUCUACGAGCUUUUUCCCUGUAAUGACCUUUUUCAGACCGUUCUAAACCAAUAUUGUUGUCAUUCAAACUUUCCACAAACUAAAAUUUACAAUUCUUCAAACUUCUCAAUAUCAAACCUUGACGUUGCCAUCUCUAAACGGGUUGACUGUAAAAAUUAAACUAGCUCUGAUACCAUUUUGUGGGGGAAAAACCCAUUAAGCAAUGAAUAAAGUAAAUAAAAUAAGAAUCGAAAAGAUCGAACAUGUAAAUUUUGCAUGGAAAACUCCUCAAGAGAGGAUAAAAACCACGGGAAAAAACAAAUUUCACUAUAAUAAAGGAGAGUACAAAAGAUGGAGGAGAGAAUUAAAAGAAAACCCGAAGCCCUUCAAGAAAAACCCUUCAAAACAAAGAAUAAAAUUCUCUCAAUCUAAAUAAAUUUUUGUUAUGUAAAACCUAGAGUAACUAAGGACUAUUUAUAGUUGAAAUUUGUAGCAUAUAUGACUACAACAAUUAGAGUUUAAGUGGGAAAGUAGAAACAAAGUUUAACUAGGAGAAAAAUAAAUUUUGGUCAAAAUAAGAGGCAUUCUUCCACACCUUUCCAAAUAAUACCUUAAGAGAGUGUCACAAAGUUACCCAAUGGAAUAGCAAGAUACAAAAGCUUAAGAUACUCCAAAACAGCAAACAAAGUGAGACCACACUAUUGCCUAUUUAUAGGCGUCUACAAGUGAUUAUAAGAUAGUGUUUUGAUAAGCUUUAAACUCUCCUUUAAAAGUUGAAAUUAUCAAAUUAAUUAUCUUGAAUAUUUAUCACAUAAAAGACUUUAUAACCAAGUUUUCCAAUAGCUUCAAACACUCUAAAAGGUAAGGAUAAGGAUAAGUGCCCAAAUUUCGAACUCCUCUCCUUCCUAGGCUAAUCAAAUGGAUGAUAAUCAUAUUCCAAUUUACCAAGAAAUUCUCUUAUCAUUUGUUGUUAACUAAUAUUAGAACAUAAGCCAUUAAAAGUCAAACAUGCCAACACCCAAAAAUGUUGAUUGCUCCAAAAAGCUUGUUUUAAUUGUUGUUCAAACAAGUCAGUACAAUUUCCAACAAAAAUUAAUAAUAACUAAAAAAUAUUAAAAAAUAAAAAAAUAUAUUUAAUAAAUGAAAAAUCAAAUAAAACCUAAUAAAAAGCUCAACCUUUUGUUAAAAAAAAUCAAAUAACUGAUAGUGUCUAGGAGAUGAGGAGUUAUACAUUUAAAUAUAUUGUAUUAUAUUAUUAUGUCGUAUAUUAAAUUAACAUUUAUAAUCUUUUUUUUUAAGGAAACCGUUAGUCUCAUAUUUUCGUCUUCUGUUUUUUUUUUCCGGUUAACAACAAAACUAGAAAAUACUGCACUUACACAUGUAUAUAUGUUGACCAUAUCUAAGAAAUAUGUUACUGAAUCAUGUGAAAUUCAUUCCCUUGAGCCAAGAAAAAGGAACGUAAAAUCAUGUGAGUUCACGUGGCAAUUAGGUAGAAAUUAGACAACUUGUCUAUGCUUCAAUCAUUAUGAGGCAAACCAAGACAAGUUCAACUUUUUUUUUAUCCUCUCACUGUGAAACCUUUUGCAGGAAGACUUAGGAACAAUAGCUAAGCCUAAAUCCUGCUAGAAUCACAACAUAUUGUUUUGUUUAUUAAAAAAAAAAGAUGAUAUUGGUCUUUGAUAUGUAAAAUUGAUCUAUACAUGCAUUGAUGUUGAGCAAUUUUUGUUUGAGGAGUUAACCGCUACAUUAUAUAGAAGUAAUUAACGUCUUGGGGAUUUUUUAUGCAAAAAAAUAUAUACAUAAAUUUAUAUGAAAAAUACAUGGUUAAAAAAAUUUGUAAAUAAAGCCUUGACAUGGUAGGUAAAAGUGGAAGCUAUAGGCUUUGAGUAACCAUAUUCAAGACCCACCGUACACAGUUGAAUGUAUGGGUUUUAAAGUCCUAUUAUUAAUUGUUAUGUGUUGGUUUUAGUUUGAUUAAUUAUAUUAUAACUUACAUUGUUUCUGUUUAUAAUUUAUAUUUUAUGUAAUAGAUUGAUUUUUUGUCUUAAUUUUUAGUCUAUUUAAAUGAUAUAAUUGUUUAAUUCUACACUUAAUAGUUACUUUGACCUAUAUUUAUAUUUUAAUUUUUCUGUAUUUUUAAACUUUAAAAAAACAUAUAUUUAUAUAUAGAAAGUUUAUGAAUAAAAUUUCUUUUUUCGAAAAACAAUAGAAAGCAUACGCAUUUAAUAUUUGGCAAAAAUAAAGUGAGUAAUGAAAGAUUGAAUUAAGGCAAACUAUAUUUGAUAGCAUCUUUGAUUGGUAAAGCCACCAAUAUCAGAAAACCGGAAACACUAAGACUAAUACGAUGCAUUAAUCAGCGGAGUAGUUCAGCAUUAGUGAUGAAGAUGAAAGUGGUAGAUACAAACCUUUUUCAAAGCAUUAAACACACUCAACCAUAAGCUGAAACAUGAAAAAGAAAGAAAGAAACCUUGGCAUUGAAUUGGGCCAACUACCAACGCCUAACCAUAUACUAUUCGUACGUGUUUCUCAGUUCUUUUGAUAUCCCUUCACUCAACUUUUGGCUAUAAAAACCCUCCUACGCUCAAGCCCUAACCACGACAAUCAGCUAUAGUACUUCUACUCCAAGCAAGCAUUUUCCUUUUCUUGUGAUUAAUCGAUAUGGCUAGCUCAAUGUCCCUUAAGCUUGCAUGUGUGGUGGUGUUGUGCAUGGUGGUGGGUGCACCCCUGGCUCAAGGGGCCGUAACCUGUGGUCAAGUCACAAGCUCCCUCGCACCCUGCAUUAAUUACUUGAGAGGGACUGGUGCUGGUGCUAUUCCCCCAGGUUGCUGCAGCGGCAUCAAAUCUCUCAACUCCGCCGCCCAAACAACACCAGACCGGCAAGCAGCUUGCAAAUGCAUCAAAAGUGCGGCCGCCGGCAUUCCUGGCAUCAACUUUGGCCUUGCAAGCGGACUACCAGGCAAGUGCGGUGUCAACAUCCCUUACAAGAUCAGCCCUAGCACUGACUGCAGCAGGUUCGUAUGAGUUGUUUCAUUGCUUAUGCUUAUUAAUUGCUCAACAUUUAAUGGUGUGUCUUUUGUUGUUUCAUUUGCAGCGUCAAGUGAAAUUUUGGCAUGGAAUGUUCAUCAGCUAGUGGAAGCCAAAAUAAUGAUAGCUACAGAAUAAAAAUGGAUGUUUAAAAUCCAUCCGUAGGGAUAGCAGAGGAGUUAUCCUAAUUUUAGAGUUGUGCGUUGUGUACUAGGUCGGUUUUUGCGACUAUGUAAUACUAUCUUUAUCUACAAAUUAAUAUCACUCAUUAUUUUGUGUUUCUUCUAUAUGAUAUUUAUCUAUAUACCCUUCUCUCAAGCAUUUUAUAUCAACAUUCACGUGGUCUAAUAAUAAUGAAAAUCAUGAUUACUCAACCCUAAGUUUAAUUAAAUCAAUUUAUGCACCGGUUCUGUUCUUUAGUUGCAUGUACCGGAUGCAAUUCCCAUUGCAAUCUGUUUUGUAAUUGAAAGGUUAUACAACUUGCUAUAUAUAUCGACAUAUUUUUAAUUGAAAAAUUUUGGGCUCAUUCUUAAUUUACUUUAAAUCUUUAAAGUGGACUACUCCUUUGGAGACAUUUCUUUUUAAAUGAAAAUAUUAGAAAUACAAUUAAGAGAGAUUAUUCAUCUGAUCAUGUUGAAACACGGAUCAAAGUUCAAAGUUCAUGAUCAUUACGCACAAAACGUUUUAUGAAGAUUAACUGAUUAAACGAGAUUAUUAUUUGAUCCACUUGAACUUGCCUGACUCGUGGAACACAUGGAAAAGUCUAUCUACUUAAACCUUUGGAGGUUCAGUGAAACUCUCCAGUAAAAUUAGAGUUACCAGAGUAAUUAAUGUAAAGCCUAAGGGAUAAAAAUGUAUAGAGUUUAAAUCUCAUAGGACUCUCAUCUUAUAAAUAAGUACUAAUAUCAGUCGUCGAUAUAAUUUAAUCUGUAUCAUUGGAUCUAGGGGAGCUCAACUAUAAAUAGAGACCUCCUUCAUUUGUAAUCAUCUCAUUGUACUCAUGAACAAAGCCAAAAAUAUUUUUUUGGGAUAGAAUUAAAUUAUAUAUUUUUACAAUAGUAAAAAUACAAUUUCACUAAUUUAAUAGUUAUCUUUAUAAUUUUUAAAGAAUUAAAUCAAAUUUUUAUGAUGGGGAAAGUGAAAUUUUACCAUUAUUAAUUUUAAAUUUUAUAAAUUAUAAAGGGAUAUAAAUGAAAUUUUUUCUAUUUUAGAAGGGAGGUCCCUACCAGCCCUCUUAGUUUCACCACUAAUUGUACUUCAUUCCUUCUUGAGUUAAAGAAUUUAUUAAGAGUAUUUACUCAAACACCUUGUAUACAUCGUUUUCUUAUAUCUUUUCAAUUCUCUUAUUGCUCUUUCAUUUUAAGUUACUUCCACAAUAUUUUUUGCUAACAUAGAGAAUUUUUAGGAAAAUUAUCACUUUUCGAGGGUUAGGUUGACUUAGGCAAAUUUAACGAAAAGAAAUCACUUAAAACCACACGAUUUAUUUAAAUUCUAAUCCCAUAACAGUAAAGUUUUGAUAUUUGAGUAACUCAACAUUUAUGUUUCAUGAAAAUAAAAAUAAUGAGAUUCACUCCUUACAAUAAAAUUUCUAUGUUGCACCUAAUUUACCAUUCACAAUAUGAUACUCAUAAUUAAGAUUAAUACAAUACAUGGGUUUGUCAUAAUGUAAUCUGAAAUAAGAAAGUAACAUUUUUUAAAUAAAUAUAAUUAGAAUCUAUUUUAUUAGUUCUGAAUUUUCAAAGUUUAUAUUAGUUUAAAACGGUUUUAAUAAUUCUUAGUUACAUAUCGCUGAUUAAACUUUUAAAUUUAAAUUCAACCGAUUCAUCUAAUAUAAUUCUAACAACAUUAAUAUAUAAUUUUUGUAUUUUUAUAAACACAUAAUUCUAAAUAUAUAAAUUCUUAAGUUGGUGAAUUGUUUAUUUUACACUAAUUUUAUAAUAAACUAUAUGCUAAUGAGAUAAUUUAUUUUACUAAAUUAUCAUUAAUGCUCCCUGAUUAGGAAUGUGCAUACAAAUUUGAAUAUCGCUGAAGAGAUAGCGAUUGUUUGUAAUAGAGAUUUAUCGUAUAAGUCUCAUCAUAAUUUCAUUAUCUUAGAAUCUAAACACAUUUUAUACAAAAAUGUUAUUUUAAAAUUAAGUGAUGUUUUGGUUGAAAUAAUUAAGUCAAAAUUUUAAACUUAAGUUUCAAUUUUAUUAUAGUAUUUUUUUAUUUAAAAAUAUGAAAAGGCAAAAAAUACUCUCUUAUUAAUAUUUUUUUUUAUUUUAUAUUAAAACUAUUUAGUAAAUUCUCAAUAGAGUUAGUAGCCGGUUGACUCGUGACACCAACUCAACUAAGGCUUAAUAUAAGUAUAAAUAGAUGAGUAAAUUUAGAAUAAUUAUUGUUAAUGUAACUGUAAAAAUUUACCAUUACAGUGUAAUGGAUUUUAAAGGGUUGAUUCUAAAAUCUGACUCUAAAUUUUUCAUCGAGCUUUGCUCUAACAACACACUUAGACGAUGGGAUCUCUCCAACAUUCUCGGUGAAAUUAAUUUUUUUGCUACAAGUAACCAACGAGGAAAGGGUGGAGGAGAAGAGUCUCGAUUCACCUAUGAUAGGAUGAGUUAAGGAGGGAGAGAGCGAGAGAGCUACAGUUGUUGUCUAGGUUUUCAGGGGAGAAAGAGUCGAUGCUUGGUUCCUCAUGCACCAGAGCUUACAUAGGGGAUCACCCAUUGUCCUGUAGUGUCGCGUAACUGACAAUGUUGUGUCCUACAAGAUUGUGCGUGCCAGCCAAGUGACAAGGCCGUCAUAGGUCAAUUGUCAUUAUAUAGUGUAUUGUGUGAUCCUACUCUAACAUUCUUGUCUUUGGGGUUGUACGAGACUAUUACGCUUUAGUGGUCCUCACGGAACUGCGUAACGAGCUAUCUCUAGGUAGUUUAGAUAGGGUUCAUGGGAGGUCAUUUGUGAGCAAUCCUAAGCGAAGGAUCGCUACGAAAGGUUCUUAACGAAGAGUCAUACGCAAACUGCUUCCAAUGGAGAGUUGUUUGCAUAUUGCUUCAUGUCUUGCCACGUAUUGAGAUGGAAAUAUAACAAUAACAUUAAAUUUUUUUCACAUGGACUCAGAGAAGCUAAUACAAUCCCAGACGCACUAGUUAAAAUUGGCACCCAUAGGAGUCAUUUAUUUCAUGUAUUUUGGGAUAAAUUUUUGGUGUUGUUGUAUGUGUUUCUUUAUAGCAGUGGUAUGCUAGUACAGCACUUGAACAUGCCUUGCACGGAUACUUUUUAUGAAACUGUAAGUCGACUAAUAAAAACGAAGUUAUGAAUAAACUGUACAUCUAUCUACCCACCUUCUUCCCUACCAUUUAUCCCCCGCCUUACUUUGGAAAAGAUUUAGGAGGGUUUCAGAUUUUACAUUUUAAAUUUUAGAUUUAUAUUUCAAAAUCCAUAAUCAUUUUUUAAAUUUGUGGAUCUACUCUAUUUAGUUGGAAUUUUAAUAAAUCUAGAAAUUUAAUAUAUUUAUGCUAAUAUACGCAUUACAUUCAUUUAAUUUAAAUAUAAAAUGACAUUAAAAUAUACAUGAUCUGAAACAUAUUAUUAUUAGACUUUUAGUCCCACCAUUUGCAAAUGUUAUUUGUGAGUUUAAAUCUCAUCAUGUAUUGGUUCUCUUCAAAAAAUUUUGAUUUAAAUCUAAAUAUAUUUAUGUUAUCAGUUAGUUAUGCUUUGUACUAUAUAUAUUCUAUUUUUAAUUGAUCAAAUAUAUAUUAUUUUUUAUUGCACUAGUAAACUAUUUAAAGAAAAUGUUAUUAUUAUUAUUUCCUUGGCUUUUCUUUUAUUUAUUUGGAACAUUAAAAAAUGAAAGGCUUUUCUUUAACUCCAUAUUCGUAUAACUUUUUUUUUAAAUAUUAUAACUAAUUUUAUAAUGCACACAAAAAUAGACAAAGAAUUUAUAAUUUUUUUUUAAGAAGACAGAAUUUAUAUUUAAUAUAAAAUCAAUCCUCGUUGAAUAGGAUUGCUUAUUACGACACACCUGUAAGCUCAUUAAAAUCAAUUUGGGGUUAGUAGAGAUAUAAAUCAUAUCAUUAAUUAUUUUUUUAUAUUGAGUCGGUGUGAUUUAUGUAAUUUAUUAUUCUAAUUCAUUUUAGGGAAUUUUUUAUGUAUAAAUCUUGUGUUGAAAUCAUAUAAUUUAUCUUACAAUUAUGAAUUUAUCUUUUGACGCGUCGAAAAUUAUUUAUUUGAAGGUUUUAUUAAAAAAUAUUAUUUAUAUUAUUUAAUAUUAUCGUCAAUAACUUUUUAUCCAGUGACUAGAAUAUUAUGAUAUAAAUAUUAGAGUUUAGGUUUGAUGACAAAUAAUUUUAUUCUCCACCCUUAAUUAUCCAAUAUAUAUAUAUUUCAUAUUACUUAAUUUUUUUAAAGUCAAAUUUUAUUAAAGAAUGAAUAUGAAAAAAUUAAAAAUAUUUCUUUUCUAAAAUAAUUUGACAAGCAAUAAAGCAUAAAAAAAAUUCCAUAAACAAUAAUUUCGAAUAAUAAAUUAUAAACUUUUGAUAAAGAUGUACUCAAAUAUCUUAAUAACUAAUAAUAAAAUAUGUAUAUAUUUUUUAAUUUCAUGUUUAAUUUAAAAUUUUUAAAAUAUUUCUUCAUAUUACAAAUGUAAUUUGUCUCCCUUUUUUACAAUAGUUGGAUCACUCUUCAUAAUAUACACAAUAAUAUAUUAUAAAGCAAUUUAUAAACAAUAAUAUAUUAUUUAUAAAAUCUUUUAAAAAUUAAAAAUUAAUUCACACGAUGAAUCUGUGCAUCUAAACAUAUCAACUACUUAAUAAUAUAUUUUGCAUACAAUUUGAUAAUAGUCCAAUUUGAAAAAAUAUAUAUUUUUGUGCUUUCUCAUAAAAUUCUUAAAUAACCCAUAAAAAGAUAUUAUAUGUUUUAAGUGCAUCUGAAUUUUUUCAACUUUAGAGUUAUUACAAAAGCAACAAAACCAAUUAAAUUAAUAUUUGGUUGGUUAAAGUUUAGGCGUUAAUAACUUAUUUUAUAUAGAUAUAAAAACAUUCAUACAUUCGUAUAGUGUUCAUAAUAUUUUUAUGCCAUUUAAUGUAUGAAUUGAUUUUCCAUAUCUUCUUUGUAUUGUUAAUUUUAACACUAUAUUUUUUUACAAAAAUUUAAAUUUUUAUACAUAUAUAAUAUUAAUAUAAAAUUUAAUUUAAUUUUCAAAAAGCUUUGAGCCAACAUAUUCAAAUUAGUCAACAACCUAACAAAACAAGUGGUUGAGGUUGCUUGUUGGCGCUGAUAUAGAUCCGACUAAUGUCAUUCACUACGAAAAUAAUGGAAAAGGCCACCUGUGGGGCCAACUAGGUAGAUAUAUUAUGAAUUGAAUGACAUGUGGCUGGUUGUAAUACCUCAUUGCAUUCAUUGCUUCAUUCACCCCCUAUUGAAAGUGAUAGAUUUUUUCUUUUAGGGAGAUUUAACUUACAAAUUCAUACUCUCUUUUUUUUUUUAUCAUAAGAGGUGUUUAAACUGUUUUUUUUUAAGUUUGGUAUUUCGGUUUAAUCAAAUUAUUAAGUUAAAAAAAUUUUAACCCAUUAAUUAGUAUCUAAGCUACAUAUUUUUUUCAAAUUGAUACCUAAACAUUUUUUUAUCCUACGUGGUACUUAAAUUAUUCUUUCAUUUUCCAUUUAAUACCAAAAUAUUAUAUUCAUUAAAAAAAUCUAAUCAAUAAUAGAUUGACAUGUAAAAUUUUAAAAAAAUAAUUAAUUCUUCUCUUCUCUUCUCUUUUUUUUUCAAUUAUUUCCCUCAUUUUAACUUUUUAUUUUUUUUUUCUUUCUUCUUCCUUUAUAAUGUCUAACAAUGACAACAAAUGCAAUGCUCAAAAUUCGCCCUCGUGAGGUUAAGACUAUGGAAAUUAAUUUUCUUUUCGAACUAUAUCGCUUGUAUGUUAGACCUGACGAGAUCGUAAAAAUUCUUUCAUUGAUCAAAACCAAUUUUUUUUCAGAAUCAGGCUAACAGGUCAUACUUUUGUAGGGGUGAGCGUCUAAUCGAAUCAAAUAGAAAAAUUUCGAUUUAAUCAAGUUGACGAGUCCUAUUUUAUCAUCUUAAAAUGAUUUAAAAUUUUAUCGAAUCGAAUCGAAUAUAUUUGUCUCCAGUUAAUUGAAAAAAAUUCUUUGGAUCCUUGUAGCCACUGUCACUCAUCAUAAUCAAAUUUGUCCAUCGUAAUCAAAUUUGUUAUUAACUUUCAUCCCUUCAUAAUUUAUUUAUUAAUCUUUUAUAUACGGGUUAGCUUCUUUGCUUGCUUAGUUGCUUCAAUUAUCUUUUAAUUCUUGUCACUGUGUAUUUUGAAAUUAAAAAAUAUAUUAAAUGUAAAAAAAUAUUUUUUUAAUAAAAUUUAUUUUAAAGAUAAAAUGUGAAAUUGGUACCAAUAGAAAGUUUUAACACAAAUAUUGUAUGACAUCACCAAUGAUACAAUUUUAACAGAAAUUGAUAAAGAUUCAACAUGAUUAAACAACUUAAUAAUAUAAAUAAUACAAAAUGUGAAAUUUAAUUUAUAAUAUAAAUAAUAGCCAUAAAUAAAAUUAUUACUAUUUAGGUCUAAGGAUUUUUUUUGGAGGAUUUUGAUUUUUGAUUUGGGGAUAAAGGGUGAGAAGUAAAAGUUUUGGGGGAAAAGUAGAAGGGUUUGGGACGGGGUAGGGGUGGGGGUGGGGUUGAGGCUGGGGGAAGGGGAAUAAAAGUUUCGAGGGUAAAGUUUGGAGGUUUGGGGUUGUAACACCCCAAACCCGGCCUAGAUGUUAGGACCAAGCCUGGAAAGCUACAACAAAUCAUUCCAAAAAAUGUCACUUUUAACUAAUUAAAGUUUAAUUGUCAGAAAAUGUUUAAAUAGUUGAACUAAUGUAGAAAUAUAAAUUUGCAAUCUGUAAUUCAAGAUAAACAACUAUAGUAUAAGUUUAAUUAAAGCGGAAAAUUACUAAGUAAGAAUGACUGAGCUCCCGCCACGGCGACCGGCCUAAGUCGAUGAGUUACCAAAAAUUCAGUCAACAGACAAAAUGAGUCGGUAAACACAACAUGUAAAUUAUAUUUUUAUUAAGCAAAACAACAGAACAUAUCUUCAGUUUUUCAAAAUUCGAACAGUUUUCAAAAUCAUAUACGGAAGCAGAACAGAAUAUGUCAGUUACACACCAUCUCCAUCCAACCCUACACACCAAAAAGGUAUGGAAUGCCCAUUCAUCCCUACACACCACAUAGUGACCAUAUGUCAUGUUCAAAAGGUUACAAACUAAAUUCUAGGACAGAAUGUGAAAGUCGCCAAAAUUAGAUACAUUUACGUGGCUUAGCCACCAAUCUUAGUAGAUUAUUUAACUGCCACAACUUCCUCCUUAUUCAAUCCCAACCCCAAUGCAGAUGCAAAGUUACAGAUACAGAUAUAAGCAUAGAUGUUACAGAUUCAGAUUAUACUCAGUUAACACAGAAUACAACUAUUCGCUAGUUUACAAUUCUAUGAUGUAUAUAAAAUAAUAGUUUAUACAGAAACAAAUUACUAGUCAAUGGGUUUUAUAACCCAAAUCGGAUCAUACAAACCCUAAGGUAAGCCUACGUUCGACUGGAACGACGUUUAUAGCCCUAACGAAAAAUUUGAAAUUUUGACCCAUACACUUGUGUGGAUUCACAUGUCUUGGAAGGCUGGCCUAUGUGGCACACGAUCUAUAACAUGGCCUGGCACACGACCAUGUGGCUCAAAAAAAUGAGUUACACAGUCUAGCACAUAGUCAAGCACACGUUCAUGUGACUCAAUUCAUAAAAUUUCCUUCAUAUGGCCUGGACACACGAACGUGUCCUAGCGCGUGUGACUCUAAUCCACAAAUAGUAAGUUACACGACCUAGACACAUGCCCACAUCCUUGGCUUGGUGACCCUAAUACACAAACAGUAAGUUACACGGCUAUAUGAUUAACAACCAUGUGUUCCAGUGUUCGCAAAUCAUAAAAAAAUGCGUUUUCUUUAAACACUUGAUGUAGUUUCGAUGUAGAAGCAACACACAAGAAUUUGGAACCUAAAACGACAAUUAAUUGACCAAUUAAACGACUAAUCAACUCAAAAUUCCAAAAUUAGCACUCAAAACUAACGUACGUCGAAAACUUCGAUGCAACCAACCAAAGCAGAAAUUUUCGCUUAUUGACAAGCGAGCAACAAUAGUUCAGACCUAAUUUCGCAGGAAAACAUUACUUUUGAAACCUUUUCCUAAAAGAAGAUCCAUUAGAACUAUUAACGAGAUUUUACAAUGAUUGGCAGUAAUAUCGAACCUCGACGAAACAGAAAAAGUCUAGCAAAAAAUAGGCAGAAAAAAACAACAGAAAUUACGAAAUAUCCUUGCAAUCAACGUAAAAAACCACACAGAUUUCCCAAUUAAGCACGAUAGCAAACUUACGGAAGCAAUCAAGCAAGAAAGGUGUAAUAGCCCAUUUUUAGUAAAAUCAGAACAGUGGUUUCGGGACCACAAAUCUAGAGUCAAAAAUAUAAUUUUAUUAUUAUUUUAUGGUCUACAUCAUGAUAUUAUUACAGUAUAAAAAUUUUGUUAAGAAAUUUUACCGUUUACAUGUUCAAUUUGAUAAAAAGGACUAAAUCGCGUAAAGUGCAAAAGUAGAGUUUUAAUAGCUAAAGGUAUUAAAUAGCUAUAUAAAUUUAAAUUAGAGGUCCUUAUAUGGUAAUAACCCAUAAAUGUGUUAGUGGAAUGUCAUGGCUUGGUAAACUUGUAAAUUGAAAUAAUUUUAAAGGUCAAAUAAAUAAUUAAGUAAAUAAAGGCAAAAUUUAGUAAAAUAAAGCCAAGUAUAAUCUUUUAUCCUCUUUAUUCAACCGAUUAGCUUAGAAAAAGAAGCCAUUUUUUCUCUUUAUGGUUCGGCAAGCUUGUUUCCAUCAAUUAGGUAUGUGUUUUGUCCCCCCCUUUUUUUAUAAUUUCUAUGUUUCUAGGAUCGUUGUAACUUAAUCUAGCUAGCCUGGGAAUUAAUUUGUGAAAAUGUUAAAGUAUUUGAGUUUUACUAUUGAUGAACAUGUUAGGGUUUUGAAGUUUAAUAGUAUAAAAUAAAUGGUUGUUGUUAGAUAAACAACCUUUUUAAAGGAAUUUUUUAUGAAAUUAUCAAUUAGGGAUUAAAUUAAAAAAUAUGAUAAAUUUGUGGUACAAUUUUGAAUUUGUGAAAUAUAUGGGCAGCUAUAAAUAUGUUUAUAGUUCGGCUAGGCUUGGGUUUGGAUAAAAUCGAAUGAAUUUCAUUUUUCGAGCCUACGGACUAAAUUACAAAGUAUUAAAAGUUACCAUUUUGCCAAAAAUGUAUGCUGGACUAAAUUAAAAAUGAAUUAUAUUGAAUUGAGUUAAAUUAAUUCGUAUAGAUCCGGUUAGACCUCGUAUGGAGUUCUAUUAGGGCAAAGGAAAAAUAUCAGAUUAGUCGCCUUCGUAUCUACGUACACUUGUCGAGGUAAGUUCAUGUAAUUAAAUUGUGUAAUUAUAUGCUUUGAUUGAAUUAGAUGUAUGUUAUUUGCAUUAUCAUCAUAAAUGAAUAUCGAUCGCAUAUCUGAUGACGUACGACGAUUACCGAGCCCCAUUUGAACCUUAAGAAUUAGUAGGAUAUAAAUAACAUGUCAUUAGGGUUAUCGAUUUCAGUUCUUAUGAGCUUACCGAUACUCAGCUCGUAUGAGCUUACUGUUAUUCAGCUCGGAGGAGCUUACUGUUUACAGCUCGUAUAAGCAUACAUGUACAUGAGUUGAUGAAUUACAGUUUAAUACACCUCGUGUGUACUACUACAUAUCCAAUAAUAAUCUAAAUGGUUCAACGUGCACUGUUCUGUUAUGAUAUUACAUGAGUUCAAUACGAACUAAUACAGGUAUUUACAUAAGAUAUAUGAAAAUGAUUUGUACAUGAUAUGUAGAUACAUGAUGUGAAAAUUAUAUGUACAUGGAAAUUUGAUAAUUGUUGAGCUCAUACAUGUUUCUUGAUAUUUAUAUGAAUUACAUGACUAAAAUGGUUGAUCAAGAUAUGUGUUUAGGCUUCUAUCCAAAUUGAGUUUGGAUAUGUUUUGUAUGCUUACCUUAAAUGUGACUAAAUGGUAAGUUAAAUUCUAUGUUAUACGAACUUACUAAGCUUAAAUGCUUACUCUGUGUUAUUUUUCGUGUUUUUAGUGAUUCAGAAGCUCGUUCGGGUUGGAAGCUUGUCGGAGCUAUAUCACACUAUCCAUUGGCUCUUUUGGUACACUCAAUUGUUUAAUUUCAGUUAUAAUGGCAUGUAUAUGUUAAUUUGGCCAAUGUUGGCUUAUAUGUGUUUUGUUGAGAUUAGCCAUUUGUUUGGUUUGUGUUAUAGAAUUUUAGAUAUGUUCAUAUUUUGCUUAUUAUAGUUGACGUGUAGUUUGGUUCAUGAUUGAAUAAAGAGUGGUAAAAAGGUAGCCUAAUGUGCAUUUCAUAUAUGUGUUUUGGAAUGUGAAGAAUUGAUCAUGAAUUAGUGUCUGGAUAUGUAAGGCAUAUAAGUUAAAUAUGUUAGUAUGUGAAAUACAAUUUGGCAUCAAAUGAUGUGUUUUGGAAGGCAAGUAAUUUGGUAAGAAAUGAUGUAAAUCUGCUUAAUAAACUUUGGAUGCAAAUAUGCAUAUAAGUGAGUUAAACAUUUGGAUAUAAUGAAUACAUGAAAAUUCUUAUUAUAAGUUGUCAUUUGAGGUGCCUAAGGGCAUAUUGGUUGUAUGUAAUAAUAUUACAUGUUUUAAGCUUGAUUUUGGCUGGUUUUGGAUGCCUAUUUAUGACUUGGUUAUAUGCAAAAUGUUGUGUUUAGGUUGGUACCAAGUUGGGUGAGAAAUGUGGCUUGGAAAAUGACCUAUUUUCAUACACAUGGGUAGAGACACGGGCGUGUGUCUCAACCGUGUAGGUGAUAUGGCCGUGUGUCCCCUGUAUCUUUUAAAGAAUGCAAGUUAGUAUGCUCACACGGCCUGGCACAUAGGCGUGUGGCUUGGCCGCGUAACCCAAGUCAGUGAGUUACACGGGCAUGGACACAGGCUGGGACACGGUCUUAUGUCCCUAUUUCGAAUACCCACACAACCUAAGACACGGGCGUGUCUUUUGGCCGUGUGAGUCACACAGCCUGGCCACACGGCCAUGUGACCCCUGCAGUUUUGAAAUUUUUAUAAGUUUCUGAAAACUUCUCUGAAUUUUUUAUUUAGUCCCGAAUUAUUUCUAAGGUGUAUUUUGGGUCUCGAGGACUUGUAUUAGGGACAAUAUGCAUUAUUAUGAUUGGUUUCUGACAUGAAUACUAUAUGUUAUGAAAUGUUUGAAUUUUCUGUCCAUUUAAAUUGUAAACUUCGGUAAUACUCCUAACCCUAUUCCAGCGACGGAUUCGAGUUAGGGAUGUUACAAAAGGAGAAAAAGAAAAAAUAAGGAAAAGAAUUGUAAGGAAGGAGAAGAACAAAAAAUAAAAAUAAAAAAACUAAAAAUAAGUUUUAAACAAAAACAAUUAUUAAAAUAAAAUUGAUUUCCCGAUAGCACACCAAAAUAUUUCCUUAUUUCUUAUGCAGAGACUCAAACAUGAGACCUUAGGUAAUAUAAAACUUAAUCAUUAAACCAGAUGACUCAUUCUUGACACAAAUUAAUGUAGACACAAACUUAAGUCAAACAUUCAAGAAUAAGAGUUGAAACAAAAGAAUAAUAAAAUUCUCUAAAAGUACGACUUGAACCCUCGAUCCAAAAACCAACACAUAUAACUUAACCACUGAAGCAGAUACUUGCUUAUAAAUAGACACUAAUAGUAACAAUUCAAAAUUUGGGGCGUUACAGGGGCAGACAAAGAGGAAAGAGUAAAUUUUUGGGGGAAAAGUAAAAAUGUUUGGGGUUUGGGUUUUGAGGUAAAAUGUAAAAUAUUAUAGUUUGGUAUUCGGCUUAAUCGAAUUAUUCGGGUUAUUUGAAUUCAAAAACUCAACUUGACUCGAACUUGAAAUUAAAAAAAAUCUAGUUGAUUUGAUUAAUUCGAUUAGAAUAAUUCAAAAUUCGAGCUUUUUUCAAUUUUUUCGAGUCUAUUCAAAUUUUGCUCACCCUUAAUACUGGGAACCAAUUAGGAUACUAGUUUGGAGAUAGGGCUUGAACCAAUUAACCUGCAAACUGAUACAGAUUUAUUGAGCCGAGCUAAAAAAAAACUAGUUGAACUAGUUUUCUCUAUUUUUUAUUUUUAUCUUUAUGAAUUUUUAAUAAUUGAUUUCAUCAAACUGGAUAAAUUGAUUAAACCAGUAACUAAUGAUCUAGCUAGUUUGAAUAUGGUAAUUUUUAAUUGGUUAUCAUUUUUUAAAUAGACUUAACGAUUUGAGUAAAAUUUAAACUAACAAAUGUAUCAAUUUGAGAAAAAAUAAAUUAAGUACCACAUGUGACAAAAAUGUUUAAGUAUCAAAAUAAAAAAAAUAUAAUUUAAAUACAAAUUUGUAGAUUAAGGUUUCUUUUAACAAACUUAACGGAUUAAGGAAAUUAUCAAUUUGAGAAAAAAAAUAAUUUCGAUAACAGUCGCUGGUGACAAAAAAGGAAUUAACUACCAAAAUGAGAGAAAAGGGAAAAGAUUGAUAUAAUGUGAAUUGAAUGACAUGUGGCUGGUUGUAAUACCCAACAAGCUUUAACAGGUGUCACUGAUUAAAAUUAUAUCAUAUGUAUUCUAUCAAAAAUAUAUUAUGUAAAAUUACAAUUUUUAAAUUUAAUAAAAAAAUAUAUUAAAAAUUUUAACUCCGGCCAAAACGUGAAAUAAAUCGUUUUUUAACAGUGUUUUGGAAAAAAAAAUUAGGGUUAAGUACCGAAAUGAUCACUAGAGUAUUACUUGUGUUUUAUUUUGAUUACUAAAUUUUUAAUUAUUUUUAUUUUAGUCACUAAACUAUAUGAAAUCAAAUAUUUUUGUCACUAAAUGUUAAUGACCGUUUGAAAAUUUUUCGAAAGUGUUGAAAUGUGUUAUUUUUUAUUUGUCUAAUAAAAAAUUUAAUCUUCUUUACACAUUCUAUCAAUUUGAUUCUAAAUAUAAAAAAUCAAUAAAUUUAACACCAAAUGUUUACAAAAUUUGUCACUUUAGUUCAAAUUCUAAAAAACAAAAUUAAUAAAUUUAGCUCUUAACAUUUACAAAAUGAAAAUUUUUAAUUUUUAAAAAUUUUGUAAAUUAAAAAGAAAAACAAGUGUAAUAAUUGUAAAAAUUAUUAACAAUUAAAAAAAUCCAUAAAGCCGUUAGCUACCUCAUAGUCAGUGCCAUUUAAAAACAUGCUUAGCCAUAAUAGUACAAGAAUUAAUGAAAAAGUAGAGUAAAAUUCAAAACAAUCAAUCUUAUCGAUAUACUUUUUCAAGGCUUUUAAUGUAAACUAAAAAUUCUUGUCCCAUCUUGUUCUUCUUCUUUUUUCUACAUUGGUUUAAAUUAUUAUUUGCUAUUAAGACAUUGUCAAUUUCAGUAUUUGUCUCAUUGCUUGAUCUUCACAAGAAAUUCUAGAAACAUAGUAUUGUGUUUUUGAGAAACCGUGAACCUUGUUUUGUUAAUCUAGGUUUACACCAAAUUUCAUUAUUGUACUCUACUUGUGAUUUAUUUGUGAUUCUUUUUUCAAUUUCUUGUAUUUGAAAAUAGAGUAUUAGUGAUUUUUUAGUACUGCUGCUAGUUAUGUAUGAAGUUGCUCAAAUUUAUGUGUUUAGCCAAAGGGUAGGGGAAUCAAUGCAUCCGCUACACUUACUUUCAAUGUUUCGCCUUGUCUUGGGGUUAAACUAAAGUUGAAGUCUCAUUUUAAAGUUGAGAGAUUAGAUCGUGGUGAUGAUAAUUAUUUCUUUUUUUUUUUUAAGUUUAUUUAGGUUUGUGUGUUGAGUUUUUUAAAAAAAAAUUUACAAACUUUUAAAAAUCAAAUCUUGUCAUUUUGUAAAUGUUGAUAGUUAAAUUUAUUGAAUUCUUUUAGAAUUUGAAUUAAAAUGAAAAAUUUUGUAAACAUUGAGGGCUAAUUUUGUUGAAUUUUUUUAUAUUGAAGACCAAAUUGAUAGAAUAUAUAAAUAUUAAAAAACUAAAUUUAUUAUUAGACCAAUAAAAAAAAACCAAUUCCACACUUCUUUUAAAUUUCAAACUGCUCUUAACAUUGAGUGAAGAAAAUAUUUAGUUUUAUAUUAUUACCAAAAUAAAUAAAAAUAAAAAUUCAAUCAACCAAAUAAUCUAUAAAUAGAUUUAGAAUGUUGCAUGAUAUAUAUAUUAAAAAAAAGAAAAAAAAACGAUGCAUGUGCCCUAAUGUUGUGAAGUUUUUUUUUUCAUUGAAAAUAACAAAAUAACUAUUUGUUUAUAUUUUAUAUUAGUUCUAUGGCAUACCGCGUGGAAAAGGAAAAUUCAUGUAAAUAAUAUAUUUAUAAAAAUUUAUAUUAAAACUAAAUGAGAUUUUAGUUGAAAUAGUUAAGUUAAAAAGUGUAAAAUUUAUGAGCUAUAAGUUUAAAUCCUAUUGUAGUGUUAUUUAUAAAAAAAAUGAGAAAAGAUAAAAAUACCUUUAUAUUAAUAUUUGUUAUAUUAUAAAAUAAGGAUAUUUUUAACAAAUUUUCAAUUGAAUAGAUGUUUGGGUGAAUCCUAAUACCAAUUAAAGUAUAUAUACACAAACAAUUAUAAAUCAAAUUACUUUUAAUAAAAUGCUAUCAUUCAAUUCAAUGACAAUAAAUGCAUUUAUAAAUACAUCAAAUGUAAAUCUCAUGUUUAUAAGAAAACACGUAGAAAAAAAGUUAAACCAAUAUUUGAGUCCUAGCUGUGGAGGCAUGAUUGAGUGAAAUCAAAUGGACGCUGGUUUUAAUUCUAUUGAAAGAAACCAAUAAUCACGUAGGUUGGCAGUUGAACAUAAUUGAAUGGUCUCAACUUUUAAUGUGGUGUUAAUGUUUGGAUCGGAUAAUCUCAACUUACCUAAUAGCUAGGAAAGUAAAAUUCAAACAUCACCCGCUACUACUUUUGGCUAUAAAAACCCUCCUACCCUCAAGCCCUAACCACGACAAUCACCAAUAGUACUACUACUCCAAGCAAGUAUUUUCCUUACACGUUUGUUUUUCUUGUGAUUAAUCGAUAUGGCUAGCUCAAUGUCCCUUAAACUUGCAUGUGUGGUGGUGUUGUGCAUGGUAGUGGGUGCACCCCUGGCUCAAGGGGCCGUAACCUGUGGUCAAGUCACAAACUCCCUCGCACCCUGCAUUAAUUACUUGAGAGGGAGUGGUGCUGGUGCCGUUCCCCCAGGUUGCUGCAGCGGCAUCAAAUCUCUCAACUCCGCCGCCCAAACAACACCAGACCGGCAAGCAGCUUGCAGAUGCAUCAAAAGUGCGGCCGCCGGCAUUACUGGCAUCAACUUUGGCCUUGCAAGCGGACUCCCAGGCAAGUGCGGUGUCAACAUCCCUUACAAGAUCAGCCCUAGCACUGACUGCAACAGGUUCGUAUGAGUUGUUUCAUUGCUUAUGCUUAUUAAUUGCUCAACAUUUAAUGUGGUGUUUCAUUUGCAGCGUCAAGUGAAGUUUUGGCAUGGAAAGUUCACCAGCUAGUGGAAGCCAAAAUAACGAUAGCUACAGAAUAAAUAUGGAUGUUAAAAUUCCAGAGUUAUGCGUUGUGUACUAUGCCGCUUUAUGCGACUACGUAAUAUAAUCUUUAUCUACAAAUUAGUAUCACUCAUGUCUCCAUUCCCCUUCUUUCAAGCAUUUUAUAUCAACAUUCACGUGAUCCAUAUUUCAUUCCUUAAAAAAAAAAAUUAAGAAAACAAAAAUUAUGAGAUUCACUCCAUAUAAAAAAAAUUCAAUGUGGCACAUAGGAAGUUUAUCGUUUCAUAAUACGAUACCCAUAAUUAAAAAGUUCAUUUAUAUUUGUAACUAGGGUUGAAAUCAUAAAAUUAUUUUUGUGUAAGUUUGAAUUUAUAUUUUACUAAAAAAUAAUCUUUAUUAAUUGUAAAACUUUAUAAAAGAAAAUAUGAGUUUACCUAACCGUAUAUCCCUAUAUGUUGCAUUGUGGGGUUAAAGUCUUUGCAUGAUAAAUCCAUUAUCUUCAUAUAUCUUGUAUUGUGGGGUUAAAGUCUUCGCACGAUAAAUCCAUUAUCUUAAAAUCUUAGAAGAAAAUGAGUGAAUGUUGGAAGUUUAUUCUUAAUGUAAUUCUAGAAACUAAUUUAAUUAUUAUUAUUAUUAUUAUUACAAAUUUGUGCCUUUGUAAAAUAAAUAUAUACUUCUAUUUUUAUUUUUACAAAAUACAAAUAUUAAAUUUUAAACCUUAUAAACUUUUAACCAUAAAUUUUUAAUCGUUAAACCUAAACCCCACCUCUAAUAUAAAAUCCUUUGUCCACAAACUGUUCCAAUCAUUUGGGAAAGAGAAAAUCAAACUGUAAGCCUACUAAUAAUAUAUCGUUAUGAUUAUUUAACAUUUGUUACUUGAUUUUGAUAUUUUUCUUAUAAUUUCAUACUUAAUUUUUUUUAUCCAAUUUCACACUUAAACCUUUUAAAUAUUAUACAAAUUACCUCAAAAUACUAAUGAUAUUAAUUUUUUUAUGAGGGAAAAGAAACAGCUAACGUAUGGUUGUCAUGUGACAAAUGAUAUGGAAUUUAAUGACAGGGAUGAUUACAUUUAUUUGAAGUUUUCUCUAUUUUUUUAAACAAUAUGUUCACAAUUUACAUUUCAUCAAGCCUGAGAUUACUUUGACAGUUAAUGGCAAGAGUGUUACAAGAGGAACCAUAUGCUUAAAGCAUGACCUAGUUUUCAUAAAGCCCUCAAGUCCCAUAAAAAUAGGAAAAUUAUGUUAAAAAAUUGUACCUACGCUUAAUAGAAUAUUGAAAAAUAAAAAAAUAAUUUUAAAACCCAAAAAUAAAAAGAAAUUCAUUAUUAAAUUAAAAAGGUAAAAUAAAAAAAUUAAUUAAACUAAAAGUAAUUCAACAAUUAAAAUACAAAAAAUCAAUCUCAUGUCAUCCGUCAUAUGUUAAUCAUACAUUGAUUAUAUUUGCACCUCAUAAAUAUAAAAUUAUUAUAUUGGAGUAAUUUGUAAAACCUUUAACAAGUUAGAUACCAAAUUGAAAAAAAGAAGAAGCUUAAGUGCUAAAUUAAAAAAUAUAUAUUAAGUUCGAGAAUUAAAUUGAAAAAAAAAGCAAGGGUACCAAAUAAGCUAAGACCCACACUCAACCCGACUCCUAUUAAAUAUCUCUUCGUCUCACUUCGGCAAGAGACAAAGGAUAUAUAGUUUACACUACUAAAAUUCAACUGUAUAUGUAAUAGGCCAAUUUUGGCCUGGCCUAGUUAAUAAAUAAAACCCAAACAAAUAAAUAAUAAAAGUCUAAAAUUUACAGUCCAUUUUUACAAACAUCAGGGCCCAAUUUACAACAUGCAUAGCCCAAAUAAAAAAAAACUACCCAAACCCAAUUACAAAGCCCAAAACAAAUCAACCCUAGCCCACUCAAAACAUUUCAGCAAAAAAAGUAAACCCUAGUCACAUGCCUUCAGCCGCCGCUUCUCCCACACGUUACCCUCGACCACUGCACGCACGUCUGUCACCGCCCUUCCGCACGUCUGACAUCUCUGACGACCUGCAACACGCAAGCGAAAGAAGCCAAGCAGAAGAACCAAGAAGAAACGACAAAAAAAAAGAGGAAGCAAACAGUUUAUGACACGACUAUAAAAGCCGAAAUAAGUCCUUUGUAAUUUUUUUAAGCAUACUAGAAAUAAAAAAGUAGAACAGAAGUUUCGAAAAGGUGUUAUUUUGAUCCUAUUCUUUUUGUCUCGAUUCAUUUUUCUAGUUUCCUUUUAUUUAUUCUUAACACGAAUCUAUUUUUAAAAUAAAAAAAACAAGGCAAAGAUUUCCAAAGGUGACCCUUUUUUUUAAAAUCUAAAAUUUUUCUACCUUUUUUGUUUUUUUAUUCUCAUUAUUUCUCACGAAAAAUAAAGAGAACAGAAAUGAAGGAUUUACUUGGGCUGUUUCGCACUCUGGUCGCCGAAAACUCCCUCUCCGGCGUCGAAAUCGUCUUAGGAAGAAGGUGACAAGGGCCUUUCUUUCGAUUUUCUGGUUAGGAAGGCUUUGCCUUCGGUUUCAUUUUCUUGAAAAAGGUUAAAAAGGCCGAAUUUAAGGGUAGCUCCGACCACCGUCCACGGCGGGGAGCGGAGGUCCGAUGACGUACGAUGAUGGGUUUUAUAAACCCUAGCAGAGAAAAUAAAUGGGAGGGGGGCUGCUUUCUAUUUUUUUUAAAAGAAAAAGAAGCAUGUAAUAGCCCAAUUUAGACCCUAAUCAGAAUGGUGGUUUCAGGACCACGAAUUCGAGUCAGAAAAAUAUUUAAAUAUUAUUUUUCGUGUUUAUUAUAUGUGAAUUUGCAUGUGUGAAAUUUUCGUGUAAAAAUUUGAUUGUUUGUGUGCUUAAUUUAAUAAAAGGACUUAAUCGCGUAAAUUAAAAACUUGAUAGUGAAAAGCAUAAGGGCCAAAUUGUUAAUGGCUUUGUAAGUUGAAGCAUUUAAGUGGCAAUUUGACCAUAUUUAGUUAGAUGGACGGUUGUGACCAUGCAUUAAAAUGGUUUUAUAUUUUUAUAUCUUAAGGUUAAUUUGGUAAAUUAUGAAUUAAUAAUGUUAUAAUAAAACAUAAAAAUAAAACCACCAUGCAUUUGUUCAUCUUUUUGACUGAAAGUUGUGAAAGAAAGAAAAGAAAAUAAGCUUGGUGAUAUUCAGCCAUUUCUCAAGCUUGAUUCAAGGUUAGUUUGGUUUCGGUUUUUGAUAAUUUUUACGUUUUUGAAAUUGUUACUUCGAAUACUAUCUGACCCAUGCUAGAAUUUUUGAUUUUGAUGAAUGUAUUGAGCUGUGCCAUUGAUGAAUAUUUGUGUUUUGUGAUGUUUGAUGAUGAAAUAUUAAAGAUAUGUUUUAGAUUAAUAUGUUUUGUAUUGGAAUUUUUGAUGAUUUUGAGUAAUUAGAACUAAAUUGUAAAAAUAAUAAAUUAAGGGACUAAAAUGUGAAAUAAACAAAAUUUGAGGACUUGUUUGGGUGUGGGGAGUAUUCGGCCUAAGUAUAACAUGAGAAAAUUAUGCUUGUUUUGUGUUUUAUGCAAAUAGGACUAAUUUGUAAAAGUAUGAAAUAUCAGGGGUAAAAUGGUAAUUUGCCCAUUUAUGUGUUGUUGGAUUAAAUUGAAUGAAAUUGUGUUUGAAUGAGAUAAAUUUGAAAUUUUAUAGAUCAAGAAUAAAAGAAAUCGGACUUGGAUCGAGGAAAAACAAAAAUAGUCGAAUAGUCGAUUUACAUCGUUCGUCGAUAUCCAAGGUAAGUCUUUAAGCAAUUAAACAUCAUUAAUUUUGAAUGUAAUUUAGUUUAAUAUACUGAUUCGGAAUUUAUGGAUUUGUAAUAGAGUUAGACGAAUGUGAAAAAGUAUAUAAAUAAUGUAUUUGAGUUUAACUCGAUUGAGUUAUAACAUUUGAAAGUCCGUAUGAACUAUAUGGAAUAUCUGAAAUGUUUGAUAUAUGAAAUGUUUAUGAGACAACUUUAUAAUAAUGAUAUUCGAGCUUUGAGCCUAGCAAGCCUUGUGUUGGUGAAUUUAAUCGGGCUUGACGCCCAGUAGGCUUAUUACCGUUGUAUAAAAUCAGACUUUGAGUCUAGCAGGCCUUGUGCAGAUGUGAUACAGGCUUAGGUCUAGCAGGUUUUAUACCGGUGAAAUAUUAUAAGUCUAUGCCUAAAAGAUUUUAUGUUGAUGUGAUAAAUGAAUAUGUUGAACGAGCUAAAACGAUCAGGUACGUGAUAGCUAGACUACCUAUUUGAAAACAAGAUGAAUUUAUUCCUUGAUAUGUGAUGAAAAAGAAUUCAUGAAUUUAAUGUAGUACAUGUGCUAAUGUGAGAAAUAUAUUUGAUCUUAUAAUUGUACAUGAAGGUAUUGUUAAACUUUGAGUGAUGAGUAUAUGUCUUAAAAUAUAUAUGUAUAUUCGAUUAUAUAAAUCAAUGUGGUUUCGAAUUUCUCAUAUGUAUAUUCGAUUAUAUAAAUCAAUGUGGUUUCGAAUUUGAGAACAUAUUGGUGCUAUAUACUUGUUUAUUCGGCCAAAAAGAAGUUGCCUUAUGAAAGUAUAUGUUUUAUAUGUGUGGAAUUAAAAGUUUGAAAAUAAAAGUGAUUAAAAAUGCAUAAGUUGAUUUAUUUAAUUGAAAUGAUUAGUAAUUAAAUGUUAUUAUGCUUUAAUUGUUUAAUUUGCUUAAGGAAUACUAAGCUAAGUUAGCUUACUUUGUGUAUAUAUAUAUUUGUCUUUGUUUUAUAGUUUUUGGAGAUCGUUACAUGCUCGGAGAUUGUCAGUAAAGUCAAUCGCACUAUUGUUUAUUCUCGGUACCUUUGAAAGUUUUAAAUUCAAACUUAUGGCAUGUAUAGGCUGAAUGAUGUUUUGUUAUGAUGAACUUUGGCUUUGUAUAAAGCCAUGCGAAAGUGGCUUAUUUAAAUGCUUGAAUUUGGUUUUGGUAUAAUGAUGGUUUGAGUCCAUUUUGGUUAUUAUGCAAUGUGUCAAGGAUGAAUGAUACUUGUGAUAUCUAUUUGAGUGUUGAAGAUGCUUGGUAAAUUUGGAUGUGUGCAUUGGAUUGAUUCGGUUAUGGUAUGGAAGAUUCAUGUUUUGUAUAUAUAUAAAUAUAUCUAUUUGAAGUUAAUGGUUUACUCUUGAGAGAUAUAAAAUGUAAUAUGAGUUGGUUUGAAAAUUAUACAAUGAUGUAUCGUGAAUUUAGAUAUAAGAUAAAGGUAUAUGAGGUGGUUAUGUCUAACUUGUGAUUCGACAAUUGCUUUUAUAAAUAUUCAUGCUUGAUGAAUUGACUUAAUAUGUAUUUCAACUAAAAGUAUACUAUGUAGUAGGUAGGUAAUAUGUAGGAUUAUUUGCGUCUUAGGCAAAGUUUAGAUGACCAAAUUGACGAUAAAUAGGUUAGUUGUAAAUCCGCAUUUUUGGUAUGUGACAUGAGUGCAUUUCAAAUCUUUACUUGCAAUAUAAAAUGGUUAACAAUAAAUAAGUAAUUGAGUUAAAUUUUAGUUUGUGAAUUAAGCUUGAUAAGUUUCGUUAUUAAUGUUCUAUUAUAGUUCAUGUUUAAUAUGGUUAAAAAAUAUAUAAGGUUUAUUUGUUUAAUGAAACAAUUUGAUUAUUUGUGAAGAUAUGAAUGUCGUGUAUGCUGAUGAUUAAAUUGUCAUGUGUUAGAUUUUUAUUUGAUUUAAUAUGUACAUGUUUCGAAAUAUGUUUUAAAAUAUUCGAUGUUUAACAGAUAUCCGAAUUUGACUUGUAUUUGUAUAUUGUAAUGAUAGAAUUUCGAUUAAUAUUUAUUUGGACAUUCGUAUAUACAUAUGAAUAUGACUUGUGUGAGUAUUCAGAGUUGUGUUUUUUUCCAGUAAUGCCUUCGAACCCUAAUUCAGCGACGGAUACGGGUUUGGGGUGUUACAUUUUAUUAGUAUCAGAGCUAUAGUUUAGUCGAUUCUAGGACUAAUGUAGCAUGUGUGAGUUUAGCUAUACAUGCCAUAGUGUUUACUGCGAUAAUGUGAUGACUUCUGACAUUGAAAAUGUGUUUUCGUAUUGUAAAUAAAUCCCGACAGAGCUGUAGUUGAUGAUGUCGAGAGUGUAGCACAUGCUCCUGCGCAUGAGACAGCACCAGUUGAAUCUCGGCUGAUCUCGAGUAGCCGUGAAGGGGAGGCUAAACAAGCCUUCUAUCAACUAACGAAUGAUUGGUUUACUCAAUAUAUUUGAACUAACCCGGCUACACAACAACCUCCAUCCCCGAAUAAUUCAUCUUCGAUACCUGUGGUUCCUCCUAUGAUUGAUUCGAUGAGAUUUAAUAAGCCUUCCGUUGAUAAAAUUAGAAAACACGGGGCUGAAGAAUUCAGAGCUACUGAUGAUGAUGAUGCUAAGCUAGCUAAAUUCUGGCUUGAUAAUACUAUCCGUGUGCUUGAUGAGUUAUCUUGUACCCCGGAUGAGUGCUUAAAAUGUGCUAUAUCCUUGCUACGAGACACCGCAUACCACUAGUGGAAUAUACUAGUAUCGGUGGUUCCGAAGGAGCGAGUGACUUGGGACUUCUUUUAGACUGAGUUUCGUAAGAAAUAUCUCAGUUAGAGAUUCAUUGACCAGAAGCACAAGGAAUUUCUCUAAUUAAAAUAGGGUCGCAUGACUGUGAUAGAAUAUGAGCGAAAAUUUGUGAGACUCAGUUGAUAUGCUCGUGAGUGUGUUUCAACUGAAGCUAUCAUGUGUAAAAGAUUUGAAAACGGUUUGAACGAAGACAUUAAAUUUCUGGUUGAUAGACUUGAAAUUAAAGAGUUCGUGGUACUUGUUGAGCGAGCUUGCAAAGCUGAAGAGCUCGGGAAAGAAAAAAGAAAAGCUGAUUUUGAAGCUAGAGAUUUUCGCAAAAGAUCAUUGGGUAAGACUUUUCAAUUAGCAUCGAAGAAGUUCUGAGAUGAUUCUAGUCAAUCUAAAGAUACUGCGAGCUUUUCUAGACGAGAUUGAGACUGACCCCCUGUGAGUUUGCGAGCCACUUCGAUAGUUAGUGUUGGCAAUGUUCGACAGAAUAGAGUCGAGUGCAAGCAUUGUGGUAAAUGGUAUUCUGGAGAUUGCAGAUUGCAUGACCGGUCUUGUUUUAAAUGUGGAUCGAUGGAUUAUUUUAUCCGAGAUUGCCCAAUGUUAGCGAGCAAAACACUGUUCAGAAUGCAAGACCGAGUAAUAUGUCAGUGCGAGGCAGACCACCUAGGCAUUCGGGUAAUGUAGGUGGCAGUCAGAUAGGGAUGAAAGAUACAGCAGUUCGAUCUGAGGCUCGUGCACCUACCAGAGCAUAUGCUAUACGUGCUCGUGAGGAGGCUUCUUCCCCAAAUGUUAUUACCGGUACUUUUACUCUUUAUGAUACUAGUGUUAUUACAUUGAUUGAUCCUGGUUCGACUCAUUCUUAUGUGUGUGAAACAUUAGUAUCCAGUAAGACUUUGCCUGUUGAGUCUACUGAGUUUGUGAUUCGAGUAUCGAACCCCCUAGGCCGGUGUGUUCUGGUUGAUAAAGUAUGUAAGAAUUGUCCAUUGAUGAUUUGAGAUUCAUGCUUUCCAGCCGAUUUGAUGUUAUUUCCUUUCGAUGAGUUCGAUAUAAUUUUGCGUCUGGACUGGCUGACUUUGCACGAUGCUGUUGUUAAUUACAAAAGAAAGACCAUUGAUUUGAGAUGUCAGAACAACGAGAUUACUCAGAUUGAAUCUAAUGAUCUGAAUGGUUUACUAGCAGUAAUAUCUUCGAUGUUAGCUCGGAAGUACGUGAGAAAAGGUUGUACAGCUUACUUUACUUAUGUGCUUGAUAGUAAAGUGAUUGAAAAAAAGAUUGAAUCUGUACUAGUUGUGUGCGAGUAUCCGGAUGUGUUUCCUAAAAAAUUACCAGGUUUGCCACCUGUCUGAGAGGUAGAUUUUAGUAUUGAGUUAGUACCGAGGACGUCUCCAAUUCCAAUAGCUCCGUAUCGGAUGGCACCUACUAAAUUAAAAAGAAUUGAAAGCUCAGUUACAAUAGUUAACAAAUAGAGGUUUUGGACGACCGAGUUUUUCUCCUUGGGGUGCACCAGUUUUAUUUGUGAAAAAGAAAGACGAAACUAUGAGAAUGUGCAUUGAUUAUAGACAGCUCAAUAAGGUGACUAUAAAGAAUAAGUAUCCGUUACCACGGAUUGAUGACUUGUUUAAUCAACUAAAAGGGGCUAAACUGUUUUCAAAGAUAGAUUUGAGGUCCGGCUACUAUCAGUUGCGAGUUUAAGACUCUGAUGUGCCGAAAACUGCCUUCCGAACGAGGUACGGACGUUAUGAAUUUCUGGUUAUGCCUUUUGGACUUACUAAUGCACCUACUAUUUUUAUGGAUUUGAUGAAUCAAAUUUUUAGACAUUAAUUGGAUCGGUUUGUGGUUGUGUUCAUUGAUGAUAUAUUGAUCUACUCCUGUGGUGAAACUGAACAUGCCGAACAUUUGAGACUUGUGUUACAGAAUUUGCAAGAAAAACAGUUGUAUGCGAAGUUCAGUAAAUGUGAGUUCUAGUUACAUGAAGUUAUUUUUUUGGGACAUGUUGUUUCAGCAUCAGGUAUUCGGGUUGAUCCAAGUAAAAUUUCAGCAAUACUUGACUGGAAACCUCCGAGAAACGUUUCUGAAGUCUGAAGUUUUUUGGGACUUACGGGUUACUAUAGGCGAUUUGUGAAAGAUUUCUCUAUGAUUGCAACCUCGAUGACGAAGCUAUUACAGAAAUAUGUUAAAUUUGAGUGGUCUGAAAAGUGCCAGAAAAGUUUUGAUCAGUUGAAAUUCCUUUUGACCGAAACUCCAGUGCUAGUUCAGCCAGAAUCGGGUAAAGAAUUUGUUAUCUAUAGUGAUGCAUCUUUAGAUGGUUUGGGUUGUGUACUGAUGCAAGAAGGCAAAGUUAUAGCUUAUGCCUUGAGACAGUUAAAGCUACAUGAAAAGAACUAUCUGACACACGACCUAGAGUUGGCAGCUAUUGUAUUUGCGUUGAAAAUUUGGCGUCACUAUCUGUUUGGUGAAAAAUGUCAUGUUUAUUCUGAUCACAAAAGCUUGAAGUACUUGAUGACUCAGAAAGAUCUGAAUUUGAGACAACACCGAUGGUUAGAAUUGCUAAAAGACUAUGAACUGGUGAUUGACUAUCACCCAGGAAAUUGACUAUCACCCGGGAAAGGCUAAUGUUGUUGCUAAUGCUCUAAAUCAAAAAUCCCUGUUUUCUUUGCGUGCAAUGAAUGCACAUAUGGUCAUGUCAAAUGAUGGUACGAUAAUAGCCGAGUUAAAAGUAAGACUGUUAUUUAUUCAGCAGAUUUACGAAGCUUAGAAGGUCGAUAAUGAUUUGAUAGUAAAGCGGGCUCAAUGUGAUUUGAACGUUGAUUCAGAAUUUCUAGUGGAUUCUGAGGGAUGUUUGCAAUUCAGAAACCGAAUAUGUGUUCUGAGAAAUACAGAGUUGAUUCAGAUGAUUUUGAAUGAAGCUCAUAACAGUCGGUUAUCUGUUCACUCGGGUAGUACGAAGAUGUGUAAUGAUCUGAAACAGCACUAUUAGUGGCAAGGUAUGAAACGAGACAUUUUUGACUUUGUAUCGAAAUGUUUAAUCUGUCAGAAAGUAAAAGCCGAGCGUCAGGUACCUUCUGGAUUGCUACAGCUGAUCAUGAUACCUGAAUGGAAAUGAGAUAGAGUCACGAUGGAUUUUGUAUCCGGUUUACCGAUGACAUUGAGCAAGAAAGAUGCAAUCUGGUUUAUUGUGGAUAGAUUGACUAAAUCAUCUCACUUUGUUUCAGUUUGUACAGAUUAUUCACUCGAUAAACUUGCUGAGUUAUAUGUUUCUCAGAUUGUGAGACUACACAGAGUACCUAUUUCUAUUGUGUCUGAUAGAGAUCUGAGGUUUACAUCGCGGUUUUGGAAGAGACUGCAAGAUGCAUUAGGUACUAAACUACAUUUUAGCACUACUUUUCAUCCCCAGAUAGAUGGUCAGUCUGAGCGAAUCAUUCAGAUACUUGAGGAUAUGUUGAGAUGUUGCAUUCUCGAGUUUGAAGGUACGUGGGAACAAUACCUACCUCUGAUUGAAUUUACGUACAAUAAUAGCUUUCAAUCGAGUAUCAAAAUGGCACCUUUCGAGGCUUUGUACAGUCAUAAAUGUCGUACACCAUUGUAUUGGACUGAGCUCAGUGAAAAUAAGAUAUCCAGGGUUGAUUUGGUCAGAGAAACUGAACAGAAAGUGAAAGUGAUUCAUGAAAGUUUAAAAGCAGCAUCAGAUCAUCAGAAAUCAUAUGCGGACUUGAAACGUAAAGAUAUAGAGUUUCAAAUCGGGGAUAGAGUAUUUUUGAAAGUCUCACCAUGGAAGAAAAUACUCAGAUUCAGUCAUAAAGGCAAGUUCAAUUAGAGAUUCAAUGGACCGUAUGAGAUUAUAGAGCGGAUUGGGCCGGUUGCGUAUAGACUAUUGUUGCCACCUGAGCUAGAAAUGAUCCACAAUGUAUUCCAUGUUUCAAUGCUUCGUAGAUAUCGAUCUGAUCCUUCACAUGUGAUUAGUCCAUCUGAGAUUGAGAUCAAGCCCGAUUUAAAGUAUGAAGAAGAACCGAUUCGUAUUCUAGCUCGUGAAAUUAAAGAGUUGCGAAAUAAUAAAAUUUCGUUAGUUAAAGUACUGUGGCAUAAACAUGGAGUUGAGGAAGCAACGUGGGAACCAGAAGAUGUAAAGAGAGAACGCUAUCCAAACCUAUUCACCGUUAAGAUUUUCGGGGACGAAAAUCCGUAAGAGGGGAGAGUUGUAACAACCCAAUUUAGACCCUAAUCAGAAUGGUGGUUUCAGGACCACGAAUUCGAGUCAGAAAAAUAUAUAAAUAUUAUUUUUCAUGUUUAUUAUAUGUGAAUUUGCAUGUGUGAAAGUUUCGUAUGAAAAUUUGAUUGUUUGUGUGCUUAAUUUAAUAAAAGGACUUAAUCGCGUAAAUUAAAAACUUGAUAGUGAAAAGCAUAAGGGCCAAAUUGUUAAUGGCUUUGUAAGUUGAAGCAUUUAAGUGGCAAUUUGACCAUAUUUAGUUAGAUGGACGGUUGUGACCAUGCAUUAAAAUGGUUUUAUAUUUUUUAUCUUAAGGUUAAUUUGGUAAAUUAUGAAUUAAUAAUGUUAUAAUAAAACAUAAAAAUAAAACCACCAUGCAUUUGUUCAUCUUUUUGACUGAAAGUUGUGAAAGAAAGAAAAGAAAAUAAGCUAGGUGAUAUUCAGCCAUUUCUCAAGCUUGAUUCAAGGUUAGUUUGGUUUCGGUUUUUGAUAAUUUUUACGUUUUUGAAAUUGUUACUUCGAAUACUAUCUGACCCAUGCUAGAAUUUUUGAUUUUGAUGAAUGUAUUGAGCUGUGCCAUUGAUGAAUAUUUGUGUUUUGUGAUGUUUGAUGAUGAAAUAUUAAAGAUAUGUUUUAGAUUAACAUGCUUUGUAUUGGAGUUUUUGAUGAUUUUGAGUAAUUAGGACUAAAUUGUAAAAAUAAUAAAUUAAGGGACUAAAAUGUGAAAUAAAUGAAAUGUGAGGACUUGUUUGGGUGUGGGGAGUAUUCAGCUUAAGUAUAGCAUGAGCAAAUUAUGCUUGUUUUGUGUUUUAUGCAAAUAGGACUAAUUUGUAAAAGUAUGAAAUAUUAGGGGUAAAAUGGUAAUUUUUCCAUUUAUGUGUUGUUGGAUUAAAUUGAAUGAAAUUGUUUUGAAAUUUUAUAGAUCAAGAACAAAAGAAAUCGGACUUGGAUCGAGGAAAAACAAAAAUAGUCGAAUAGUCGAUUUACAUCGUUCGUCGAUAUCCGAGGUAAGUCUUUAAGCAAUUAAACAUCGUUAAUUUUGAAUGUAAUUUAGUUUAAUAUGCUGAUUUGGAAUUUAUGGAUUUGUAAUAGAGUUAGCCGAAUGUGAUAAAGUAUUUAAAUAAUGUAUUUGAGUUUAACUCGAUUGAGUUAUAACAUUUGAAAGUCCGUAUGAACUAUAUGGAAUAUCUGAAAUGUUUGAUAUAUGAAUUGUUUAUGAGACAACUUUAUAAUAAUGAUAUUCGGGCUUUGAGCCUAGCAAUCCUUGUGCUGGUGAAUUUAAUCGGGCUUGAUGCCUAGCAGGCUUAUUACCGGUGUAUAAAAUCAGACUUUGAGUCUAGCAGGCCUUGUGCCAGUUGUGAUACAGGCUUAGGCCUAGUAGGUUUUAUGUCGAUGAAAUAUUUUAAGUCUAUACCUAAAAGAUUUUAUGUUGAUGUGAUAAAUGAAUAUGUUGAACGAGCUAAAACGAUCAGGUACGUGAUAGUUGGACUACCUAUUUGAAAACAGGAUGAAUUGAUUUCUUGAUAUGUGAUGAAAAAGAAUUCAUGAAUUUAAUGUAGUACAUGUGCUAACGUGAGAAAUAUAUUUGAUCUUAUAAUUGUACAUGAAGGUAUUGUUAAACUUUGAGUGAUGAGUAUAUGUCUUAAAAUAUAUAUGUAAAUUCGAUUAUAUAAAUCAAUGUGGUUUCGAAAUUUGAGAACAUAUUGGUGCUAUAUACUUGUUUAUUCGGCCAAAAAGAAGUUUCCUUAUGAAAGUAUAUGUUUUAUAUGUGUGGAAUUAAAAGUUUGAAAAUAAAGGUGAUUAAAAAUGCAUAAGUUGAUUUAUUUAAUUGAAAUGAUUAGUAAUUAAAUGUUAUUAUGCUUGAAUUGUUUAAUUUGCUUAAGGAAUACUAAGCUAAGUUAGCUUACUUUGUGUAUAUAUAUAUAUUUGUCUUUGUUUUAUAGAUUUUGGAGAUCGUUACAUGCUUGGGGAUCGUCAGUAAAGUCAAUCGUACUAUCGUUUAUUCUCGAUCCCUUUGAAAGUUUUAAAUUCAAACUUAUGGCAUGUAUAGGCUGAAUGAUGUUUUGUUAUGAUGAACUUUGGCUUUGUAUAAAGCCAUGCGAAAAUGGCUUAUUUAAAUUCUUGAAUUUGGUUUUGGUAUAAUGAUGGUUUGAGUCAAUUUUAGUUAUUAUGCAAUGUGUCAAGGAUGAAUGAUACUUGUGAUAUCUAUUUGAGUGUUGAAGAUGCUUGGUAAAUUUGGAUGUGUGCAUUGGAUUGAUUCGGUUAUGGUAUGGAAGAUUCAUGUUUUGUAUAUAUAUAAAUAUAUCUAUUUGAAGUUAAUGGUUUACUCUUGAGAGAUAUAAAAUGUAAUAUGAGUUGGUUUGAAAAUUAUACAAUGAUGUAUCGUGAAUUCAGAUAUAAGAUAAAGGUAUAUGAGGUGGUUAUGUCUAACUUGUGAUUCGGCAAUUGCUUUUAUAAAUAUUCAUGCUUGAUGAAUUGACUUAAUAUGUAUUUCAACUAAAAGUAUACUAUGUAAUAGGUAGGUAAUAUGUAAGAUUAUUUUCGUUUUAGGCAAAGUUUAGAUGACCAAAUUGACGAUAAAUAGGUUAGUUGUAUAUCCGCAUUUUUGGUAAGUGACAUGAGUGCAUUUCAAAUCUUUACUUGCAAUAUAAAAUGGUUAACAAUAAAUAAAUGAUUGAGUUAAAUUUUAGUUUGUGAAUUAAGCUUGAUAAGUUUCGUUAUUAAUGUUCUAUUAUAGUUCAUGUUUAAUAUGGUUAAAAUAUAUAUAAGGUUUAUUUGUUUAAUGAAACAAAUUUGAUUAUUUGUGAAGAUAUGAAUGCCGUGUAUGCUGAUGAUUAAAUUGUCAUGUGUUAGAUUUUUAUUUGAUUUAAUAUGUACAUGUUUUGAAAUAUGUCUUAAAAUAUUUGAUGUUUAACAGAUAUCUGAAUUUGACUUGCAUUUGUAUAUUGUAAUGAUAGAAUUUCGAUUAAUAUUUGUUUGAAAAUUUGUAUAUACAUAUGAAUAUGACUUGUGUGAGUACUUAGAGUUGUGUUUUUGUCCAGUAAUGCCUCUUGACCCUAAUUCGUCGACGGAUACGGGCUAGGGGUCUUACAAAGUAAAUGGCAAAAAAUAAAAAAAUAAAAAACUGGUUUAAAUAGCAAGGCAAAACAGUGCUGUUUUGCACCUAAAGCCCUAACACCAAAACGGCGUCGUAUAUGCCUUGACCCGCGCGAUCCGACCUGCUCCAAGGGGGUUUUGCGCGUUUUUGAGUUAAGGACUACUUGCGCUCGUAGUCCCUUCGAUUUUGGGUUUGUUAUGUUUGGCCCUUUUAUUAUUUUUAUUUUUUUUAUAGAUUUAAUUGCUUAAUUUUAUUUGGUUUUCGAUUGAGUCCUUGGCUCUCUAAUGCUUUGAAAACGGACAUGCAUCCUUAGAGUUAGGGAAUAAUUACAUAUUUAACCCCUGUUCUUUCGCGCGUGUCUUAUCUUAGGCCUUGCUUCCUUUUUUUUGUUUUUUUUAGAUGUGGCCCUUAAUUUUAAUCUUUUUUUUAGUUCGACCCUUAACCCUAUAACAUUAAACUUUUUUUUUAUAUUUUACUUAUUAUAUUUUUUUCAUUUAUUUAUUUUAAACAGUUUUAUAUGUUAUUUAUUUUAGAUUUUUAUAUAUUAAUUCUUUAAACUGUCUUAUGUAUUAUGUAUUUAAAAUUGCUUUACAAAAUUUUUUUAUUUUAAACUUACUUAUUUUAUUUAUUUUUUAAUGCUUUCAUAUAUCGUUUAUUAACCUUUUAUACAUUAUUUACUUUAGAUAUUUUUAUAUAAAUUAUUUAUUUUAAACUAUUAUAUAUUUUAAAUUUUCAUUUAAACUAUUAUAUAUUUUAAAUUUUCAUGUAUAAUAUUCAAUUCAAACUAUUUUAUAGGUUAUUCAUUUAAAAUUUUUGUAUUACUUAUUUUAAGUUGUUUUAUUAUUAUAUAUUUUAAAUUUUUCUUUUUUUAUACAUUAUUUAUUCGAAACUGUUUAUAUAUUAAUUACUUUAAGUCGUUUCAUUUAUUAUACAUUUUAAACCUUUUUUUAUAUAUUAUUUAUUUAAAACUGUCUUAUUAUUUAUUUUAAAUUAUUUUAUAUUAUUUAUUUCAUUUUUCUUUGAUUAUUAAUGUUGGUUUUCUAAAUAAUGUAUGUUAUCUGAUUAUUACCAUUGUGUGAAUACUGUCAUCAUAUGCUUUAGGAAUUAUUUAUUAAUAUUUUCAUGUUGUUGACAUUCAUUGACAUAGCAUUUAAUUCAUGUAUUAUUAUUUCAUGCUCUAUAUUCCCUUUUAUUUCAUUUUGUUUAAAUCAUAUCGCGUAUUAACCUCAAAUGUAUUUAUCCAAAUAUGGACCAUUUUAUUCCAAACAAAAUAAACGCCCAUUGCUAAGUGUUGCUCUUGUUAUUAUUCAAAAAGGAAAAUCUUCAAAAUAAGAUAAUAUUUCGCGUUUCGGGAAUUCAAGAAAUUGUACCCUAACUUACGGGGUUUCGAUUUUCUUGGUAAACCUAAAAAGCUAAAUAUCCUUUUUAGAUUUCAAAAUACGCAAAGUUCUCAAUAAAAAUUAAAUGCAAACUUAUUCCCGAGGAUUAAAACGUCGCAUCUUAACUUACGGGAUGUGACAUUUUGUUAUAUCGGGAUGAGAGGGCCUUUGAUGCUCAUUUUAACUUAAUUCAAGCAUUUUUCAAAACAAACAUUAAUAAAAAUGGAUUGUAUUUUAAUUCUUUUCAAGUUUGCAACAUUUGACAUUAGGACAUUAAUCAAUCAAUUAGGUACCAAAUUUGGGCAUUACGAGGGUGCUAAUCAUUCUUUGUACGUAACCGACUCCCGAACCCGUUAUCUCAAAUUUCUUAGACCAAAAAAUAUUAUUUUAAUAAAUCAAAACUGUUUAUUAAAAACAACCAUUUUACGAGGUGACUUGAUCACACCUCAUCAAAAAAAGAUUGGUGGCGACUCUAUUUUCGUUUUUUUUAAAAAGUUGACUCUUUUUCGAAAAAUGAUUUCAACCGCUUGGCGACUCCACUGGGGACUUUUGAGAGUCAAGCCAUAAAUUGAUUAAUUAUUGUCUUUUGUCAAAAAAUUGAAAAUCCGUUUUAAACUUACAAUCCUUUCAUUGCAUUUCAUUUUUGGGGUUUUCGUCGUUUUGUAUGAUUGGCUUUUGGUUCGAGUCUUAGUAUAAUUUUGCGCAUCAUAUUGCAUAAUUGGUCAAUUUUACCCUUUUAAGUAGGAGUGAGAAACUAUUCCUUCGUGAGGUCUUCACCUCCGUAUAGGAUAGUAGAUUGCUUUUGGGAUACAUCCGUACUUGCACCUUCGUGAGAUUUUUAUCUCCGUAUAGCCGUAGGGAAAUGUAUUCCCCUGAACUGAACUCGGUCCGUAUGAGCCUAUAAUGGGUGAGGAUCGAGGAAUCUUCUGAUUCAGGUACCUUUACUUUUGAACUAAACCACAUGUAAUGAGCCCUAAGAGCCUAUCCUAGGUAGAACCACGCUAAACCCUAGCGGUUACCCGAAUAGGUGCUUGAUUAUUUCCUAUUUGCUUUGAAUUUUAUUUUUUGUAUAUAAUACUGACUUGUUGUGUUUUUCUGUUAUUGCAUGGCAUUACAUUAUAAAAAGGUGUUGAUUCAAAAAGCUUAGCAUUGAAAAGGGGUUUCUUGAUAGAGUGGAGGAUAAUGCGGUCGUCCGAAUAUGGUCCGAGAGGAUGCAGCAAGAGAAAUGUGAUAGUUUGACCGAGGGAUAUGAAUCAGAGUUGUCAAAUUUCACCCGCAUUAGUGUGACUUAGAAUAACCUACAAGAAUUAAAGAAGAUAUGACACCAAUGGAGUGACGAGAUUAAGCAGCUAUUUUACUAUAACUACGGCGACUUGCCCUAUCUACUCGAUAUAAAGGUGGACAAGCAUUUAUUCCAAGCCCUUGCCCAGUUUUGGAAUCCCGCCUACAGUUGCUUCACUUUUGGGAGAGUUGAUUUGGUACCAACCGUGGAGGAGUACAUGGCCUUACUUCGUUGCCUGAGGAUUAAAGCUGACAAAGCUUAUUCCAGAGCUGCUAACGUCCCUACCUUUGUAAAGAAUUGAUGAAUAUCAUGAGGAUGAGUGAGCAGUGGGUUGCAGCUUGGAUUAAGCAAAAAUGAGACAGUAAAUGUAUUCCUUGGAAGAACUUGAGAGAUCUAAUUCUAGCACAUCCGGAUAUGAAGAAGAGGGUUGACGUUUUCGCUUUGAGCAUCUAAGGUUUGGUCAUCUUUCCCAAGGCAUUAGGAAAUGUAGAUGAAGCAGUCUCAGACCUAUUCGAUCGACUUGAUAAAAAGGUCACACCCAUCCCUGCGAUCUUAGACGAAACUUUCAAAUCAUUGAAUGCUUGCCGGAGAGCAGGUGAGGGGAGGUUCAUAGGAUGUGCGCAGCUUUUGCUAUCAUGGUUUCAUAUCCACUUUUGGAGGGUAGAAAAAGUCUCAUAUCGAGUUUUUUUCGAAACUACUCUCCAUUGAAGGAACUAGUGGCUACGCUAAGGCGAGAUGACUUUUCCAAAGAGAAAUGGAUAGCGAUUCUCUAGAAUGUACAAGUUGAAGACGGCGAAUGGAGGGCGCCAUGGAUGAUCCCUGAUGAGAUCUUGUAUCGGUGUGGUGAAUUUGACUGGGUCCCUCUACUUGGGAUAUGGGGAGCUACUGGAUACGGUCUACUACUUGUGCUAAGAUAGUAUCGAUCAAGGCAGUUCAUACCUAUGACACAAGGGUUGGCUCAGUGCAAGUUUUCAUAUAAGAGCGAUAAUUAUAAGAAGAGAGUUCGUGAGAUAUCGAAUGCGUGGAACCAAACCCGUAGACUGAAGGACUCAGGCGAGACCAAUGACGACCCCCGAGUAUGAUUGGUGGUGGGGUAAAAGAAUCAACGACAAUAUCCCAAUGCCAAGUCAAAAAAAUGCUCGACCAAUAGAGGAGCACUUACGAGUAGUCCCGUUUGAAUUAGAAAUCAUCAAGCAAGAUUUUGAGAAAAGGAGUCAAAAAUUGGGCAAGAAAAUAAAGCAGUUAGAGGAGGAAAAGAUGUGGCUAGGACUAGACAUCGACAUCCAUAAGCUAGAGGCUGAGAAACUAAGGAAAGGAAAGAACAAGGCCAAAGAAGAUUUGGACAGUUGGAAAACGUAUUACAAGAAGUUACGUUUGUCAAAAAGAACUGCUGGUUUGGGCAAGACAUUAGAGCAAUGGCAAUAAGAAAUUAAAAAAGAAAAAACUAGAGCCGAUAGUGGGAGAAGAAGUUUCAAGAUGCUCAAACACGGGAUGGUGCUCUAAAAAGGAGUUUGCUAGAUAGCCAAAGUGAAAAGGAGAAGUUAAGAGCUCGGGCGGCAAAGUUAGAAAAGUAAUUACAUCAACAUCGUAGUCGCAACUCCAUCAUCGAAUUAAGGGCCAGCCUAAACAAGAUUGAGGAGUUGAAAGGAAGGAUAGAAGAGCUCGAGAAUGCACUGCGAAAUGGUAAACUUCGAGUUGAACUUCUUGAAGCAAGUAAUGAACAUUGUAAAGAACAACUCCACCGCUCUUAAGAUCAAAUCAGAGAUAGGGAUUAUGUCAUGGGUGAAGCUGUGGCUCAAGUACGAGAAGUGCUGACCAUCUACAAAACCUGGCGGUUCAGGCUAAUGUACUAAGUGUAAAGUAUGAGUUAGAAUCAGGUCAGGGCCGAGAGUUAGCUUGGCUUCUUAGGAAGGUUAAGGCUUUGGGCAUUAGGGCAAAGUCGUAUAUGUAAUCUAUCUUAUGUAAAGAAAUUUGUUUUCUAGCAAAGUUGUUCUAAUAAAAUUGAAUCAGAAUCAACGUCUCUUUUUGUUUUCAUUUCUUUAAUUUGCAUUACAUUUCAUCAUAUGCAUUAAGUUUCAUAAAAAGACCCUAAUUAAACAAAAUUAUUUCAGUUAAUCUGGAAACCAAAAAGUGUCAACCAGCCGAAUAUCGUUACAAUACCCGUCGCAAAACCAAAGCAAAGUAUCAGAGAUUAGAAAGAUUGGAACAAAUGCAAAGAGAUAUACAAUAGCAAUUGCAAACACAGAUGCAAGAGCAAUUGGCUAGAAUCGAACAAGACAUGAGGGAACAAAUGCAAGAAUCCCAGAAUAAUAUGAUAAGUCAAUUGGCACAGUUGCUGGUUAGAGAACGCGAAAAAGGGAAGGGUAUUGCAGUUAACUCGGGGAACGAUAAUGAAAACCUUGCCUAUCCCUCGGGUUUUGCUCCAGUCAAUUGCCAACCACAACCAGAGGCGUACCCACGGGGGGUACCACUCAUUAUCAAGCCCCAGUAAUAUCAGGCUGGUGCCUCGACACCGAUGAACUUUCCAACAGGCUCGGGCUCCAAUCCAAGGGAUAAUCCAACUAAUCCAGUUGUUUCUAACCUUGAUGAUGUAGCAGAAAUAGAAAAAGUAAGAGUAGAUCUACCAAAACAACUCGAGGACUGUUGCAAAUGGCUUGAAGAGAAAUUCAAAGCAAUGGAGACUGUUGACUACCAUUGCGGGGUUGAUGCCAAAGAUUUGAGCUUGGUCCUAGAUUUGAUCCUCCCACCAAAAUUUAAAACUCUAGAGUUUGAAAAAUACAACGAGACUAGCUGCCCCGAAGCCCACAUCACAUUAUUCUGUCAAAGGAUGACAGGAUACAUUAAUAAUGAUCAGUUAUUAAUUCACUACUUCCAGGAUAGUCUGGUUGGGUCUGCGGCCAAAUGGUACAACCAGCUAAGCCGUACCCAAAUUAAUUCAUGGAAAGACUUGGCACAAGCUUUCAUGAAGCAAUACGGCCACGUAACAGACAUAGCACCUAACCAAAUCACGUUACAAAAUAUGGAAAAGAAACCAAAUGAGAGCUUCAGGUAGUAUGCCUAAAGAUAGAGAGAGAUAGCGAUGCAAAUCCAACCACCUUUCUUAGAGAAGGAAACGACCAUGCUUUUUAUCAAUACUUUGAAGGCUCCAUUCAUUAACCAUAUGCUAGGAAGCGCUGCUAAUAGCUUUUCAAAUAUAGUGAUGUCUAGAGAGAUGAUAAAAAAUGCGCUAAGAUGUGGGAAGAUAGACGUGGGUUAGAGUACCAAGAGAUCAGCCCCGAAAAAGAAGGAAAACGAGAUAAAUAAUGCGAGCACAUACAACAAGGGUUAUUCAAAACCCAUUACUGUAAGCCAGCUAAGGACGGUGACUACUAGCCAUCAAGGCCCUCCAAGGCAAGAAUCCAACCCGAGGCCAAAUAUAGAGAGGCUCCAGUUUACGCAUAUUUCGAUGUCAUAUAGGGAGUUGUAUCAGAUUCUAUUCGAUGCUCAUGUAGUGUUCCCUUUCUACUUGAAGCCUAUGCAACCUCUGUUCCCAAAAUGGUAUGAUGCAAAUGCCCAAUGUGAGUACCAUGCAGGGAUAAUCGGGCACUCGAUCAAGAACUGGACUAUGUUUAAAAAUUUGAUAGAAAGAUUUAUCAAAAUGGGUAUCGUAAAGUUUGACACCUAUCAGGACCCAACGUAGCAAGAAAUCCAUUGCCCGAUCAUGUUAAUAAAGGGAUAAAUGUGAUAGUCGAGAGCGGGGGCAAAAGAAUCAAGGCCAAUGUGGCAGAAGUAAAAACCCCACUGAGUUGGGUUCGGAAAUAAAUGGUCGAUAGAGGUUUGAUCAUACAACAUUCAGGGGAAAGACCUAGAGAGGCGAGAAAAUAUGUGAGUUUCAUGCCGAUGAGGGUCAUGACAUCCAAGAGUGCAAUGAGUUCAGGUCUAUAGUCCAAAAUCUAAUGGACAAUAAAGAGAUGGAAUUUUAUGAGAAAACCAAAGGAUUAGAAGAAUGAGAGGUUUACACCUCAGAGGAGGGAUCAGCAGAAAGGGUCCAAAAAGUUAAUCACCCAGUGGUGAUCAUUUUGCGACCAAGGAACAAUUAAGCAGGAAUACAAAUGGCACCAAGAGUCAUAAUCCAAAAACCUGUAUCCUUUCCCUACAAGGAUAGCAAAAGGGUUCCUUGGAACUAUGACUACAACGUGACAAUCCCGGGAGAGGUGAACCCAACUAAAGCUUCAGAGGAAAGCCAAGAUAUAGGUUUUUAUACACGUAGUGGGAGGCUUUAUGAUCCUGUGGGUACAAGAAUCAGAACUGUAGGAAAGACCCCAAUAGUAGAGCAAAAGAAGGAGAAGACGAUCAGGCUCGAAUCGCCAGUUAACGAGCCAAUAACUGAGAAUGAAGCUAGGGAAUUCCUGAAAUUUUUAAAGCAUAGCGAGUAUAGCAUUGUAGAAUAGCUGCAUAAGCAACCGGCUCACAUCUCAGUGCUAGCUUUACUCUUAAGUUUGGAGACACAUCGUAGCACGCUAAUGAAAGUGUUAAAUGAAACUUAUGUCGCUGACGAUAUCUCUGUAAACAAACUGGACCGUCUAGUCAACAAUAUAAGUGGUAACAACUUCAUCUUCUUCAAUGAUGAUAAGAUACCUCCUGGGGGUAUGGGAUCUACAAAGGCUCUACAUAUCACCACCUGUUGUAAAGGAUAUACAUUUCUGGGUGUGUUAAUUGAUAAUGGAUCGGCAUUGAAUGUCUUGCCCUUAUCCAUGCUGAAUAGGUUGCUUGUGGAUAGCUCUCACAGGAAGACAUGCCAAAACAUAGUAAGGGAAUUUGAUGGCACCGAAAGGAGAGUAAUGGGAAGAAUUGAGAUACCCCUUCUGAUUGGCUCGAACAUGUACAAGGUGGACUUCUUGGUAAUAGACAUUAAGCCCUCUUACAAUUGCUUGUUGAGGAGGCAUUGGAUUCACUCAGCGGGAGCAGUACCGUCGUCAUUACACCAAAAGUUAAAGUUGGUAACUGAGGGUAGACUGGUAACGAUAAACGCGGAGGAAGAUAUUAUUGCAUCCGUUACCAGCGACGCACCAUACAUAGGGACGGACGACGAGGCGUUAGAAUGUUCAUUUUGAUUGUUAGAAUUUGUCAAUGCAACAUUCAUUAUCGAAGGGAAUAGGAUCCCAAUGCCCAAAAUAUCCAAUACUACAAGAAUAGGCCUGGGAUUGAUGAUUGGAAAGGGAGCCUUACCGGGAAGAGAACUCGGAAGAUAUCUCCAAGGAAGGGUCGAGGCAUCGAUGUUGAAAGGUAAACGAGACUGCUUUGGCUUAGGAUUUAAGCCAGAUGCAAGGCAAAAGAAAAAAGGAGCAAGAGAAGAAACAAGAAAGGAGAAGAGCACAUUUAAGCGGGGGAGAGGUCAAAUGGGAGCCAAUGACCUUUCCUCAUAGAUCUAGAAUGUUUGUGUCAGGAGGAACAAUCUACCCCGAAUAGAAGAUGACAAGAAAAGGUGUGUGCUGAAGAAAUGUUAGAAAAUUUGAGCAUUAAUGCCAUAUCCGAGGAAGGAACAGGAGAAGGAAAUAUAUCAGGCAUUUGCCCAUACGUGCCGAUGAGCGUUUUGAACAAUUGGACCAAGGAGCAGAUCCCUAUAACUUUUAAAAUUAAUUCAGAGUAAUGUCCAAAACAAGCUUAUUGCUCUUAGCCUAGGGCAAUAAGAGUCCUUUUGUGAAAUAGGCUCUUGUCCAGUAUCGUUAUUUUAACAAAAAUGCAUUUUUGCGUAUCAUCUUGAGCAUAUAUCCUUUUAUUCUUUCUAUUUCAUUCAUAAUCAUACCACACAAAUAAAUAUUCUUAGAAUUUUUUGUUCUUUGGAUUUUUUUCAUCCUUAUAACAGGUUUCCAGAUAUUAAUGGUAUGAGAAACGUAGCUACUAACUCAGAGUCUCCUUUUGAGCAAGAUAUGUGUAUGAAAGAUUCUCAGGAUUUUGAAGAUGACCAAAACUGUAACCUAUCUCCUGAUUUGUUAAGGAUGGUAGAGCAAGAUGAGAAACAAAUCCUGCCUCACAAGGAGUCAGUGGGAAUUGUGAGCUUAGGAGAGGAAAAAGAGGUGAAGAUUGGAGCUUGUAUCGUUGCAGAGACAAAAUGAGACCUUAUUGAGUUACUUCGAGAAUUCAAGGAUGUCUUUGCAUGGUCAUAUCAGGACAUGCCCGGGUUGAAUACUGACAUCGUGGUACACCGACUCCCUAUAAAAGAAGAGUGCAAGCCAGUUCAAUAGAAACUCCGAAGGAUGAGACUCAAUAUUCUGUUGAAGAUAAAAGAAAAGGUCAAAAAGUAAUUCGAUGCCAGUUUCUUACAAGUGGUUAAAUACUCAAAAUGGGUAGCCAAUAUAGUCCUUGUUCCUAAGAAAGAUGAGAAAGUGUGAAUGUUCAUGAACUACAGGGAUUUGAACAAGGCCAGCCCAAAAGACAAUUUCCCGUUGCCUCACAACGAUACUUUAGUGGAUAACACAAUAGGUUACUUGCUUUUCUCCUUCAUGGACGGCUUCUCGGGAUACAACCAGAUAAAAAUGCAUCCUGAACACAUGGAAAAGACCACAUUCGUAACCAUGUGAGGAACUUUUUGUUAUAAGGUGAUGCCAUUUGGACUAAAAAACGCAGGAGCGACAUACCAGAAAGCCAUGGUAACUCUAUUCCAUGAUAUGAUGCACAAGGAGAUCGAAGUUUACGUCGACGAUAUGAUUACAAAAUCUAAAAUAGAAAAAAAAGCAUGUGCAAAUCCUGAGGAAACUAUUCUUAAGGUUAAGAAAGUUCCAGCUAAAGCUCAAUCCCGCAAAAUGUACGUUCGAGGCUAGGUUAGGAAAGCUGUUAGGAUUCGUAGUCAGUGAAAAGGGGAUAGAGAUUGACCCAGACAAAGUCAAGGCUAUACAAGAAUUGCCUCCACCUCGCACUAAAAAAGAAGUUCGAGGUUUCCUAGCAAGACUAAAUUACAUCACCCGGUUCAUUUCACAACUAACAAAGAAAUGCGACCCCAUAUUCCGUCUCCUUAGGAAACACAACCCAGGUGUAUGGGAUGAGGAGUGCCAGAAAACUUUUGAUAAUGUCAAACAUUACUUGUCCAAUGCCCUAGUACUAAUGCCACUUUGCUCAGAUAAGCCGUUGAUACUAUACUUGGCAGUAUUUGAAAAUUCCAUGAGAUGCGUGCUAGGCCAACAUGAUGAGUCGGGAAGAAAAGAAAAAGUGAUAUACUAUCUCAGUAAGAAGUUCACUGAAUGUAAGACAAGGUAUUCGCCAAUUGAGAAGUUGUGUUGCGCCUUGAUUUGGACACUUAGAGACUAAGACAGUACAUGUUGUACCACACAACUUGGCUCAUCUCAAAACUAGUCCCUCUGAAGUACAUGAUGGAGUCGACUGCUUUGAAUGGAAGAAUGGCUCGAUGGAAAAUUUUACUUUCUGAAUUUGACAUAGUCUACGUGAACCAGAAAGCUGUAAAAGGGAGUGCAAUAGUGGAUUUUCUAGCCAGUAGAGCUCUAGAAGAUUACGAGCCUUUGAAUUUUAAUUUCCCAAAUGAAGAUCUGAUGUAUAUUGCAACCACUGAAGAUGUUGCUCAAGAGGAACAUCCUUAGAAACUAAACUUCGAUGGGGCCUCUAAUGCUGUGGGAAACGGAAUCGGGGCAGUCUUGGUAGCCCCAAAUAGAGAUCAUUAUCCCUUUACUAGUAAAUUUGAUUUUGAUUGCAUAAAUAACAUGGUGGAGUACGAAGCAUGCAUCAUGGGUAUCCGUGCAGCCAUUGAACAUAAAAUCAAGGUGUUAGAAGUAUAUAGGGAUUUUGCACUAGUAAUCUAUUAGCUCAAGGGCGAAUGGGAAACAAGAGACCCCAAAUUGAUUAGUUACCAGCUAGUUUUAGAGUUAAUUGAGGAGUAUGACUACAUCACUUUCUGUUAUCUCCCACAAGAUGAGAACUAGAUGACCGAUGCCUUUGCUACUUUAGCUUCUAUGAUCAGAGUAAACAAGCAAAAAGAUGUGAAGCCUAUCCGAAUGAGUAUUUAUGAGGCUUUGGCUUAUUGCUACAAUAUUGACGAAGAAGAAAAAUAAAGAUGAUCACUCUUGGUAUCACGAUAUAUUGCGAUAUGUGAGGAAUCGUGAAUACCAAACCAAGCAACUGAGAAUGAUAAAAGGACAUUGAGAAGGCUGGCCAGUGACUAUGUCCUAGACGAAGAAAUCUUAUAUAAAAGAAAGAAGGAUCAAGUGCUGUUAAGAUGUGUGGAUGCUGUUGAGGCUAAGCAAAUCUUGGAAGAGGUCCAUGAGGGUGCCUGUGGAACACAUGAUAAUGGUUUUACAAUGGCCAAAAAAAUUAUGAGAUUCAGAUAUUAUUGGUCUACUAUGGAAGGGGAUUGCAUCAGCUAUGCCAAGAAGUGCCAUAAAUACCAAAUUUAUGGAGAUAAAAUUCAUGUACCUCUUUCACCACUUCAUGUCAUGAAUUUACCAUGGCCUUUCUCUAUAUGGGGCAUGGAUGUUAUUGGGCCAAUCUCACCGAAAGCGUCUAAUGGGCAUUGAUUCAUCUUCGUAGUUAUUGAUUACUUUACCAAGUGGGUAGAAACCACCUCUUAUGCCAAUGUCACAAAAUCGACAGUCAGAAAAUUCUUAAAAAAGGAGAUCAUAUGUCGAUAUGGAAUGCCCGAAAGGAUCAUAUCUGACAACGCAUUGAACUUGAAAAAUAGCACAAUAGCAGAGGUCUGUAGCCAAUUCAAGAUCAAACACCAUAACUCGUCACCAUAUCGCCCAAAAUUGAAUGGUGCGGUGGAAGCGACCAAUAAGAAUAUCAAGAAGAUCGUGGCGAAAAUGACUGAGACUUAUAAAGAUUGGUAUGAGAAGUUACCAUUUGCCCUUUAUGCUUAUCGAACGUCUGUUAGGACCUCCACCGGGAUAAUGCUUUUCUCUUUGGUUUAUGGAAUAGAGGUGGUUCAGCCGAUUGAGGUUGAGAUUCCCUCUCUACGAGUUCUGUCAGAACUAAAGUUAGAUGAAGCAGAAUGAAUCUAGUCUCGAUAAGAAAAGAGGCUAAAAGUUAUCCGUCAUGGUCAAAUGUACCAAAAGCGAAUGAUGCGGGCUUAUAACAAGAAGGUUCACCCUAGGGAAUUCCAUGAAGGGGACCUAGUUUUGAAAAAGAUCCUCCCCAUAUAAAAGGACUUCAGAGGAAAAUGGAUGCCAAAUUGGGAGGGACCAUAUGUGGUGAAGAAGGCCUUCUCUGGAGGAGCUUUGAUUUUGACCGAGAUGGAUGGAAAAAGUCUGCCUAAUCCCUUGAAUUCAGAUUCGGUCAAGAGGUAUUUUACCUAAAAAAAAGAAGAGGAGAGGCCAAUGUAAAAACCCGCAAAAGGGCACUUUGAGACCAAAGGGGUUUUGAGUUGAAAACCCAAGAAUGAGCAAUUCAAAUUUUGAUCAAAGAUGGGGCAUGCGAUAGUCUUGUCUUUUAUUAAUUAACAAGAAGGAGGGAUGCUACAUCUUGGGGCAUCAACAAAGUACUCUAGGUCUUCUAAACACAUAUCAAGUUCAAAGGGUCCUCAAGAAGUUUUGUGCAAAGAAGCUCAUGCUACGAUAUCUGAGGCACCUAUUUUCAUUUUUUUCAUUUUGUAUUUUAGCAAAAUUUACUAUCUUGAUCAAAUUAUUCAUUCUAAGCUUCGUUCUCAAUAAGAUUCUUUUGGUCUAUUGCGAUAAUCUUUUUCAAGUGUUUUUCGUGGAAAUAACGAUUAGUGGACUAAUAAUAUUCAAAGGAAAAGGAGUUUUGCAUAUUACUCUAAAAUGCUUCUAAAUAAUACAAGAACCUAAAACGGGACCACUAGUUAGAACCAACUAAAUUCGAGAGUUGAAAAUGUUGGGGAAAGAAUGAUCCAAAUUAAGAUUAUCCUUCAGGUUCUUUGCCAGAGAUACCAGCUGAAGAAAAAGGAUAGAUAAUACGUUAAUGAUAAAACCUCGAUGAACAAUGAGCAAUGCCAACACAAGCAUUAAAAGAAGAUCAUGCUAAAAAUGACAUUUUUUCUUUGUAUUCAUGAAAACAUCAUUCAUAUACAUCUAGUUAUGAGCAUUUGAUUCACCCUGAUCAUAACAUCCUAGUCACUUGGCAUAAAGAUAGGCCUAUGAAAUCAAUUUUAAAGGUCAUGUUCCCCGAAGAACGGUGCAACAGAUCAGUGAAACCACAAGUUCUAUACCCCCGAAGUUACAAUGGGACGAAUUUAAGUCAUCAUGGUGAAUCUUAUCUCUCUAAAGUUGCAGUGAAGCAGAUUAAAACCACAAACCUUAUCUCCCUGAAGUUGCAGUGGAGCAGGUUGAAGUCACGAAUCUCAUUUCCUUGAAGUUGCAGUGGAGCAGAUUGAAGUUACAAGUUUUAUGUCCCUGAAGUUGUAGUGGAGCAAACUGAAGAUAGAAAAUCAUAUCCCUUUUGAAGUUGCAGUGGAGCGGAUUAAAGCUAUAAAUCCUAUACCUUUGAAGCUGCAGUAGGUCGGAUCAAAUCCAUCAUGGUAAAUCUUAUCUCCUUAAAGUUGCAGUGGAGUAGAUUGAAGACACAAACAUUAUCUCCCUAAAGUUGCAGUGGAGCAGGUUGAAGUUAUGAGUAUUAUCUCCCUGAAGUUAUAGUGGAAUAAACUAAAGCUACAGAUUACAAAUAUUAUCUUGCUGAAGUCAUAGUGGAGUGGAUCAAAGCAACAAUUCCUAUACCUCUGAAGAUGCAAUGGGAUGGAAUGAGGCUACUCGAAGAAGAGAAAUACUAGAAAAGUCAAGAUUCGAUAAGACUAGGCAAAACUGGCCUUUUUCGAAGUCUUUUCUCCAUUCACGUUACAUGUCAACGAGCAAAGAGGGGCAGUUGUAAUAGGCCAAUUUUGACCUGUCCUAGUUAAUAAAUAAAACCCAAACAAAUAAAUAAUAAAAGUCUAAAAUUUGCAGUCCAUUUUUACAAACAUCAUGGCCCAAUUUACAACAUGCAUAGCCCAAAUAAAAAAAAACUACCCAAACCCAAUUACAAAGCCCAAAACAAAUCAACCCUAGCCCACUUAAAACAUUUCAGCAAAAAAGUAAACCCUAGCCACAUGCCUUCAGCCGCCGCUCCUCCCACACGUUACCCUAGGCCGCUGCACGCACGUCUGUCACCACCCUUCCGCACAUCUGAUGUCUUUGACAACCACCUGCAACACGCAAGCGAAAGAAUCCAAGCAGAAGAACCAAACAGAAACAACAAAAAAAAAAA
rnacentral:lncRNA from 1 species